AAUUAUGCUAAAUUUCAGUGUUUUUUGCUGUUUAUCUUUGUUUUUGUGUUCUUGGUUUCAGGGUUUGGUUGCUGGUGACAGGGUUCGAAAGCCGGGUAUGAAUCAACUCUCAAUUCUAUUUCAAUGCCUCUUUUGAAAUUUAUUUCAUGAUGUUCGAAUUUGGAUCUCGAAUAUGCACUACAAGGCUCAUCAUGGCCUUUCAAUUUCCCUCUAAAGCAUAGUGUGCAUGUUUCAAGUUCCACUCUCACAUCUUUGCAAAUUAUGCAUUGCAAGGCUUAUCAUGGCCUUUCAAUUGAAAUGGCACUAGAUAUGUUUUGACAAGCCCGUUCUGCGCAUUUGAUAUGUCUGAGGGCUGUCAUGGCAAUAGCAAUAGCUACUCUCUUGUUGGUGUCCAGGACAUUAUUUUUCCUCACUCUUUGAUUUAGAAGGUCCGACUCCCAGAACAGCUGCAUAUUAUAGGCCACUGCAAUGGCAUUGUUUUACUAUAUAGUAAGAGUAGCUUUGUUUUAUGCAAUCCCGGAAUUGAGGAAUUCAUUCGUGUUCCUGAUGAGACAUGCCUUCCAAUGUGGCCCAGAUUAGAUUUGGACCCGGGGGAGGAUUACAAUUGGCCAGAACAUAUUGAUCCUGGAUUUGGCUAUGAUCCCAAAUCUACGAGUACAAAUUUGUGGCCUUUACUACUUGUACUCAAGAGUCAGAUGACACUAUGACACUUACUGCUUCACAAAAAGCGGUAGUAUACACCAUCAGUUGUGAUUCUUGGAAAGAGGUCGACACCGUUUCUUUAGAAGCCAAAACUACUUCGUUUUGGCUUGACGGGUUUCCAGAUGUGCUUCAAGGGAAUGCGUUAUUGGCUGGGAAUUGAGCAAGAUAAGGAAAUAUCUGUUUAUGACACUUUUGAUGACCCAGAAGGCGAGAGAGUGAUCAUUUCUUUCCAUACAAGUCACGAGGUAUUUCGUGGUAUACCUGAAUCAUCUGAGCUCCAACGAUUACCUCUGCGGCAUGACCUUGAUUUGAAGCUAAUUGUGUGGAAUGAAUCAGUUUCUUAUGGUUCACAAUGAUGGACGCGUAGUUUGCUUUAAUCUUUGUACUAAAAAGCUUACAGAGGUGAGUUUGUUGGUUAUGUGAAUAGCUUAGUUUCAGUCAUGGGACACAACCACAAGCCUGAGAGCAUAGAGAAUAAUUGCGCAGACAAAGAUGAAGAUGCGAUGGUGGCGGUAGAAGGGAAGAGGGAAAGCUGCAGGAGGCGGUACUCAUAUUCCGUUUGGGCCAUUCCACCGGCUGAUGUUUCCCAUAGAAUCAAGAAGGUGAUGGAGGGCCUCCAGGCAGAGUUUGAUGGGCCGGAGAUUGAGCCUCACAUCCCCAUAUUGGGAUCCAUCCAUAUUAUGAGUCAUGAGGACGCUCUUAAUAAGUUUAGAUCUGCCCCUAGGGAUGAUAUCGUUGCUAAAGUUGUUCAGGUGGUUACUAGGAAUUACUCUCACCAAUGUGUUUCCCUGUUGAUGGAUCGAAAGGUAUAUAUUUUCCCGAUCUCUUGCUAAUUGCUAUUCAUUUUCUUCAUGUUUUCUUCUGUUUUGUUUCCUUUUCCUCUUUCUCGUUUUGGUUUCUUGAGCUGGGUAGUCUCACUGAUCAUCAAAAUUUCUUUUCUUAGUUAUUUCAAAGUGCCGAAUCUUGGAGUUACCAUUUUGGUUUCUACAACAGUAAGUUGUUUUACAUUAACUUUUGAGCUGGUGUUCUUUUGUUUUCACGAAAGCUUCCUUCUUAAUUUCUUCUUCUUGUUUACGGCUCGUUCAUAUGUAAUCUGUCUGUCUGCAAUAUUUGAUGGAUGCAGGUUCUCUGCCAUAUUUGAGCCUCCUCUACGGGAAGUCGACGGAAGAAGAAGAGGAAAAAAGCUCGAGAACUGGUUAAUGCUCUGGAUGAGGGCACUACUAGCUUGAGCUUCCGCGUAACUCGCUUUUGUAUGAAAUCGACUACGAUGACAAAUCUCUGAAAUCUUGGAGGAAGAUUGAUGACAUCGGCCAUUAGACAAGUUCUGAAUUCAUAUAAUUGCAAGCAAGUUAGCAACUCUCAGGUCGAACAAAGUGGCACACAUACAUACAUAUUGCCCAAAUUUGACACAUCAUGGAUGAGAUAAUAAGUGGAAAUCUUUGAUGAAUGUAACCUAACGUAGCCUGCUAACGGAGAGAUUUUUUCGGUGUACUUUGAACAUUGUCAUUGUGAUAAAAUAGUUCUAAUCAACUGUAACACAUGUAUUUAAUUACAUCGCGUGACAUGUUCUCGAGGUACACACAAAGAGAAGAAAAAGAUAUAAAUUAGGUUAUUCACACUUGGAAACAAGAUCGAUUGAUCGCCUUAUGAAUUUCAAUGUGAUCUUGAAGUAGUAUUUAACUCUUUCCUUGAAUUUGAUCGAUCUCCUAGUCAAUUUCUUGUCCUCAUAUCGAAUGAAUUGAAUAAAUUUAUGGAUAAAAUUUAACGAGAGUAUAAAACACCCAGGGUUUGGAGUCAUGCUAGUUGCUGCAGUAUCAUCACCAUCACCAAAUUACACACGUGCAAAUUACACACGUGCAGGGUUUGAUUCUUUUACUUUUGAGCCAAUAAGCCAAGAGGAAGAGGAGUGUAGAUAAGCCAAAUUACACACGUGCAAAUUGCAGGGGAAGCCAACAAAGGUGGAGGUUGAAAGUUCAAUUAAUGUCGUUUAUUGAAUAAUCACGUGAUGAUGUUGGAUAAUGGAUAGUGACCCACCUGAAUAUUUUUGUUGCUGGUUAGAAUUUUGUAUUUUGAGGAAUCUUCAUGAAUAUAUUGGAAAUGUUGUCAAUUUUGAUAGAAUGUAGAUUUAAAUUGGAAUUUCAACAAAACUAUAACUUGAAAUAAGUCUGGUAAAUUGUCGUAUGAUUCGUUAAUCCAAUACGAAAUGAUAUGGAAAUAAUAGGUUUUGGAUCAACUUGUUAACGAUUCAUAUCUUUAACGAAUGACCCGUUAAGAAUAUGAUAAAAUAUCAUUUUGCAUAUCUAAACAUUAGGGAUUGCAAUUUCUUGCAUAACCCAUUAUCCGACAUGAAACAUUAUUAGUUAACGAAUCAAGGUGUUAUCGGGUCAUAUAUUAAGAACAUUUUAAGAUAAUUAGUAUAACACAAACACGACAAGUACGACCUGUUUGCCAUGCCUAACUUGAAAGCUAUUAAAUAUUUACAUGGAAAUAAGUUUUACUGAAUAAUAUUUCAGUGUAGUUCAACCUGCUAAGUAUUUCGACUUUUUAAAUAAUCUUCACAACUCAAUUUCUUAAAAUCAGUUUUCACCGUUCAUUUUUGAAUUACAUAGCAAUUCUGGAGAAAUUGUAGAGACUAAGAUAAUGCAAGUUGCCAACUAUAUUAACCUGACGCUGCCAACUUUACAUCUCAUUUUCAUAGGGACAAGGAUUGUCUGCCCUCCUUGUUCCCGUGCCUUCCCAUGCCCUCCUGUUUGUGUGAUCACGGUUAAGCCACGUCAAUAUUUUAUAUUACUAUUUAUUUUUGUCUUAUUAUCUCUAUAAAAAAAUAUAAAAUGUUAACGUGACUUAACCGUGACCACACAAAACAGAAAUGCACGGAAGGGCACGGGAACAAGGAGGGUGGACAAUCCUUGUCCUUUUCAUAGCUCGAUUCAUAGGAUCCACGUCAGACUGAAUCAUUUUUUUAUCUCUUUCAAUAUAUAAUAAUUGGUUACGAAUAAAUAUUAAAUUUUCAAUACUAUUACACAUGUGCAGAUAAUAUCCCAAAUUAUUGUUUUCCUUCCAAGAAUUCACAACUUGGAGUCCAUCGCGACCAUUCCACGUGUCACCUUCUCAUCUAUAUAAUAGGUUUCCAAAUGAACCAAAGACAACUUGAGAAGAACUUCUACGUAACGUGAAUGUUAUUGUAACAGAAUAUGAAUUAAUAAUGGAUUAUCGUGUGGGAAAUUAAAAACGUAUGAGAUUGUGUUUAAUGCGUUUAGAAAAUCAAAAUUUGUUGUUCUCGUUCUAGAUAAGUUCUUAUUCCGUGCACAUGAAAACCCCAUUAUAAUAAGGUUACUAAGAGGUCUGGCAAACGGAUCGUGUUUGUGUUGUUUCGUGUCUUAUCCGUUACCAAACUCGUUAUUUUAAUGGUUCUUAACCUGUGACUCAAUAACGACCCGAUUAGUUAACGAGUCGUGUCGUUUCGUGUCAGGUUAACAGAUUAGCAAGAAAUUGUCAUGCGUAAUGUCUAGAUUUGACAAAUGAUAUCUUAUUGGAUUCUUAACGGACGACCCGACAAUGACGUGACGUGCUAACAGAUUUUUAAUAGGUUACUUAAUAAUGAUUCGACUUAACAAGUUAACCCGAAAUUCUUUAUUUCGUAUUGUUCGUAUCAGAUUAACGGGUCGCAUAACAAAUUGUUUGGGCUACCUACUGGAAUACGGGAUCUUAUCCUUAUGCAAACGUGGAAGAUCAAUGAUUUGAUAAUAAUGGACCAUUAUCCAAUAAUCAAUUUCUUAACGCAAUGAUCAUAAAUUGUCACUUAAACUUAUACAAAGAAAAGUUCAAUUUUAUUUUUGUCUUAGAAAGUAAAUAGUCGGCCUCCACGUGUGAUGAAUGUAAAGGAAGUAACGCGUUUUUGUUUAUUUUUGGCGCGUAGUUGGUGGGAGAGUAGUGAGUACGUGGACACAGAUCAGCGCACUUGAUAAACUAAUUCAAAGAGUUAUGGGUAUUGGGCUCUUCUCUACCCUUCCAGUUUUCAUACACUAUCAUUCUCUCUUAUUUUUGCGGUCACGGUUAAGUCAUGUCAAUAUUUUAUAUAACUAUUGUUUUUUAUCUUAUUAUCCCUAUAAAAAAAUCAAUAUAAAUGUUGACGUGGCUUAACCAUGACCGCACAAAAUAGGAGGGGAUGAGAGUGUAUGAGAACUGGAAGGGCAAAGAAACCGGGUCCAUUGGGCUCUAGCACCUAGGAGAAUAAUUACAAUUCAACGAAUUGGAACCAGGGGCUGAUCAUCUUGGAACAAGUGGGUCAGCUAUCCUCAAGCUAAGAAAUCUUUUAUGGAAGAGUUGGAUGAUGUCUUUCGACUACUCGAUGAAUUACUUCUAUAGCUACUGAAUAGGAUAGUUGCUAGCUAAAUGUCUUUGUAUGCGUUGUUAUGAGAAUUUGACGAUAGGUUCACUCAGCUUGCUUGCUAAAAAUUAUUGACAUCAAUGGAUAUGCUUAUUCGAAAGUUAUUGACAUAUGUCGACAAGUGUACAAUAUGACUUGGUAAAUAACUUAUCGCCUAUCAAGGCUUGAUGAAAUGUCAAUUUGCAUGCUUUCCUUCCAAAAAAGAUUACGCGUUGCACAUGUUAUUUUUACUGAUAACAUAAAGUUCUUUUAUUUUUUUGUUGCAAAACCCUGUUUUUGUUUAUCCUUAUUAUGUGUUAUCCACUUACGAAAUCCGAAAGGUUAUGUUUGAGUGAUAGUAUAUAUGUGUGUGCGCCCCAAGAUUUAGUGUAUUAGUUGAGUAGUCGAACCAUUUCUUUCUCUAUUUCUCUCUGUGUCUGUCAAUAAUUUAACUGUUUCAUGGACUUUCAAUUGUGCAGUUCAAUUCCUACACACCCACCUCCCUCAGCAACACAAACAGUCUGCCUCAGGAACUUUGAAUUUGGCAGUACAGGUGUUGAUAAUGAACAACCACAAGGGUAUGCUUCAGUUGAUUUUGGUUUUAUUUCUCUUUUAAGAAUAAUUCCUUUAAGUUUUUUUCUCACCCGAAAUCAACGGAGUGAUCGGUUCAAUUCUCAUAGCAAUUUGAUAUAAAACAAAAAUCAAUUUGUUGGGUUUUUAUUUAAGUGUGUAACCUUUAAAUUUUGAAAGCGAUUAUCAACUAUCAUAAAGUUCUUUUAUUUUUUUGUUGCAAAACCCUGUUUUUGUUUAUCCUUAUUAUGUGUUAUCCACUUACGAAAUCCGAAAGGUUAUGUUUGAGUGAUAGUGUAUAUGUGUGUGCGCCCCAAGAUUUAGUGUAUUAGUUGAGUAGUCGAACCAUUUCUUUCUCUAUUUCUCUUUGUGUCUGUCAAUAAUUUAACAGUUUCAUGGACUUUCAAUUGUGCAGUUCAAUUCCUACACACCCACCUCCCUCAGCAACACAAACAGUCCGCCUCAGGAACUUUGAAUUUGGCAGUACAGGUGUUGAUAAUGAACAACCACAAGGGUAUGCUUCAGUUGAUUUUGGUUUUAUUUCUCUUUUAAGAAUAAUUCCUUUCAGUUUUUUUCUCACUCGAAAUCAACGGAGUGAUCGGUUCAGUUCUCAUAGCAAUUUGAUAUAAAACCAAAAUCAAUUUGUUGGAUUUUAUUUAAGUGUGUAACCUUUAAAUUUUAAAAGCGAUUAUCAACUAUUAUAAAGUUCUUUUAUUUUUUUGUUGAAAAACCUUGUUUUUGUUUAUCCUUAUUAUGUGUUAUCCACUUACGAAAUCCGAAAGGUUAUGUUUGAGUGAUAGUGUAUAUGUGUGUGCGCCCCAAGAUUUAGUGUAUUAGUUGAGUAGUCGAACCAUUUCUUUCUCUAUUUCUCUCUGUGUCUGUCAAUAAUUUAACUGUUUCAUGGACUUUCAAUUGUGCAAUCCAAUUCCCACACACCCACCUCCCUCAGCAACACAAACAAUCCGCCUCAGGAACUUUGAAUUUGGCAAUACAGGUGCUGAUAAUGAACAACCACAAGGGUAUGUUUCAGUUGAUUUUGGUUUUAUUUCUCUUUUAAGAAUAAUUCCUUUCAGUUUUUUUCUCACUCGAAAUCAACGGAGUGAUCGGUUCAGUUUUCAUAGCAAUUUAAUAUAAAACAAAAAUCAAUUUGUUGGGUUUUUAUUUAAGUGUGUAACCUUUAAAUUUUGAAAGCGAUUAUCAACUAUCAUAAAGUUCUUUUAUUUUUUUGUUGCAAAACCCUGUUUUUGUUUAUCCUUAUUAUGUGUUAUCCACUUACGAAAUCCGAAAGGUUAUGUUUGAGUGAUAAUGUAUAUGUGUGUGCGCCCAAAGAUUUAGUGUAUUAGUUGAGUAGUCGAACCAUUUCUUUCUCUAUUUCUCUAUGUGUUUGUCAAUAAUUUAACUGUUUCAUGGACUUUCAAUUGUGCAGUUCAAUUCCUACACACCCACCUCCCUCAGCAACACAAACAGUCCGCCUCAGGAACUUUGAAUUUGGCAGUACAAGUGUUGAUAAUGAACAACCACAAGGGUAUGCUUCAGUUGAUUUUGGUUUUAUUUCUCUUUUAAGAAUAAUUCCUUUCAGUUUUUUUCUCACUCGAAAUCAACGAAGUGAUCGGUUCAGUUCUCAUAGCAAUUUGAUAUAAAACCAAAAUCAAUUUGUUGGGUUUUUAUUUAAGUGUGUAACCUUCAAAUUUUGAAAGCGAUUAUCAACUAUCAUAAAGUUCUUUUAGUUUUUUGUUGCAAAACCUUGUUUUUGUUUAUCCUUAUUAUGUGUUAUCCACUUACGAAAUCCGAAAGGUUAUGUUUCAGUGAUAAUGUAUAUGUGUGUGCGCCGAAAGAUUUAGUGUAUUAGUUGAGUAGUCGAACCAUUUCUUUCUCUAUUUCUCUCUGUGUCUGUCAAUAAUUUAACUGUUUCAUGGACUUUCAAUUGUGCAGUUCAAUUCCUACACACCCACCUCCCUCAGCAACAUAAACAGUCCGCCUCAGGAACUUUGAAUUUGGCAGUACAUGUGUUGAUAAUGAACAACCACAAGGGUAUGCUUCAGUUGAUUUUGGUUUUAUUUCUCUUUUAAGAAUAAUUCCUUUCAGUUUUGUUCUCACUCGAAAUCAACGGAGUGAUCGGUUCAGUUCUCAUAGCAAUUUGAUAUAAAACCAAAAUCAAUUUGUUGGGUUUUUAUUUAAGUGUGUAACCUUUAAAUUUUGAAAACGACUAUCAACUAUAAUAAAGUUCUUUUAUUGUUUUGUUGCAAAACCCUGUUUUUGUUUAUCCUUAUUAUGUGUUAUCCACUUACGAAAUCCGAAAGGUUAUGUUUGAGUGAUAGUGUAUAUGUGUGUGCGCCCCAAGAUUUAGUGUAUUAGUUGAGUAGUCGAACCAUUUCUUUCUCUAUUUCUCUCUGUGUCUGUCAAUAAUUUAACUAUUUCAUGGACUUUCAAUUGUGCAGUUCAAUUCCUACACACCCACCUCCCUCAGCAACACAAAUUGUCCGCCUCAGGAACUUUGAAUUUGGCAGUACAAGUGUUGAUAAUGAACAACCACAAGGGUAUGCUUCAUUUGAUUUUGGUUUUAUUUCUCUUUUAAGAAUAAUUCAUUUCAGUUUUGUUCUCACUCGAAAUCAAUGGAGUGAUCGGUUCAGUUCUCAUAGCAAUUUGAUAUAAAACCAAAAUCAAUUUGUUGGGUUUUUAUUUAAGUGUGUAACCUUUAAAUUUUGAAAGCGAUUAUCAACUAUCAUAAAGUUCUUUUAUUUUUUUUGUUGCAAAACCCUGUUUUUGUUUAUCCUUAUUAUGUGUUAUCCACUUACGAAAUCCGAAAGGUUAUGUUUGAGUGAUAAUGUAUAUGUGUGUGCGCCCCAAGAUUUAGUGUAUUAGUUGAGUAGUCGAACCAUUUCUUUCUCUAUUUCUCUCUGUGUCUGUCAAUAAUUUAACUGUUUCAUGGACUUUCAAUUGUGCAGUUCAAUUCCGACACACCCACCUCCCUCAGCAACACAAAAAGUCCGCCUCAGGAACUUUGAAUUUGGCUGUACAUGUGUUGAUAAUGAACAACCACAAGGGUAUGCUUUAGUUGAUUUUGGUUUUAUUUCUCUUUUAAGAAUAAUUCCUUUCAGUUUUUUUCUCACUCGAAAUCAACAGAGUGAUCGGUUCAGUUCUCAUAGCAAUUUGAUAUAAAACCAAAAUCAAUUUGUUGGGUUUUUAUUUAAGUGUGUAACCUUUAAAUAUUGAAAGUGAUUAUCAACUAUCAUAAAGUUCUUUUAUUUAUUUUUUGUUGCAAAACCCUGUUUUUGUUUAUCCUUAUUAUGUGUUAUCCACUUACGAAAUCCGAAAGGUUAUGUUUGAGUGAUAAUGUAUAUGUGUGUGCGCUCCAAGAUUUAGUGUAUUAGUUGAGUAGUCGAACCAUUUCUUUCUCUAUUUCUCUCUGUGUCUGUCAAUAAUUUAACUGUUUCAUGGACUUUCAAUUGUGCAGUUCAAUUCCUACACACCCACCUCCUUCAGCAACACAAACUGUCCGCCUCAGGAACUUUGAAUUUGGCAGUACAGGUGUUGAUAAUGAACAACCACAAGGGUAUGCUUCAGUUGAUUUUAGUUUUAUUUCUCUUUUAAGAAUAAUUCAUUUCAGUUUUUUUUCUCACUCGAAAUCAACGGAGUGAUCGAUUCAGUUCUCAUAGCAAUUUGAUAUAAAACCAAAAUCAAUUUGUUGGGUUUUUAUUUAAGUGUGUAACGUUUAAAUUUUGAAAGCAAUUAUCAACUAUCAUAAAGUUCUUUUAUUGUUUUGUUGCAAAACCCUGUUUUUGUUUAUCCUUAUUAUGUGUUAUCCACUUACGAAAUCCGAAAGGUUAUGUUUGAGUGAUAGUGUAUAUGUGUGUGCGCCUCAAGAUUUAGUGUAUUAGUUGAGUAGUCGAACCAUUUGUUUCUCUAUUUCUCAGUUGAUACGUACAUCGGUAUAAUUAAUAUAGGCAUGCAAAUUUUUUUAUCGAUGGAUGGUGAUUUUGAAGUUUGAUCCUUUGUCGAUGUGGAUUUAUCGAUGGAUGGUAAUUUUACACCUCGUGAAUUAAUUGAUCCUUUUUUUUUGUCAAACAAUAAUUUUGGUAGAUUAAAUGUUAAAUUGGUCAUCGACAUUGAAGUAUGCAAAAUGUAUCUUCAAUUUUUUGUGUUUUUGUUUCUCUUGAUCAUUUAAAGUGUGUAUAUGUUAAUGUUAACUUUUGAAUUUUGAAAAGCGAUUAUCAACUAUGAACAAUGCGAAUCAUUUUGCAUAUUGGUGUGUGAAUGCGCGCGCAACUUUUUUUACGUUUCCUUGUGGUGGGUUGGCAUGUAGUGUGCACAAAUAUUUCUGUCAUUUUUCAAAUUCUAGCAUGCAAGUUGCGUUUAAAUUUUAUGUUGAUAAAAAUCUUUCCAAUUUUCUUAUUUAUUUUAUGUUUCUGUCUCAGUCUCUCUAACUUUUUGGUCUUUCUUUCAGUGAAUCUCCAAAGCAUAUCGAUGCACUCGAUAAUUAUUCAGGAUCAUGUAGGUGUGAAUGCAUCGAGAAUCAUUAAGGAUCGUGUAGGUGUGGAAGUAUGCAAUAUUAACGUUAGGUUCUCCUAUUUGGAUUCGGUAAUACAAACGUUAUGUUCUCCUCUUUGAAUCUUUUUUUCAAUGGGAAACUGUAUGCAGAAUCAUGAUCUGUUCUACCAGGCCACGAAGAGAUGCUCAAUGAGCAAGCUAAUGUUGUGAAGGGCAUACUGGUCGCACCAGCCAGCACCUUUUUGGGUGGUUCCACAUCAGCAACACAAACAGUCCAAAUCAUAGUAGUGCGAGGAAGGCAAGCAGAUAAACUAACACAAUACAAAUUUCAUGCAGACCCAGAUGACCUUGUGGCUGUCCUAAAUGUGCUGUUUGUGAACAAGAUAGCCCAUCUACUGCUGUAUUAUCGUUUUACCUCCAUUCUGACAUUAAUGAACAAAUCUUUGAGUUUUUGACGCCAUGGGAUAGAUGGUGUAGGAGUCCCAAAAAUUGAAGUGGUGGACAUCAACGCCAAUUUCCCAACUUAGAAACGUAUAAACUCACAAGAUGGUGCAACCAUCAAGUCACAAGACUGAAACGGCAACAAAGAAUAUGGAAUGCUCCAAACCUCCAAAGCGAAGUGGCAAUAAAGAAUACGGAAUGCUCCAAACCCCCAAAGCAUGUGUUAUCGAUGGAUAAUGAUUUUGAAGUUCGAUCCUUUGCCAAUAUGGAUUUAUCGAUGGAUAGUAAUUUUACACAUUCUGAAUUUAUUGACCCUUUUUUUUAAUGAUUUCUUCCUUACUUGAUCCUUGACAAUAUUGUAAAUGUGAAAAUAUUUUGUACAUACAUAAUUUUUACACAAUCGGACAUCUAUUUUGCGUUCAAACCACAACCAUCAACAAAAACAAAAAUAAGAAAAAUUACCAUCGAUAUACAUCAAGAAUAUAAGUACGACGGGAGCAGCUUCAACUUCAGUCCUUGCUGUGCAUUGAAGGAUGUCCUCACAAGGUUAGUAUAAUGGUGUUUUAAUAUUACAUGAACGUAUUAAGUCUAAUAAGAGCAACCAUGGCUUCAAGAGGAGUUCUUUCGUAAUAAUUUUAAAACAGCAGUGGCACACGGGUAUGCAAUUUGGUAGUAUUAUUGUUGUAAUAUAAAUAAACAAUGCAAAAUGAAUGUGGUGUGUGCGUGCUCUUUUUGGUAAGAUUUAUGUUUCGCUUUAUCCAUUUUAAGAAGUAAGGGUUUAAUUUCUUUUGUUUGUUGCUAUUUUUGUGUUCCAAGGACAAGAUAUGUUAGGAAUUGUUGCACAUAGUCCAGGGGGAUCACUAAGGGGCGGCCGCUAAUAUUUCUGCAAUGCAGACACUGAGGUGGUUUUUUUUUGUUUUGUUUUUGUUUCUUUUUAAGUGUCAUUUAAAUUUCCUUAUUUAUUUUAUGUCAGUUUCUUUUAAUUACGUUUCUCUCUAUCUCUCUAAACUUUUUUGUCCUUCUUUUUCAGUGAACCAAUGGGUGGCUCCACAUCAGCACCAAGAACGAUCAAAAUCAAAGUAGAAUUGCGGGGAAGGUUGACAAAUAAAAAGAGUCAAUACAAAUUUCAUGUCGACCCAAUUAAUAAGGUGUUUGUCCUGAGGUUACUUUAAAUGAACAAGAAGGCCCAGCUACCGCAUGGUUAGUUAUUUUCCACCAUUACGGCAGAAGUGAAUGAAGGUAAAAGUUUCCUAGACCAGAGGAUGGUAGGGGUGGGAGUCCCAAAACUGUACAUGCUGGACUGUCUCCAAUUUCUCUUGACAUUAAUUCAUAAUUGCAAAUACUAUUCGACAUCAGACUCAAAACAAUGAACGAAUCUUUGAAUUUCCGAUGCCACGGGAUAGAUGGUGUGGGAGUCCCAAAAAUUGAAGUGGUGGACAUCACCGCCAAUUUCCCAACAUAGAAACGUAUAAAUUCACAAGACAAUGCAGGGCCAUCAAGUCACAAGACUAAGGUGGCAACAAAGAAUGCGAAAUGCUCCAAACCCCAAAGCAUGUGUUAUCGAUGGAUAGUGAUUUUGUAGUUUGAUCAUUUGCCAACAUGGAUUUAUCGAUGGAUAGUAAUUUUACACCUCCUAAAUUUAUUGAACUUUUUUUUUAAUGAUUUCUACCUUACACGAUCCUUGACGAUAUUCUAAAUGUGGAAAUAUUUUGUAUAUACAUAAAUUUUUACACAAUUGGACAUCUAUUUUGUGUUCAACCCACAACCAUCAACAAAAACAAAAAUAAGGAAAAUUACCAUCGAUAUACAUCAAGAAUAUGAGUACGACCGGAGUAGCUUCAACUUUAGUCCUUGAUUUGCAUUGAAGGAUGUCCUCAUAAGAUUAGUACAAUGGUGUUUUAAUAUUACAUGAACGUAUUAAGUCUAACACGAGAAACCGUGGCAUCAAGAAGAGUUCUUUCAUAAUAAUUCUGCAGCAGCAGUGGCACAGGGGUAUGCAAUUUGGUAGUAUUAUUGUUGAUAAUAUAAAUAAACAAUGCAAAAUGGCUUGCAUAUUGGUGUGUGUGCACUCUUUUUGGUAAGAUUUAUGUUUCUCUUUAUCCAUUUUAAGAAGUAAGGGUUUAAUUUCUUUUGUUUGUUGUUGUUUUUGUGUUCUAGGUACAAGAUAUAUCAGGAGUUGUUGUACAUAGUCCAGGGGGAUCACCAAGGGGCGACCGCUAAUAUUUCUACAAUGCAGACACUGAAGUGGUUGUUUUUUGUUCUUUUUUCUUUUUAAGUGUCGUUUAAAUUUCCUAAUUUAUUUUAUGUCAGUUGCUGUUAAUUACAUUUCUCUUUGUCUCUCUAAACUUUUUUGUCCUUCUUUUUCAGUGAAUCAGUAGGUGGCUCCACAUCAGCACCAAAAAAUGAUCGAAAUCAAAGUAGAAUUGCAGGAAAUGUUGACAAAUAAAAUGAGUCAGUACAAAUUUCGCGACCCAACUGAUAAGGCGUUUGCCCUGAGGGUACUUCUAAUGAACAAGAAGGUCUAGCUACCGCAGGGUUAUUUCUUUUCCACCGAUAUGGCAGUAGUGAAUGAAGAUAAAAGUUUCCUAGACUAGGUGAUGGUAGGUGCGGGAGUCCCGAAACUGUACGUGUUGUCUCUAAUUUCUCUUGACAUUAAUUCAUAUGGGAAUAAUUAUUGCAAAUACUAUUCGACAUCAGACCCAAAACAAUGAACGAAUCUUUGAGUUUCCAACACCAUGGGAUAGAUGGUGUGGGAGUCUCGAAAAUUGAAGUGUUGGACAUCACUGCCAAUUUCCCAACUUAUAAACGUAUAAAUUCAUAUGACGAUGCAGGAUCAUCAAGUCAAAAGACUGAAACGGUAACAAAGAAUAUGGAAUGCUCCAAACCACAAAGCAUAUGCUAUUGAUGGAUAGUGAUUUUGAAGUUUGAUCCUUUGCCAACAUGUAUUUAUCGAUGAAUAGUAAUUUUACACCUCCUGAAUUUAUUGACAUUUUUUUUUAAUGAUUUCUGCCUUACAUGAUACUUGACGAUAUUCUAAAUGUGGAAAUAUCGAUGGAUGGUGAUUUUGAAGUUUGAUCCUUUAUCGAUAUGGAUUUAUCGAUGGAUGGUAAUUUUACACCUCGUGAAUUAAUUGUUCCUUUUUUUUUUUGUCAAACAAUAAAUUUUGGUAGAUUAAAUGUUAAAUUAGUCAUCGACAUUGAAGUAUACAAAAUGUAUCUUCAAUUUGUUGCGUUUUUGUUUCUCUUGAUCACUUGAAGUGUGUAUAUGUUAAUGUUAACCUUUGAAUUUUGAAAAGCGAUUAUCAACUAUGCGAGUCAUUUUGCAUAUUGGUGUGUGCGUGUGAGCGCAACUCUUUAUGUUUCCUUGCGGUAGGUUGGCAUGCAUUGUGCACAAAUAUUUAUGUCAUUGUUCAAAUUCUAGCGUGCAAGUUGCAUUUAAAUUUUAUGUUGAUAAAAAUCUUUCCAAUUUUCUUAUUUAUUUUAUGUUUCCGUCUUAGUCUCUCUAACUUUUUUGUCUUUCUUUCAGUGAACCUCCAAAGCAUGUCGAUGCACUCGAUAAUUAUUCAGGAUCAUGUAGGUGUGAAUGCAUCGAGAAUCAUUAAGUAUCAUGUGGGUGUGGAAGUAUGCAAUAUUAACGUCAGGUUCUCCUCUUUGGAUUCGAUAAUACAAACGUUAUGUUCUCCUUUUUGGAUAUUUUUUCAAUGGGAAACUGUAUGCAGGAUUAUGAUAUGUUCUACCAGUCAACGAAGAGAUGCUCAAUGAGUAAGCUAAUGUUGUGAAGGGCAUACUGGCUGCACUAGCCAGCACCUUUUUGGGUGGUUCCACAUCAGCAACACAAACAGUCCAAAUCAAAGUAGUGUGAGGAAGGUGGGCAGAUAAACUAACACAAUACAAUUUUCAUGCAGACCCAAAUGACCAUGUGGAUGUCCUAAAGGUGAUGUUUGUGAACAAGAUAGCCCAUCUACUAUUGUAUUAUCAUUUUACCUCCAAUCUGACAUUAAUGAACGAAUCUUUGAGUUUUCUACGCCAUGGGAUAGAUGGUGUAGGAGUCCCGAAAAUUGAAGUGAUGGACAUCAUCGCCAAUUUCCCAACUUAGAAACGUAUAAAUUCACAAGACGAUGCAACCAUCAAGUCACAAGACUGAAGCGGCAAGAAAGAAUAUGGAAUGUUACAAACCCCCAAAGCGAAGCGGCAACAAAGAAUACGGGAUGCUCCAAACCCGCAAAACAUGUGUUAUCGAUGGAUAGUGAUUUUGAAGUUUUAUCCUUUGCCAAUAUGGAUUUAUCGAUGGAUAGUAAUUUUACAUUACCUGAAUUUAUUGACCCCUUUUUUUUUAAUGAUUUAUUCCUUACACGAUCCUUGACGAUAUUGUAAAUGUGAAAAUAUUUGGUAUAUACAUAAAUUUUUACACAAUCGGACAUCUAUUUUGCAUUCAACCCACAACCAUUAACAAAAAUAAAAAUAAGAAAAAUUACCAUCGAUAUACAUCAAGAAUAUAAGUACGACGGGAGCAGUUUCAGCUUCAUGGAUGUCCUCACAAGGUUAGUAUAAUGGUGUUGUAAUAUUAUAUGAAUGUAUUAAGUCUAAUAAGAGCAGCAAUGGAGUCAGUACAAAUUUCGCAUUGACCCAUCUGAUAAGGUGUAUGUCCUGAGGGUACUUCUAAUGGACAAGAAGGCCCAACUACCGCAGGGUUAUUUCUUUUUCAUCGAUAUGGCAGUAGUGAAUAAAGAUAAAAAUUUCCUAGACCAGGGGAUGGUGGGUGUGGGAGUCCCAAAACUGUAUGUGUUGAACUCUGUCUCCAAUUUCUGUUGACAUUAAUUCAUAUGGGAAUAAUUAUUGCAAAUACUAUUCGACAUCAAACCCAAAACAAUGAACGAAUCUUUGAGUUUCCGAUGCCAUGGGAUAGAUGGUGAGGGAGUCCCGAAAAUUGAAGUGGUGGACACCACCGCCAAUUUUCCAACUUAGAAACGUAUAAAUUCUUAAGACAAUGCAUGACCACCAAUUUCAAAUGGCAAGUAUACCCCCCACACGUUAUUAUGUCUUUGAUAAUUAUUAUGUCACAUUAAAUACUAUAUCUUUUUUAGUCAUUUAACAUAUUCAAAACAAUUUAUAUAAAAGUUUACCAGACACUCAGACAUUGCUUCUUUUAUUAAAAGCACGUUUACAAAAAAAAAAUUACCAAAUACUUAACAAUUUUAUUUUACAACUGUUUAUUUUCACAGCACAGUAGAAGUAGUUUUUUUAACAAGCACAGCAAUACCAUACUAGCCUUAAAUGUUCACACUUGCCGCAACAAGAUUGGUAAUUGUGAGCAUUUGGCUCAAUGGUUGAAGUUUUCCAUAAAACCUUACAAUAUUUGGGAGGAUCUCCGAUCCGUCGCACAACUUCGGACAACUCCAUCGUCCUCUGACAAUAUAACCCUGAAAUCGAACCGAACCUUAAAACACUUAAAUUUUGACAUAAUGAUGUGCGGGAAAUAAAAGGUUUGAUUUGAUUAAAUCAGCAUCGGGAGACCCAAUAUUUGAAUUUAAGGGCCGAAUUAAUGUGGGCUGGGAUAAGUUCCCCAUUGGGCUUUUGAAUUUAAGGGCCGAAUUAAUGUGUGCUGGGAUAAGUUGUCCAUUGGGCUUUCGGGUUUAGGUCCGAAUUAAGACGGGCAUAAAAUUUGAUCUUGUUCGGACCUAUGAUCCGAGUAAACAAAAGUAAGUCAAAGGCUCAGAGUUGACACUAAUACACUGUAGACAUUAUUUAAUAAUAUAAUCACUGCGGUGUGGGUUUCCCGUCGGUAACUAACCUAACAUCUAAUCUAACAAAAUAUAUCAUUUAACAAAAAACACUGCGGCGCUGCACUCCUACAGGCACACAAAUUCUACACUAGCAGGCACUUUUUUCUUGAGGUGUUGGAUGGCAUGAUCUCUUGCAUUCGCUUCCUCGUUCUCCAGUAGGUAAUUGAUCUCCAUUCCCGUAGGCCAACACCAUAACCGGACAGGAUUUAUAACAAUCUUCUCCAGUGCAACCGCAUUCUUCACCAAAUACCUGACAUGCUUUACGCAACACCAUUCCCGGUAGGUAUUUCUACCACCUUGAGGCAGUGAUGGGGUUGUUUGGAAACUUUCUCUAGUAUUGCCAUGUCCUCGUUGGAGGUUCCAAAUUCCAACUGCAACAAGGAAAGCAAACAAAACCAGAUUCAAAACAAACCCCGUUGUUCAUUCUUUUGGUUCUUGGAGAAUACAGGUAACAGAGAGAUGAGAGGAUAAGAACGCACAAAAACAUUCAGACAUGUAUCAACUUUUAUAUGGUAACCUAUCAAUAACAAAGGCAUACAAUACAUACAUACCCCCAAAACAAGGCUGCGCAAGUCAGGAGCUGCCUUCAUGAAAGAAGCUAAGCGACCAAGGGACAGACAGUAGUUGUUUUUUUUUUUUUUAGUACGACGACAUAUUUUCACAUUAAGAACAUGGUGAGUUCGGCUAAGCAACUUAACAGGAACAUUUCAUUUUUGUCUCUCACUUAUAAAUAAAGAGGAAUAUCAUCAGACCAUUAUAAUAAAUGGCAACAAAAGAGAACUACUUGACUGAAAAGAGAAAUUAAACCAAAGACUACUACUCCUAAUAACUCACGAAGUUCAACACAAACAUGAAGGCUCCAAAUUACUAAAGGACUUCAAUUAAAAAUUGAAUUGGACAAAAAAGAAGACUACCGUGUUUCUUUUUUUUAAAUAAAACAGAAAAUAGAAAGAAAGAAUGAAUGAAUAAAGAAAAAAAAACCACACAAACAAAAAUGGAAAACGAAAAAAUAAAAUUCAGUAAAGCACAAUUAAGAUUAAGGGGCAAUUUCCAGCAACAGUGCCAACUACUGUCAAGAAGACAAUUUUUUAAAAGAAAAAUGACAUAAACCCAUUGAAUUCAUAGAAUUCAAGAUGAACCAAGGUGGAAAAUAAAAGUGCAGUUAAAUAAAUUCAAUCGUUUUGUAAAAAACAACUCAACAACAGAUUGUAGUCAAAGAAAAAUUAGUACUCUUUCUUCCAGUAAACCAACUUAAGAGAAAUAUACCAUCAAUCAAAGAAUAAUUCAUAAGUGAUCAUCGCUUCUUUCUUACACUGUUCAAUCAACAAACAAUUAGACUUUAGACAGACACAAAUAGAAUAUAAUCAUAGGUAAUAAUUAAUCUACCUCAUCUAUAGGUCCUCUAUUUCGAAAAAGCGGUUCAACAACGGACAAUGCCUUUGCAUGUUCGUGAAGAUGGAACCAGAUAACCGCCUGCCCAAGCCACCACAUGUCCACCUCUCUCCUCUCAACCACCACUUCAUUUCUUAAUUUUAUUUUUGUUACUUUAAUAGUGUCCUAAUUUCUAAAUUAAAAUAAGUUUUCUAAUUUUAGUCCAAAAUAGAAUGCCAUUAAAUUGAUGUGUAUCGGAUAAAAAUGUUAGAUUAUUAAUAGAUACUUGUUAGUGCUUGGAUUGUAAUUUAUGAUUUUUUUAUAUUGAUUUGAUCAUGUGAUGGUUGAUUUCUAUUUCUAUAAUAUAUAUAUAUAUAUAUAUAUAUAUGUUUUGUUUUUGAACAAAAAUACAUAAGUUUUUAGCUCCAUGAUAUGAAUUUUUGUUUUAAUAAUUGAAUGUGUAGAAAUUAAGAACAUGGAACGAUAUAAUACAUGACAAUCAUACUCGAUUAGUUUAAACAAUGUUAUUUCGAAUAGUACAACACCAAUUUUGAUGGGUUCAAUCCGAUUUCGGAUAGUUCAACUUGGGAAGAGAUCCGGGAUCAAAUUUCAAUGGCCCGGAUCACUUGAUCAUGGGCCUUUGAUGGGAGAGAUCUGGACUCUUUCCAUUCAACUCCGAUACUGGGACCACCCAAUGAUAAAAGUCUGGACCCGCCACUGGGUACAUGUAGGAGCUACGAGAAGCUUAGGCAUAUACAAGGCUGGGUAAUCUAGCGGUCGAUAAGUACAACUGGAGUAGGGAAAUGUGGGCCUAUACUCGUAUGGAAUAUGGUAGUGAUCGGGAGGAGGAUGAGGUUGUAAUACCCCGUAUUUAAAAAAAAAAAAAUAUAUAUAUAUAUAUAUAUAUGUAUGUAUGUAUGUAUGUAUGUAUGUAUGUAUGUAUGUGCGAAGUUAUAAUUUUAUUGGGUUCCUUAUGGGUGCGUUUGGUACGCAGACGGAACGGGACGGGACGGGACGGGACGGGACGGAACGGGACGGAACGAAGGUGUAAUUUUUGAAAAAGACAUGGGGUAUAUUUGUCUUAAAAUGGUAAAACAUUGUGUUCCACAUACGUGGAACAAACCCGUUCCAGGGGGGAGGUGGAACGCAAAAACACCCAAAAUCUGUCCCGUGGAACAGCCCGUUCCACCCAUUUUUGGCGCACCAAACGCGGGACGGAACGCCUCGUCCCGUUCUGUCCCGUCCCGUCCCGCGUACCAAACGCACCCAUAUAUACGCUAUGAGUAAAAAAAAUUUAAAAAAAAUUAAAACUCGUAUUUUUAACAUGUAAGUUAGUAGGGAUCCUUUCACUACAAGAAUAUAUCUAACCCUAGCUAGUACUUUUAAACUCAAAUUUCUCCAACUAGAGAGGUUUCUAGUGUUUGCCAUCCUCAUUGUAGUUUUGUAAUUUUGUACAUAACUUAUAUAUGUAUUAGAUUGUUUUAGGCAGGCCCUAAAGUUGUUUUUACUUGCUAAUGGCAAUUAUCAUUGCUAUAGCUGAGCUUCAUGUGGGAUUAUUUGAGUAGUUUUUGCGUAUUUCAUUUUUCUCCAAAGGGUGAGGUGGAAGUUGGUAAUUAAUAGAAGAUAAUAAUUAGGGUGUGGAGGUGGGAAGUCUAUAGCUUAUACGUAUGGCUAAGUGUUGAGUUUGGAGUGAGUUGGCAAGUUGAGUUAAUGUAGUGUGAUGAUUCAUCCCCCAAGUUUGGAGAGGUGUGAGUCUAUAUAGGGUCAUAGACUAUGUAUGUGUAUGUAUUGACAUGCAUGUGGCAAUAUGUUGUUGAUGUUUUAGAGUGCUUACUCACUAGCCUAGGGGAAAUUUCAAUUAUUUGUCUAUAUUCUCUCUUAAAUGCUUCAAUCUAUCAUUCCAAAUGUUCCAAUGAUAUGAGAACAAAUGAGCUUCCAAUGUCAAGGGGGACGUAAAUGGCCAAAUAGCAACAAGAGGUAUGAUUACAUUCUAUAUAAAUGAAGGGGAAGAUCAGAAGAACGCCAAGCCAGCAAAGAAGAAAUCCUCCUUUUCUCAUAUCCCUCCUUCUUUAGCAUCCAAUUUGAGUAGAUUAUGUAAUGGCUUUUCAAGCUACUUUCAUUGUAUUUUGUAAAUCUCAUUUUUAGUGAAUUACAAAUAUAAACACGAGUCUAGUGGACGUAGCCAAAUUGGCAAACCACUUAAAUCCGGUGUGUGACUCUGUUAUUACAAGACUAUACUCUCUUCUUCUUUACUCUCCUAGUAAGAGCUAUGAAAACACCACACCAAUCAAUUAAAAAUUAGUUUGUUGUGCAAGUCUAAUUAACGUGACUACAAAUGAAUGGAAGAAAACAGCAUUAGAAAGCCAAGGAACCAAAAAUGGAUUCUUUUGAUCAUCAUCGCGUCAAGCUCGCCAUUGCCAACCCAAGUCCUCAUAUCUUUAUCAUCAACUCAACCUCACCUCUCACUCAACAACUGCUACGAUUGGCCAUUCACACUCACUAAUGGCAACCACAACGAACGAGACGAUGGAUGACGUUGUGGCUAUGCUCUCAUGAGAGUCACUCCAUGUGCCUCAUCCAUCCCCGCCAACUAUCACCACCCUUGGUUAUGAUUUUUUGACAAACUGAGAUGAUGAGAAAGAGAUGAGGUGUAUUAUGAUGAGUGAAAAGGGAGAGCUGUGAGAGGAGAUGAAAGAAAGGAAAAGAGUACGAAGCAAAAGCAGGAGUGAAAAGGAAGGAGAGAAUGAGUAAGGAGAGCCAGAUGAAAGAAAGUUAUCAAGUGGAGAGAGAGAUAGAGAGAGAGAGAGAGAGAGAUGAGAAGAAGUAGAAGGGUGGGCCAAAAUAAAAAUAAAAGAUAUUUAUAUUGUUAUAAAAAUGAUCUUCAAAAGGCUGCACAUAUGAUGUCAGUUUACUAAUUGUUGGGAUACUAUCUUUUAUAAAUUGGUUAGUCGGUGAGUGAGGGAAGAGAGAUGAGAAGAAGUAGAAGGGUGGGCCAAAAUAAAAAUAAAAGAUGAUGUUUGGAAAGGGAAAAGUUAGGGCUGGUUUGGUAUUGCUGUGCUUUGAAAAAAAACUGCUGUGAAAAUAAGCGGCUGUGCUGUGAGAAUAAGCGGCUGUGAAAUAAAGCCAGUAGAGUGUUUGGUAAACUUUUCUGUGAAAGUGCUUUUGGAAAAAAAAGCAGGAUGAUAGUGUGUCUUUUCAUUAAAGGAGCACUGUAGCUCCGUGUGCUUUGAAAAAACUGGCUUUUUUUUCAAAGCAGCAAAUAGCAGCUUCAGCUUUUCCUUUGAUUUUCAGCUUAUUCUCACAGCAGUUUCCAAAAUAAGCCCUUUUUUUUCAGUUUACCAAACACAAAAAUGACCCUCAGCUUUUUUUCACAGUGACUUUUUUUAAAAUCACCUCAAUCCCAAACGGGGCCUUAGAGACAUGAUUUCAUGUCUUGUGGCCUUUGAGACAUGUAUUUCACUUUAACAAUUAUCUUCUUUAACAUAGAUGUUUAUUCCUUUCUAAUAAAAACAGGUUGUCCGACCAAAAUGGACGAGAUGUUGGAAAAAUAUAUAGAGUGGUCAAUGAGCAACACCUUAUAUGAUGGAUCAUAAAUUACUACUUUGUUAUUGAUAUUAUGAUUAUAUUACUUUUGUUACUAAUCAAAUUGGUUUAUGUUGAAGCUUGCAGGUUUGUAAGAUAAAAUGUGAGUAUUAUGCACAUGACGUAUACAUAUGCAUUGCAAAGCAAGAAAAAGAGUUGUGUUGUGUCAAGUGCUCACCUGUGUAGAGUGUUUGCAUUGUGAGGAUAUUCAUGGGUUGAAGUUUACCUUGAAUAUAAAAUAAUGAACCUUGUAUAUGUCAAAUGUAGGGUGCAGGGGCUUGAGUAUACAAUUGGUUGAUUAUUAAAAUAAUGAAAUCUUGUAUAUGUCAGACGUAUGGUGCAGGGCUUGAAUAUACAAUUGGACGUCAGGGGAAGUGCCUGUUUAAUAAAGUGGGGUUUAAGGGAUGAACGGGAGUUAACUCAUAUUCUAACGUAUCCAUAGCCAAGUGGUAUAAGUAUGGUAUGGGACAUGGAGAUUAUUAUAUAGUGUUUGCUUGGCGAAGCUAGGGUUCCUAUCACAGUGUAGUGGGGCCAUGUUUUAUUUUCUGUCAGCAUUCUUCAGAUGGCUUUAGGGGUGAGGAGUGUUGGAAUCUUAACAUUUGGAAACUCAGGAAGGGGUAAAUGCGAAGCUUAACCUUUGGAGAGAAGUGUUGGAAUCUAAAGUCUUCGCCUAAGUCGAUCAAAGACAGAAUAUAUGGAGUGCAAGUUCAGUGCAAAUGGAGGCCAAAAUGAGUUAGGGGUGAGGAUCGGAGAUCAGGAAAUACCAAAGAGCGACCGUUUUCGCUACCUAUGAUCUAUCUUGCAAAAGAACGGAGAAUUAGAUGGAUACCUCAACCAUAGAAUACAAGUUGGAUGCAUGAAGUGGAAGAGUGCAUCCGGCGUGUUGUGUGACCGCCGUAUGCCACUGAAGCUCAAGUGAAAAUUUUAUAGGACGACAAUAAGGUCGGCGAUGCUAUAUGACACAGAAUGUUAGGCGGUGAAGCAUCAACACGUACAUAAAAUGAGUGUAGCGGAGAUGAGGAUACUUCGUUGGAUAUGUGGGCACACGAGAAAUGAUAAGAUUAGGAAUGAGGAUAUCCGAGGUAAAGUAGGAGUAGCCGAAAUUGAAGGAAACAUGAGAGAAAAUCGGUUACGGUGGUUUGGACAUAUGCAAAGAAUGCCUACUGAUGCUCCGGUUCGAAGAUAUGACUAUGGGACAGAGGUUCAGAGCCGAAUGGGUAGAUGAAGACCUAGGAAAACUUUGGAAGAGACCCUAAAAAAAGACUUAGAGUACUUGGAUCGAAUGGAAGACAUGACACAUAACCAAGUACAAUAGCGUUCUAGGAUUCAUAUAGCCGACCCUACUUAGUGGGGAAAAAAUUUGUUGUUGUUGUUGUAUUCUUCAGAUGGCUUUAGUAGCUUAUUCAAAUAAAACCCAGACGUUGGCCAUGGAAAAAUUUUGAGAGAGAGAGAGGGGGAGAUACAACUUUAUUUUAUUAUUUUUUAUUAAGUCGGUAUGAACAGUUUGAAAUCCAAAUCGAAAUUCUUUGCAACCUCGGAAGCAACCCCAGAUUUUGGCCAUGGAAAUAGGACUUGGAUUGUCUGCCCUCCUAGUUGUGGUGUCCUUCCAUGCCCUCCUAUUUUGUACGGUCACGGUUAAGCCACGUCAAUAUUUUAUAUUUUUAUUAUUUUUUGUCUUAUUAUCUUAUUAAAAAAUUAAUAUAAAAUAUUGACGUGGCUUAACCGUGACCGCACAAAAUAGGAGGGCAUGGAAGGGCACCACAACUAGGAGGGCAGACAAUCCAAGUCUAUGGAAAUAUGUUAGAGAGAGAGAGAGAGAGAGAGAGAGAUUUCCUCCUUCAUUGCUUUGCUUCCAGGACUGAAAUUCUCAAUCUUUAUUGCUCCACUUAGAUUCUCAAUCUUUAUUGCUCCACGUGGACACGUAGAUUCUCUAUCUUUAUUGCUCCACUUAGAUUCUCAAUCUUUAUUGCUCCGUCCCAUGGCCAGCUUUAUUUAAAGUUGUUUCUCGCCCUCGCUCUCUCUCUCUCUGAGCAAGUCCAUCCCUAAGGACUUUACGUCUGCAUCCAGCGCAUUUAUCCAUUCAAGUGAACAGUAAUAGACUGGAAUGAACAGAAAUAGGUCAAGGCAUCUCCACCCCUAAAAAAAUACGCUGGCACCCAACAUAUUUAUUUGGUGUGUUUUUUUUUUUUAAUUUUAUUUCGGAUAAGAUUUUUAACCAAUUUCGGAUAAAAUUUCAAAUAAACUUAAAAAAAAUACACACUAAAAUAAAAUUACAUACUCAUCAAAUAAACUUAAAAAAAACACACUAAAAUAAAAUUACAUAAACUCAUCAAAUAAACUAUAAAAAAAACACACUAAAAUGAAAUUACAUAAACUCAUCAAAUACACUUUAUUCUUCAACCACAAACUUUAUUAUUUAUAGAAAAAAAUAACUUUUUUUUUAAUUUUCUGUAUUUUUUUUUAAAUUUUUGUAUUUUUUAAUAUUUUUUUGUAUUUUUUUAUAAUUUUUAAUAAAUUUUAAUAUAGUUAAUUAAUAUGGACCGUUGGAUUUGAAAAAUAUUCAAAUCCAAGAGCCAAGGAGUUGCCACGUGGCCACUUGCCCAGCUUCUUGGUCAGUCAGUUUUGAGCUAGCCCAGAGACCAGCAUAGGCUGGGCCCCAUGCUGUUGUGCGGGCUGGAGGUAAUGGACAGAGUGCUGGGCAGUUUUUUGGACUGAGUGCUGGGCAAUGUCCACUCCGGUGGACUUGCUCUCAGAGGCAGAUGGUCUGCCCUUCCGUACCGUGCCAUUUCCUUCUCCUAUUUGUACGAUCACAAUUAAGCUACAUUAAUAUUUUAUAUUUUUAUUACUUUUUGUCUUAUUAUCUCUAUUAAAAAAUUAAUAUAAAAUGUUAACGUAACUUAACCGUGGCCGUACAAAUAGGAAAGAAAGAGAAGGGCACGAUAACUAGAGGGCAGACAAUCUGCCUCCCUCUCUCUCUCCCUCUCUCUAAUAUUUUUCCAUGGCCAACGUCUGAUUUUAUUCGAAUAACCUUUUGACAAUCAAUAUGUAAUAUAACAUCAAGUUUAUUUUAAAUUUCAAUCUUAUUAAAUGAUUUAAGUUAAAAACAAUCAAUAUGUAAUCUAACAUCAAGUUUAUUUUAAAUAUUAAUUACAAUCAAUAUGUAAUAUAACAUCAAGUUUAUUUUAAAUUUCAAUCUUAUUAAAUGAUUUAAGUUAAAAACAAUCAAUAUGUAAUCUAACAUCAAGUUUAUUUUAAAUAUUAAUCUUAUUAAAUGAUUUAAGUUAAAAAACUCAUUUAUGCAAAAACUUGGCAAAAUUUUAUUUAAACUCAUGUAACUUAUUUCUACACCCAACUUACUCUUUACACAUAUUGAUUUUUAACUAAACUAUUAAUAUUUCUUUAAACCCAAAUUUAUUACCUAUUAAACCCUCGUAAAGAAGCAUUGAAUUGGAGCAGGAGCUGCGUAGGGACGACUCCUUCGAUCAAUCGAUUUCAACAUGCUUCUAAUGUUAAUUGAAACGCUUUCUUUCUUUCUUUCUUUUUCUUUUUUUGGUUGAGCGAGUGAUAGUCUGAAGCAUUAUUCUUAGGGUCUCUGCCUUGACACGCCAACCAGAACGCACAGAUAGAAUUAACAAAAAGACAAAUGGGCUCAUGAGAAAGAGGAAGGAGAUGAGUGAGCUUUUUUUGGUAUUUUUCUACAGGGGACUGGGACGGCUUUUGAGCUCAUCGACACCCCCAGCAACUUUGGGUCCGAGAUGAAAUUAAAAUGUUGUUGUAACUCGUGGAAGGAUUCAACAUAGAAAUCUGAGGGGUGUGUGUAAUCCACAUCAAUAGUCUGAAAGGGGGAACUAGAAAAAAGGAUUGUGGGACAAGAAGUUAGAAUUGAACCGAAGGUUCCAAUCCCUUUUUAACUUUCGUGUUUAUUUUCCAUCUUGUUUCUGGCUGCAACUUCCCUCACCAAAAACAAUUACAUUUCUUGUCUGUUCAACUGUACCCCUCGAAACUCCAAAGCAUAAUCCUGAUCACUGAUCCCCGCCAUUAACAUAUAUCAAAUGGAACUAUAUAUAUGUACACGCAUGUGUGAGCAGUUGGUUGCAUGUAAUCGAAGAAACAUUAAUCAAGUUUAUUGAUAUUUCCCCAAUCUUGUAAAUUAUUGGUUGUUUUUCUUAAUAGAAAGUGCUGCCAUCUACAUUUUUUUGUUAAUAUGCCAUCUACACAAUAAAUGUUUGGGUUUAUUGAUAAAUAUGAGUUUUAUUAUUAAUUUCAUUGUGUACUUAAUAGUAAUUAUGCAAUAGUGUGAAAUAGACAAUUAACAUUUAAAAUUUAAAUUGGAUGUAGAAAUAGGUUAAAUGAGUUUAAAUAAAAUUUCCCAAAAACUUGGCAUCCAUCUAAUACUUAUUGGUGACAUAUUCCUUGUCCUUGGUCAUGGAAAAACGUUAGAGAGAGAGAGGGGGGGGAGGAUUUUGUUUGGGUUUUUGGCAUGGCGGUUGACAUUAAUUCAUAUGGGAAUAAUAAUUACAAAUACUAAUUGACUUCAGACCCAGAACUAAUUGGGAUGUAAAGUAAUCUUUGUUCAACCUUUUGAGUUUUUACUAGAAUAACAGUCUUUCUACUUGCACUGCCCUUUGCUUUGAUAUCUGCAAGUACUGCAAACUGGUUUGAGUUGCCUUACAUCUUGGAGUUAGUUUCUUUUUUUCUCUUAACUUCUUGUGAUAAUUACGCUUUGUGUUCGCGCCUAAUGAAGUCGAAUUUAAAUUAUAAACUAGUUGCAGACAAGAAAUUAUUCUCUCUCUGCAAAUUAAAAAUCAAAUCAAGUUGAGUUCAAGAGAGCAGCUCUCCAUUAUUUGGUCACCAAAUUUACAAAUCAUCAAAAGUAAAAUUACUGGAAAAAUGGAUUCAUUCAGUUCAAUCAUAAUUUUACAUGAUCAUCCAGAACAAAACACCAUAGACAAUUAAAGAAACACUAAAAUUAAUAAGAGGAGAAAUUAAAAGCCGGAGAAAAUCGUCUUACAAAUCUUCAUUCCAUACCAAGUUCUGCAGCCACUAAAAUUAAUAGUUAUUCAAGUAGCUGCUUCCGAAUAAGCACUGCGGAGCUGCACUCCUACCGGCACACAAAUUCUACACUGGCGGGCACUUUUUUCUUGAGGUGUUGGAUAGCAUGAUCUCUGGCAUUCUCUUCUUCAUUCUCCAGUAGGCAAUUGAUCUCGAUUCCCGUAGGCUGACACCAAAACCGGACAGGAUUUAUAACAAUCUUCUCUAGUGCAACAACAUUCUUCACCCAAGUACCUGCCAUGCUUUACGCAACACUUGUGACCUCGAUACCCUGCUAUUUCUACCACCUUGAGGCAGUGAUGGGGUUGUUUGGAAACUUUCUCUAGUAUUGCCAUGUCCUCAUUGGAGGUUCCGAAACCCAACUGCAACAUGGAAAGCAAACACAACCAGAUUCAAAACAAACCCCGUUAUUAAUUCUUUUGGCUCUUCGAGAAUACAGGUAACAGAGAGAUCGUGAGAGGACAUUGAUGCAUAUAUCAAGUUUAACUUUGGUAACCUAUCAAUAACAAAGGCGUACAAUACAUACAUACCCCCAAAACAAGGCUGCGCAAGUCAGGAGCUGCCUUCAUGAAAGAAGCUAAGCGACCAAGGGACAGACAGUAGUUGGCAUCCACUAAUAAUUCCAAAUGCUUUAGAUUUGAUAACGCGGGAAACGCAUAAUUCUGAUUGUAGACCUGAAAGCCAACAACAACUGAGUAAGGGACGCGACAAUAGUUGAUCUCAACCAAAUAACAUGGGAUAAGUAUGCUAACCGCUCCCCUGAUAUCCAGCUUCAGGGUCUCUAAAUGAGAAAGACGGCAUGAGAGUUGACUGAACGCAAGCCUUAUGAAUUCAGCAAAAGUGCCCCACUUGUAAAUGGAUACCUCAACCAGCAGAGGCACAUUAUUGAAACUCAAAUCUAUUAUUGGUCCAACAUCAAGAAGAAGAAAUUAGACUAGAUGUUAAUGGAUUUAUCAUAUUGAUGGAAAUAACAGCUCCUGCAUAAUGCCGAUGCUUGUCGCAAUAGAAAAAUGCAAAUUACUGUACUAACAAAAUAACUGUCCAUGUAUACUAGCUCUAAUAAUCUUCGUAGUUGCUACAACUUGGUACCACCAAGUGAACCAAAAUCACAAGAAAUAGAAUUCAGUACUUGACUUGCAAGAUUACUCUCAGCACCAUCCUUAGAAACCUCGGGAAACUAAACUCAUCAUUCAAACUGUUACCAACUUUGAUGGAAAGCCCAGAACUAUAACCUCACUAAAUUAUAUGAACUUGAAAAUCAUCUGUUGCCCCCUUUAAUGGAAAGUCAAAUAUAAUUAUACAACAGGGUCAACAGAGACCAUAUCUAGCUUAAGGUUCAACUCUGCCUGCUUCUGCAUGGCUAUGGUUCUAUAAUUAUUCUAACUUGUAGUUCCACGUCAAAAAACCUCUAACCCUCUCUCGACAAAGCUUUUUCCUCCUAACUAAGAAGUAUACUUUAGACAUCAAAGAAGGAAUGAGUAUAUACAACAAAAAUGAUAAAAUCUAACCCCAAGAAGUAAACAGAAGUCAUUUCAAGACUAGUCAGCUUAAAUUAAUCUCAAUAUGUUGAUAGAAAAACAAUGAGUACCCAAGGCACCAAAAAAAUCUACCACUACUCCACCCAAAAGCACUUAAGUACAGACAAAGAAAGAACCCACCACGCCUCCUCAAAUAUAUGCGAGCAGUGGAAGACUAUAUAUCUCUGCGUAUUUUGAAUGGAAAAAAAAAAGAGAAAAUUUAAGAUACCUUGACAUCAUAAAGCACAUCAAGCAACCUCUUAGGGUCUGAACAACCUUCCCGAUUCGCAAGUCCGAUAUUAUGAAAAGUCUAAUAAGAAGAUCCAUAGUAAGCAAAUAUACAUUACAAAAAUACAAACUUAACUCAUUUCAGAAAUUGGGUUUUCAAAAAGAAAAAAGAAAAAAGCUUCAUCUUUUCAUAUAAAAUUAAAGAAAAAGAAAGAGAAUUACUUUGGGAUCGUUUGGCUUCCUCUUGAGGCACUCAGACAAGGCGGUAAGGCGCUGAUCGAACUUGCCCGGCUGGAACUGCAGCAACGCAACCUGCGCAAAAGCUCGGGUCACGGACAUGACGGCUUCGUCCUCAGCAGCUGAAGCAGAAGCGUCCCGAUUCGCAAGCGUCGAUGACGAAGACGGAGCCAUUGGCGAAUCGAUCGCUCAGAGCCCAGGAACCAAUAAGACUUAUCUGAAUACACGAAUCCCCCAGAAAAAAUUAUCGAAAACGGCGAACCCUAAUGGGUAGAAGGUGCGUUUUGGGAAUUGAUUUGAAAUCAGAGUUGGGGGCUUUCGAAACCCUAAGAGCUUUGCAGAGAAGGACACCCGUUAGAGCGUCUUUUCUCGAAUGUGGCACUGGAUAUGGGGAUUGGGAACCUAUUUUCGCGCCAUAACGCGGGAAAGGGUGGCGGGUUUAUUAACUUGGGGCCUGUUGGGCUACAGGCCCAAAUAAACUGAAACCCAGAUGUGAUAAGUUGGGCUGUAGGGGAUUCAAUUGCCCAAUUGGCUAGGCAAUAGGGUAGGGGGUGGAUUCGCUCUUACCCCACUAGAUCGCCUCUCUGCUCUUACCCCACCCGACCCCUUCUCUCUCUCGAUAUAUAUAUAUAUAAGCAGCUAAAUGAAAUACAAGGACGAAACCCCUAGCUUCGAGAGUGACCGCCGUUUGAACCGUUGAGAUGGAUGCCUUCUGUAACAAUGGCGAAUUUCCAAUUGAUCCAAUUGAAGGGUAAAUCUGUUGUUAGGAAAUUUUCUGUGUUUGAUGUGGACAAUUAAAGAAACAGUAAAAUUAAUAAGAGGAGAAAUUAAAAGUCGGUGAAAAUCGUCUUACAAAUCUUCAUUCCAUACCAAAUAGUUAUUCAAGUAGUUGAUUCCGAACAAGGUCUAAAAUAUCGAUAUUAUCCCGAUAUUUUCAUCGAAAUUUUCGUGUUUUGGACUACUGAUAUUUCCGAUAUCAUCGAUAUUUUAGACCUUGAUUGGAACUCUAUGUGAUACUAAGUCACUCAUGUAUCUUACCAUACAAUGUAUAAAGUGUAAAAUAUUGUACUAAUUCAUUAUAUAUAAAUGAUUACGGUGUGUUUAAACUUCUUUCAUUAAUUACUACAUAUUUUCUACACUCACAAUGUUUGCCAGCUCGUUAUAUAAUCAACUUAAAUCAGUUAAAUCCAUCAUGCAAUGUAUUUCCUUCCAAUUUUUUGUGAUAAACUAAUAGAUAAUUGAUUAAAUAAACAUCCUGCAAAGUUUUUGGAUUACCGAUAUUUCGAUCGAAAUUUCCGUGCUUUUGGACUAUCGAUAUUUCCGAUUUCAUCAACAUUUUAAACCUUGAUUCCGAAGAAGCACUGCGGCACUGAGAGAAAAAAAUAUAAAAGAAUAGAGAGAAAAAGAGGUAGAAAAGAACAGACACAAAAAACGUAGGCUUUAGUUCUCAAAAAAAAAAAAAAACGUUGGCUUUUUGUUUGAACAUGCAAGAAAAAUGAUUAUGGUUGAGCUUGGAAAUCUCCUGGUCGCCAGGAAGGAACCAUCACUAGGGUGUUACUUUGGACUGAUAAUCAUUCGGGGCGGCGUGUACCAGAUUCCUUGUUUGUGAUACGUUCGUUCUUUUCUACUUUUUUUUUCUCUCAGUCCUUUUCUACCAGAUUCCUUCGGAAGCAGCUACUUGAAUAAUUAUUAAUUUUAAUGUCGGUAGAACUAUUAAUUUUAGUGGCGGUAGAACUUGGUAUGGAAUGAAGAUUUGUAAGACGAUUUUCACCCGCUUUUAGUUUCUCCUCUUAUUAAUGUCAGUUUCUCAUGUUUUGUUGGAAUUUUCCCUAAAUUAUGCAAGUAGGUAAAUUAAUAUAAUAGUAGGUAAAUUAUGCAAGUAAGUAAAUUUCAAUAAUAGUAGGUAAAUUAUGUACGUGAUUUACCUACAUUUGUUUAUUUGAAUUAAAUAUCUAGACUGUAUAUGUAAAUAAUUUACCUAUAGUUGGUUCUUUUAUUUUUCUUUGUUCUAAAAUUAAUUUACUUGCAAUUUUUAUCUCCUUUCAACAAUUUUUUUAUAUAUAUUUUAAAGUACAAUAAUUUACUUAUAUAUAAUAUGGACACGUUGUAAUGGUGAAUUGAAAUUCGAGAGCCAAACUAACCAACAAAUCCUUACAUUUAUAUGCAAAAUAUUAUUUUUGUAAAAUCAUUAAUUUCCCCUUGCAAUUUGCAUAUAAUUAAUUGUGUACAUUAAACAUUCAAUAAGGGUGUUUUAGGCAUCCGAAAAAUUUUAAAUGGGUAAAGUCAAACAUAAUUAAUGAAUUUGCUUAUGUUGAGUCUAGUUAAUGGGUUUUAUUCAAGCAAAAAAAUUUACGUCAGGUUUUAUGUAGAAAAAAAUUAAGUUCCAAAGGCUAAGGUCAUAUUUUCAGUAAUUUAAAUUCGACUUCAUUAUGCGCAAACACAAAGUGUAAUUACCAUAAGAAGUUAACAAAUGAGCAUAUUUUGGAGAAAGAAAGCAAAACUAACUCCAAGAUGUAAGGCAGCUCAAACCAGUUUGCAGUACUUGCAGAUAUCAAAGCAGGGGCCGUACAAGUAAAAAGAUUGUUAUUCUAGUAAAAACUCAAAAGGUUGAACAAAGAUUUAUUUGCAUCUACUUUGAUUCCAAUUAAUUUUAGGUAUGUUGUCGAACAGUAUUUGCAAUAAUUAUUCCCAUAUGAAUGCCAAAAAUCCAAACACAAAACUCUCCCUCUCUCUCUCCCUCAAUUGGAAUUUUGUGUAUCGAGUGUUUGGAGCUCCUUGGAAUUUUGUGUACUCGAGUGUUUGGAGCUCCCGAGUGUUUUUUGUGUACUCCGAAGUUCAUUGACAUGACUAAUAAAAUAAUAUAAUUUCCCUUUCAUAUAGUAUUUGCAGCAAUAUUUAUUCCACAUGAAUUAAUGUCAACCACCAUGCCAAAAACUCGCGAACUCGAGUGUUUUUUCUGUACUCCGAAGAUCGUUGACGUGACUAAUAAAAUAAUAUAAUUUCCUUUUCAUAUGGUAUUUGCACUUUUGUAGGAAUAUUUAUUCCCAUAUGAAUUAAUGCCAACCGCGCCAAAAAGGACUUGGAUUCUCUGCCCCUCCUAAUUCGGUGCCCUUUUCGUGCCCUCCUGUUUGUGUGAUCACGGUUAAGUCACGUUAAUAUUUUAUAUUACUAUUUUUUUUUUAUCUUAUUAUUUUUAUAAAAAAUAAUAUAAAAUAUUAGCAUGGAUUAACCGUGACCGCACAAAACAGGAGGGCACGGAAGGGCAGAGAAUCCAAGUCCCGCCAAAAAACCCAGACACAAUACUCUCCCUCUCUCUCUCUCUCCCCCUCAGUUGGAAUUUUGUGUACUCCGAAGUUCAUUGACCUGACCUGACUAAUAAAAAAAAUAUAAUUUCCUUUUCAUACUCCUGCUUUGGUGACAUUCGAAUAUUUGAUUGGUUAUGAUCCGUUGGACUCGUUAAGAAGCAUGCAGGGGAAAAAACCAGCCAAUUUGUCAAACGGUUAUUCGAAUAAAACCCAGACGUUGGCCAUGGACAAAUGUUAGAGAUAGAGAGAGAGAGAGAGGGAGAGACAACUUUAUUUUAGAAAUAUUUUAGAUGCGGUUCCUAAUCCUUAAUAUUCUUUGAUUAAAAUCUUAUUCAAAGUUUGAUCAAGGUCCUUUGACUUUGUACACCUCAUUAUAUGACUAUUAAUAUUUAUAUUUUUAUAGUUUUGACAUUAAUUGUUUGAUAUUUUAUAAGAUUUAUAAUCCUAUAAAUUUAAAAUCUCUCAUUAUAAUACUAUUAGAAACGGUUACAAUAAAAAAAUUCAAACAUUUUGAUUGAAUAAAUAGAUAAAAACUAUGUAAAAAUAAGAAAUAAUAAAUGACAAAAAAAUGUAUCCAUGGUGUUGGCUUAUGAGGUUGGCAAAAGAAUGUAUCCAUCGUGUUAGCUUCUGAGGUUGGCAAAUGAAUGUAUCCAUAAUGUUGGCAAUCCUUGGACAUUAAUCUGUCCAUGCAACUUAAUAAAAAAUAAUAAAACAAAGUUGUCUCUCCCUCUCUCUCCUCUAACAUUUUUUCCAUGGCAAAAGAAUGUAUCCUUGGACAUUAAUCUGUCCAUGCAACUUAAUAAAAAAUAAUAAAACAAAGUUGUCUCUCCCUUGGACAUUAAUCUGUCCAUGCAACUUAAUAAAAAAUAAUAAAACAAAGUUGUCUCUCCCUCUCUCUCCUCUAACAUUUUUUCCAUGGCAAAAGAAUGUAUCCUUGGACAUUAAUCUGUCCAUGCAACUUAAUAAAAAAUAAUAAAACAAAGUUGUCUCUCCCUCUCUCUCCUCUAACAUUUUUUCCAUGGCCAACAUCUGGGGUUGGCUUCUGAGGUUGCAAAGAAUUUCGAUUUCGUUUUCAAACUGUUCGUGCCAACUUAAUAAAAAAUAAUAAAAUAAAGUUGUCGCUCCCCCUCUCACUCUCUCUCUCUCUCUCUCUCUAUAACAUUUUUCCAUGGCCAACGUCUGGGUUUUAUUCGAAUAAGCUACUAAAACCAUCUGAAGAAUGCUGGCAGAGAAUAAAAUAUGGCCCCACUCCACUGUGAUAGGAAGCCUAGCUUCGCCAAGCAAACACUAUAUAAUCUCCAUGUCCAUUCAAACAAGAUCACCAACUCAUUCGAUAAAUGAAAUAAAAGGGAGAAACCAAGCUUCUAAGAGUGACCACCGUUUGAACCCUGAACCCUUGAGAUGGAUACCUUCAGUAACAAUGGCGAACUUCCCGUUCAUCCAGUUGAUCCAAUUGAUUGGUAAAUCUGUUGUUUGGAGAAUUUUGAUUUUCAUUUGUUUGGUACCGCAUAGGGAAGUUUGAUUGGUUUAAUUUCUUUGGUUAUUGCUGUUUUUGUGUUCCAGGAGGCUGGAGGACCAGUUUCUGGAGCAGUAUUUUCAGGAGUCUUUGUGGCAGCAGGAGGAUGCGCUGUGGCUUCAAGAUGUCCUUUGUAAUAAUUAUUGAAGUUUUAUAUAUUUAUUUCAUGACUAAAAUUGUUACAAGUUGCAGCAUAUAAGGAAGAAGAAACGUGAAGAAGAGAGCAGGGAAGAUGGCAGCUAAGCCAACAUCAUGAUGACAUGCAAUCCCUCUAAAACUUAAUCUAAUAUCCUGCUUUUGCUUUACAGCAUGAAGAGCCGAAAGCAAAGAAUAAAAAACAGUAAGUGAGGGGGGGAACCGAAAGUAACAACACCACUAGACAAAAACUUUCUAAUAUUUUAACCCUACUUUCAAUGAUGACUGAUGACAUCCAAUACUCCCCCUCAAGCUGGAUCCAGUAGGUUGAUGGAUCCAAGCUUGGAGAGGAGCCUUUGAAACUGAUGGGAAGCCAGAGGUUUAGUGAAUAUAUCAGCCAGCUGAUCGAAGCUUUUUACGUAAUGCGUCUGAAUCACCUGCGACUGUACUUGUUCACGGAUAUAGUGACAGUCGACUUCAAUAUGCUUCGUCCUCUCGUGAAAGACGGGGUUUGAUGCUAUGUGCAUGGCAGCCUGGUUGUCACAAAAUAAUGUCAUUGGUUGAGCUGUGAACACUCCUAAGUCACAUAAAAGUCCUUUUAGCCAUAUCAGCUCACACGCGGUUGAGGCCAUUGCACGAUAUUCAGCUUCAGCACUUGAUCUUGCGAUGACAGUUUGUUUCUUGCUCUUCCACGUGACCAAGUUUCCACCAACAAAGGUACAGUAACCCGUGGUGGACUUGCGAUCGAUUGCGUUUCCUGCCCAAUCAGCAUCACAGUACCCCAUGAUUUGAGUGUUGUCAUUCUUUGCCAUGAGGAUGCCACGACCAACAGACCCUUUUAAAGUAACGUAAGAUCCUUUUGACAAGGUUCAGAUGCUCGAUGGUGGGAGAGUGCAUGAACUGACUGGCGAUACUUACUGAAUGUGAGAUGUCUGGUCUGGUGAUCGUUAGGUAGAUCAGCUUGCCGACAAGCCUCUGAUAUAAGCUGAUAUCCGAGAAUGACGUGCCUCCCAAGUCAAGCUUGAGCUUGCUAUCAAGAGGGGUAAGUGCAGGCUUAGCAUCACUCAUAUUAGCAUCUUUAAGUAGGUCCAUGACGUAUUUUCGUUGAUUAAGAAAUAGUCCCUUGUAAGAAGAUGCCAUUUCGAUUCCAAGGAAAUACUUCAACACCCCAAGAUCUUUGACUGCAAAUUUUUGUUGAAGUGACUGUUUGAGUGUGGUGAUUUCAGCAGCAUUAUCACCUGUAAUUAUUAAGUCAUCCACAUAUAUUAACACAACUAAUUUGCUCGCAGCUCUUGUGCGAAACAAAUAAUGAUGAAUCUGCAUUACUCCUUUUGAAACCAAUGCUAUGAAGAACGGUACUUAGUUUUGCAUACCAAGCACGUGGCGAUUGCUUCAAUCCAUAAAUUGACUUAUGUAACUUACACACCAAAUUAGGCUCUUGGCUUUGAGGGUGUCCUGGUGGCAAUCUCAUAUAGACUUCUUCUUCAAGAUCACCAUGUAGAAAGGCGUUCUUCACGUCCAUUUGGUACAUAGACCAACCUUUAUUGACCGCAACAGACAAUAGAACCCUUACUGAGUUCAUUUUUUGCAACAGGAGCAAAUGUUUCCUUGUAAUCCACCUCAAAUGUUUGAGUGAAUCCUCGAGCCACCAGCCUGGCUUUAUGCCUCUCAAUCGAACCAUCAGAAUUAAACUUGAUCUUAUAGAUCCACUUGCAGCCCACUGCCUUUUUUCCUUGUGGAAGUUUGGUGAUGCUCCAGGUUUUUGUGUUGGUCUAGUGCUUUGAGUUCAUCUCUCAUUGCUUCUUUCCACACAACUUGGUUAUUAGCCUUAUAAAAGUUUUGAGGCUCACUGUGACUUGAAAUAUUGUUAAGAAAGGCAGCAUGAGAUGGAGUUACCUUUUGAUACGACACGCAAUUUGAAAUUGGAUGCCUCGGUUUAUAUGUGACAAAAUCUUGAAACCUUGUGGGAGGUUGUCUAUCACGCCGAGGAUUGCGUCGAGGUUCUGGGAGGUUUAUCUCAUCCUCGUUCAAAUUUUUCAUCCACACCUUGAGGAUUUUCUUGGUUGCCGUUGUCAUCAUCAUGCACAGAACUAUCAGGAUGAGUACCUUCAUUAUUGACUUCAAUGAGAGGUGUAGAAGAUUCAUCAAUGUGGUCAUGGUUAGCACCUCUGUCAUUUAAAACAUCUUGAGUACAGAUUCUUGGUAGAGGAAUUAGGUCUAAGAUGCACUCCCCCUGACUUGUGGCUUCAUGUGAUUUGCUGAAAAAAGGGUUAGCUUCAUGAAAUCGAACAUCUUUAGAUACAAUUAUUUUUCUUAGUUGAGGAUCAUAGCACUUAUAUCCUUUUUGUGUUGAUGAAUAACCAAGAAAAAUACAUUUGAGAGCUCUAGGGUCCAAUUUAUCUCGAUGGUGUGACUGUAUAUGAACAAAACAGACACAACCAAAGACUCUAAGAUGUGAAAGGUCGAUUUUUCUUCCUUUCAUGACUUCAAGUGGAGAUUUAAACCCCAAGACUCGGCUAGGAAGUCUAUUGAUGAUGUACACAGCCGCCAUGACUCCUUGUGACCAAAAUCUCUUUGGUACGUUCAUUUGUAACAUUAAUGCUCUCGUUUUUUCCAGUAUGUCACGAUUUUUUCUUUCAGCUACACCAUUUUGUUGAGGUGUGCCGACACAACUUGUUUGAUGCAUGAUACCGUGCUUGCUCAAAUAUAAUGACAUGAUAUGGGACAUAUAUUCGGUGCCAUUAUCAGAUCUUAAGGUUUGAAUUUGAGAGGAAAAAUGAUUCUUAACAAGAUUGUGAAAAUCCUUAAAAACUUCAAUCACUUCACUCUUAGACUUUAAAAGGUAUAACCAGGUGGCUCUAGAGAAAUCAUCAACAAACGUUACAUAAUACUUAUAACCAUCAAAAGAUUCAAACGUUGGUCCCCAUACAUCUGAGUGAACUAGUUCGAAAACUUUACUAGUCCUAGAUAAGGAUGAGGUAAAAGGGUAAUCUGGUGGCUUUAGACAAAUGACAUGUUUUCACACAAAAUUAAAUCAUUUCCUAAGUUUGGAAACAAGGAUGACAAAACAGGUUGGGCAGGAUGAGCUAAACGUUGAUGCCACAAGUGACUAUCUUGGGAUGGACUGGACUUGGCUUGAAAUCCUCUGGGACUGCUUUUUGAUAUGUAAUAGAGGCCAUCAAGGUAAAACCCUUCACCAAUCGUCUUCUUGGUGAGGCAAUCCUGAAAAAUGACAUUGUGAGGGGAGAAAAUGGCUAAACAAUUUAAGGUAUUAGUGAUUUUUCCCACAGAUAGAAGUUGAAAUGGAAAAGAAGGAACAAAUAAGGCUACUGACUCAAUUUUGUCCGACAUUAAGUUGAUAUUUCCCUUCCCUAAAACCUUAGAACUCUCACCAUUGGCAGUUGAGACUUGAGAAGGUUUUGAAAAAUUUUCAAACUUGUGAAACUUAGAAACAUGGUUGGUCAUAUGAUCUGUGGCACCCGAAUCAACAAUCCACAAAUCAUGCAUCAUAUUUACAUUAAGAGCAGUUUUGAAAGCAGUCAUGAUACCUUGCAUGUCAUCUCGGGUCAUGUGUUGUGUGUCUGUCAGAAAUCCAGCGAACUUGCCUAGCAAAGCUAUUGAAUUUCCAUCUUCAAAGCCAACCUCUUUUCUUGCUUUGAAGAUACACUGCAAACUCAUUUAUGAGUGCAGCUGGAUUUGCAGUGAAAUUCUUGAGUGCAUCAGAACCAUGAGAUGUUGAGGCAGUUGCAUUGUUGGCUCUGUGUGGUGCACGGUUCAGUCUUUGUGAGCCCUUGUUAUCCUUCAUGAACUCUGGCUUUAAUUCUGGAUGUAAAAUCCAGCAUGUCUCCUUAACGUGACCAGUAUAGUUGCAGUGUUGACACUUUAAGUGUGGAUUCUUCACUUUGUAUUUUCUUUCGUUGGCUAGAUAAGCCCUUGCUUCAGUUACACCGGUCUUUGUGCCAAUGUUCAUGACUUUCCUUCGUACUUCUUCACGUUGGAUUGUUGCACAUACGCUGGUGAAGGAAGGUAGAUCGGGGUUCAUGAGUAUGUGGCUUCGUAGGUCUUCGUAUCCUGAAUCGAGGCUUGACAAGAGUUGGAAUAUCUUGUCUUCUUCUGCCCUUUUUAGUAGCAAAGACGCCUCAGUUGUAUGAGGCCGAUACAUUUCCAGCUCAUUCCACAUGCUCUUCAUGCUGCCCAGAAGUUGAACAAAGGGCUUUCCUUCUUGUUGUAGGUUGGAAAUGUCCUUCUUCAAUUGAAACACACGUGCAGCAUUGUUCUGGCUGCCAUACAUCUCCUUGACUGUCUCCCAUAGCUUGAAUGAUGAUUCAGAAUAACUGAAUAUUUCAGCUAGUUUACGUUCCAUGGAAUUUAGGAGCCAUGACAUAACUAGCUGAUCCUUGCAAAGCCAGAUUUCAUAAGUUGGUGAGGAAACAUCUGGGACUUCGAUGCUUCCAUUUAUGAACCCUAGCUUGGAUCUUCCACCUAGGGCAAGACUCACUGCUCUCGACCAAGGUAAGUAAUUAAACUCAUUUAACAAGACCGAGCUUAAUCUUUGAUUUGGAUUUACAUCCACCUCAGACACGGUUGAGGAGGAAGGCUGGGGAUUUUUCAUCUCCAAACGAAUAAGAAUGUUCUUCCGCCAUGUCGGAGAUGGAAUACGAUCAGCUAGAAGAAAUGCAGAAGCAGGUUAUUUUUUCCUGCUCUGAUACCAUAUUGAAGUUUUAUAUAUUUAUUUCAUGACUAAAAUUGUUACAAGUUGCAGCAUAUAAGGAAGAAGAAACGUGAAGAAGAGAGCAGGGAAGAUGGCAGCUAAGCCAACAUCAUGAUGACAUGCAAUCCCUCUAAAACUUAAUCUAAUAUCCUGCUUUUGCUUUACAGCAUGAAGAGCCGAAAGCAAAGAAUAAAAAACAGUAAGUGAGGGGGGAACCGAAAGUAACAACACCACUAGACAAAAACUUUCUAAUAUUUUAACCCUACUUUCAAUGAUGACUGAUGACAUCCAAUAAUAAUUCUGCAGCAGUAGUGUCAGAGGGGUAUGCAAUUUAGUAUUAUUGUUGAUAAUAUAAAUAAAUAAUGAAAAAGGACUUGCAUAUUGGUGUGUGCGUGCUCUUUUUGGUAAGAUUUAUGUUUCUCUAUAUCCAUUUUAAGAAGUAAGGGUUUAAUUUCUUUUGUCUGUUUCUGUUUUUUGUGUUUUAGGGACAUAGUCCAGGGGGAUCACCGACAUGCGGCUGCUAAUGUUUCUGCAAUGCAGGCACUGAGAUGGUUGUUUUUUGUUUGUUUGUUUUUGUUUAUCUUUUAAGGGUCGUUUAAAUUUCCUUAUUUAUUUUAUGUCAGAUGUUGUUAAUUACGUUUCCCUCUGUCUCUCUAAACUUCUUUAUCCUUCUUUUUCAGUGAACAAGUGGGUGGCUCCAUGUCAACACCAAAAAUGAUCGAAAUCAAAGUAGAAUGGCAGGAAAAGCUGGUAAAUACAAAGAGUCAGCGCAAUUUUCCGGUCGACCCAACUAAUAAGGUGUCUCUCCUGAGGAUACUUCUAGUGAACGAGAAGGCCCAGCUACCGGGGGGUUAUCUCUUUGCCUACCGUAUGACAGUACUGAAUGAAGAUAAAAGUUUCCUAGACCAGGGGAUGGUGGGUGUGGGAGUCCCGAAACUGGACGUGUUGGACAACAUGGCCAAUAAUCACCGACAGCGGGCCGCUAAUGUUUAUGCAAUGCAGACACUGAGGUGGUUGUUUUUUUUUAUUUCUCUUUAAAGUGUCAUUUAAAGUUCCUUAUUUAUUUUAUGCAGAUGCUUUUAAUUACGUUUCUCUCUGUCUCUCUAAACCUUUUUAUGCUUCUUUUUCAGUGAAAUCAAAAUCAAAGUAGAAUUGUGGAAAAGGCUGGCAAAUAAAAAGAGUAGGCACAAAUUUUAUGUCGACCCAACUAAUAAGGUGUCUGUCCUGAGGAUACUUCUAGUGAACAAGAAGAUCCAGCUACCGGACGGUUAUCUCUUUUCCUACCGUAUGACAGUACUGAAUGAAGAUAAAAGUUUCCUAGACCAGGGGAUGGUGGGUGUGGGAGUACCGAAACUGGACGUGUUGGACAACGUCACCAAUUUCUCUCGACAUUAAUUCAUAUGGGAAUAAUUAUUGCAAAUACCAUUCGACAUCAGACCCAAAACUAAUUGGGAUCGAGUAGAUGCAAAUUAAUCUUUGUUCAACCUUUUGAGUUUUUACUAAAAUAACAAUCUUUCUGCUUGUACUGCCCUUUGCUUUGAUAUUUGCAACUACUGCAAACUGGUUUGAGCUGCCUUACAUCUUGGGGUUAGUUUUACUUUCUUUCACCAAACUCUGCUCAUUCGUUUAACUUCUUGCGGUAAUUAAGCUUUGUGUUUGCGCCUAAUGAAGUCGAAUUUAAAUUAUAAUUAGCUGCAGACAAGAAAUGAUUCUUUUUGUGCAAAUUAAAAAGAAAAUCAAGUUGAGUUUAAGAAAGCAGCUCUCCAUUAUUUGGUCACCAAAUUUACAAAUCAUCAAAAGAAAAAUUACUGGAAAAACGGAUUCAUUCAGUUCAAUCAUAAUUUUACAUGAUCAUCUAGAACAAAACACCAUAGACAAUUAAAGAAACACUAAAAUUAAUGAGAGAAAAUAAAGCCGGUGAAAAUCGUCUUACAAAUCUUCAUUCCAUACCAAGUUCUGCAGCCACUAAAAUUAAUAGUUAUUCAAGUAGCUGCUUCCGAAUAAGCACUGCGGCGCUGCACUCCUAAAGGCACACAAAUUCUAUACUAGAAGGCACUUUUUUCUUCAGGUGUUGGAUAGCAUGAUCUCUUGCAUUCUCUUCCUCAUUCUCCAGUAGGGCAUCGCUAUCGAAUCCCCAAGGCCAACCCCAAAACCGGACAGGAUUUAUAACAAUCUUCUCCAGUGCAACAGCAUUCUUCACCAAGUACCUGACAUGCUUUACGCAACACUUAUGACCCCGAUACCCUGCUAUUUCUACCACCUUGAGGCAGUGAUGGGGUUGUUUGGAAACUUUCUCUAGUAUUGCCAUGUCCUUGUUGGAGGUUCUGAAACCAACUGCAACAAGGAAAGCAAACAAAACCAGAUUCAAAACAAACCCGUUGUUCAUUCUUUUGCUUCUUCGAAAAUACAGGUAACAGAGAGAUGAGAGGAUAUGAACGCACAAAAACAUUCAUACAUAUAUCAACUUUUAUUUGGUAGCCUAUCAAUAACAAAGGCAUACAAUACAUACAUACCCCCAAAACAAGGCUGCGCAAGUCAGGAGCUGCCUUCAUGAAAGAAGCUAAGUGACCAAGGGACAGACAGUAGUCGGCAUCCACUAAUAAUUCCAAAUGCUUUAGAUUUGAUAAUGCGGGAAACGCAUGAUUCUGAUUGUAGACCUGAAAGCCAACAACAACUGAGUAAGGGACGAGACAAUACUUGAUCUCAACCAAAUAACAUGGGAUAAGUAUGCUAACCACUUUCCUGAUAUCCAGCUUCAGGGUCUCUAAAUGAGAAAGACAGCAUGAGAGUUGACUGAACGCAAGCCUAAUGAAUUCAGCAAAAGUGCCCCACUUGUAAAUGGAUACCUCAACCAGCAAGGGCACAUUAUUCAAACUCAAAUCUCUUAUCGGUCCACAAUAAAUAAAGGAGACAAUGUUUCCACCAGAGAUCUCAAUGAAUCUGAGAUCAAGGCAAUACUUUAUCUCUAAAUAUUUCAACGCGAUGGAGGGACCUAUCACUCUUAGCUUGCCUAAAUCUUUGGCAAAACUCAGCGACAAACGUUCUAGAACUGGACAGUUGGACAACAAGAACUCAACAGCAUCGCUGGUCACACCAACAUGUUUAAAGCGAACAACUCUGAGGGACUUGAAGGAGCAGUACUGUAUCCACAAGGGCGUAGGCUUGGAAGGUUAGAAAACAGGCCGUUUUGCUUUUCUGGACCCAAUAGUAGUUCGUGGGGAAAUGUGUAGUCAUCAUCAAGGCAAGCUAUUGAGUCUGUCCAAAGCUCCAACUCAAGUAUUUGAACCCUCUUUUCCAUUGCAAAUUGGAUCCAUUUGGCAAUGGAACCGGCAAAGUCGCGUUGCAGAAAAACAGCAAACCCGGAAGCGUUCAAUGCAUUGGCCUCUAUGUUGGCCCAGAAUGUGAUCGACCCAAUUGACGUAGAGGAGGCUUACCUGGUCUUUCACUUGUUCUUUGAGCUUCAAGAAGCGUUGUAUAGUAGUGGCGAUAGCACUAUCGCCAACAUCAAAGUUAACAGCGUCAAAACUGAGAGUCGUAGUAGAUGCCCAGACAUGGCACCAUCACCUAGAAAGAAUACUAGUAGCUGCUGCUUCCUUUAGCGGCAAGAGUGACACUAUACAGACAAGGAUUUCGGGUGGUAAAUUACUGAUUUGGUCCUGCAGCACGGCCCAGCUGUGCCCAUCAUCCUUGCAUAUACAGAAAAGAAGAGAGAAAUACAUUCUUGUUAGCCAAAAAACUUCAAAAGCUAAAAAUCAUAAACAUAAUCCCAAAGAGUGUUGCUGGGUAAUCUUAGGCGUUUGAUUUCACGAUUCUACCAAAAUUACUCAUUAAAAAAAAAGAAAAAAACCAAUCCCAAAGAGUGUUGCUGGGUAAUUUAACAAGUCAUGUAAUCCAACCGGGUGCUUGGCCACAUUUAGUUCGUUUGUGCUCGGAAGCCAUUCCGUAAUAACAUAGUCAACAAUUUCUCUAAUAAGCUCUGCUUCUCACCUGAAAAUUGAUAUAUAAGUAGGAGCUAUCAGUAUAUAAACAAUUUUCUUUGCUUCAUAUAUAUAUACACACUAACUAGCUACUGGCCAGUAUGCGAUUUUGUGAUCAACUUGAACAAAAGAAACAGAGUCAUUCUUUGAUGUAUAAAAGUAACUAAACUCCAAUUACGGUUUACGUUUUAUACGAGAGAUAAGGUGUAUUAAUCAGGCAUGUUAGUUAGAGUAGUACAACUUAAAUCUUGAAAAGCAGGUGAAUGAUUACCCAUUGUCAUUGAUUUGAGCUUGGUAGCCGGACAAACUUGCAGCUUCUUUAAGAGCCUCUCUCCACUGCUUAACCCUUUCUCUUUCAUAUUCACGUUUCCGGUCAUCUUUUUCUUCACCGAUGUCCAAUUCGCGUUUCUGAAAUGCUUUGGCUAAAUCUUCUUCCAGCUUCCUGAAAUGCGAAGGAUCAAAGUGAUAGAAUAUUGGCAAAACAUGUCGCCCCAGUUUGGAUCUGCACUCCAUGAUCUUCACCAGCUCGUCAACACACCAACUCGAAUGCGCAUACCUCUUUGAGAAGACAAUGAUAGAGUUCCUCGACUCUUCGAUUGCCAGUAACCGUUCCUCUUUCAUUUCUUUCCCUCUUUUGAGAUCGUUGUCACCCAUAAAAGUCUGGUAUCCCCUGUCUUUUAAUGCCGCGUGGAGGUGGUCUGUGAAGCCCUUGCGCGUGUCUUCGCCUCUGAAGCUCAAGAAGACGUCGUAGUUCCAAAGUUUUGACUUGGAGGAGGAUGAAGAGGAAGCUUCGUGGGCUGUCAUGGCGGUAUCUACUGUUAUGGCACUGCAGUGGUUCAGAUCACUACUGAAACAAUAGCAGUGGUUGUGGUUGUGUUGCCUAACAGAUGAUACUGAAUACCGAAGCACAAGUCUUAUGCGUUUGAUUUCAUCAAUCUCCCAAAAUUAUUCAUUAAAAAAAAACAAUCCCAAAGAGUGUUGCAGGGUAAUUUAGAACAAGUAAUAUAAUAUCUGGGAAAUAAACAAUUCAAAAAAUAAAAAAAAGGUGCAAUUUUUUAUGACAGGGGAGAAACAAGUUUUUACUUUUUACCUUUAGUUGUUGGGAGGUCUUCGUCUCCACUGAAUCUGAACCUUAGGUGGAAGGACAUCGCGUUUGCGGUUUUGUUCUAGAUUUCAAGCCUCUAGGGUGUUGAAUUCAGGAAAGAGUGAGAGAGAAACCAACUUCAAAUUCCAAAUCAAAUCAAGGACAAGAUAAGGGAAUCAUGAUUUGGUGGGUUUCGGUCGAGAAGGGAUUUGGCGGAUUCACGGCGUCGGGGUCGCAUGUCCGAGUGGGGAAAAGGUGGUGAUCAGUGACGGAGGGGAUGGUUGGGGUCGUGACCGAGUAUUAUCGAAUAUAGCCAAAAAUUAACUCUUAAUUUCAAAAAUGUCACUUUAUAUAAAACCUUUCAAAUAUAUCAAAAUUUCACUUAAAUAGAUACAAAUACCUCCAAAUUUAACAAUUAAAUCAAUUAAAUUCUUUUUAGCUACUCUUGCCUCAAGUUCCGGUCCAACUUCACCUUCGCUUCUACACUUCACUACCACAACCCUAUCCCCUUCGACCCCCUCAUCACCGAUAUUGAGCGCCACCGCGGUUAUCGCAAGUGGGAGCAGCAGAAUUUCAAUCAUGCCUUCAACGCAUUUUUUCUUACUAAUAUCAUUUUUAGUUUUAAAUAUAAAAAUAGUUUUUAAAGUUAAUCCACAUGUCGUUAUAUGAUUGUAUUUAUGAAACUCACGUAAUGCCACAUCAUCACACUAAUAGAGCAAUUGACAGAUUUUUCACGAAAAAACUAAAAUGAUCACGAUGGACAAAUUCAAAGAAGGACUAAAAUGAUUAACAAUAGACAAAUUCAAGAACACUACUAUUGCUUAUCAUUAAUUGUUAAGGACCAGAUUAAGGAGUUAUGUCAAUGUCACGAAUCAUUUUGGCUAAAAAGCCUUUAAUUUAUUUUAUUGUUAAAUUUGAGGGUAUUUGUGUUUAUUUAGGUGGAAUUUUGGAUAUAUUUGAAAGAUUUUAUAAAAAGUGACAUUUUUGAAAUUAAGGGUUAAUUUUUGGCUAUAUUUGAUAAAUACUCGUCGUGACCGUCGCGCAAGGGGAGAAAUUUUUGAUGGUACACGAUGACGUGUUAUUAUAUAAAUGGUGAAAUUUUUUCUCUUUUUACUUAUCAUACGUCAUCUUAAUUUACAAUCGUCGAAUUGAAUGAAUUGAUAACAAUCAAAUCACAUAAAUUAAUAGAUAGUGUGUAAGAAGUAAAUAAGAUCUACACCUCCCUUCUUGUAUUGAUCUCUAAUUUAUUUUUCCACAGAGAGAGUAGUUGACAGUUUCGUGGCAGAAACGAAGAAGGUGCCGUCGAAUUCUCAUUCCGCUUAACGAAUCGCCACUAACUUCUACAAUUCCCAAAUCAAAAAAUUCCAGUAAGGGUAUGUCGAAACACAAAUCAAAAUUCAAUUUCUUUGUGUACAGGACACACAAAGAUCGAGACUUUUUUUUACUUCUAAAAUUCUACACACUUUCAAGCCCUAAAUUUUCCCGGAAAUAAAAGAAAGUGAAAGAAGUCGUACCUGGUUUGAGAGAGCAGACGCUAUCGGCAAGUUUGGUGGAGCAGUGAUGGCGGAGAUCUCUGGAGAUCUCUGGUGAGAAACCAUUGAACAAAAAAACCCCGAUUUUUAAAUUUAAAGUCAACAAAAAUUUGAACAAAUAAAAGAGAACUCAAAAAUCAAACCCCAAACAAAUAAGUCGGAGAACUCAACAGGAAACCCAAAGUUUCUGCAGGAUUGGCGAUUUCCUGAAAACCAAGCUUUGUAGGUUUAAAAUUUCUUCCCAAAGGUACCAGAUCCAACAUUCUCAACUUUAGCUAUUUCAGCUACAUAACAGAAAUUUUUUUUUAAUUUAACUAUAAUUAACUAAUCUGAUUUAAGAUUAAUAAAAAAACUUGAAAAUUUCAGCUUUAAAAUCACAUCUCAGGUUGCAAAUAGAAUAAAAAGCGUAGAAUUUUAAAACUGCUCAUCUUAAAUAUAGAGGCCUUCGCAGGCUCCAAAGAAACGUCAGAAACCCGAAAAACCGAUCUCCUGAAACCAAAAACAAAACCAAAUUAAUCACCAUCACCUAGAAUUCGAAGCCACAAACAAAAUCCCCAAAAUCACAACCAAAAAAUUUAAACAAAAAACCCAUUUAUAAAUCCAAAUUAACACUCCCAAGCAUAUAACAUUCAAAGCAAAGAAUUACCUACACCAAAUCGGCAGCAUGAAACGCGAUCCUUUAUGGGCUCCAAAUUUUUUGCAAAUCGAGACCAAAUUGACGUUGUCGUUUGCAGCCCCCGACAAAACCAUCUAAACAAAUUUUAUUGACUUAACCGUUUUCUGCAAAAAGCCGAGACACAGAGAGAACUUGAGAUCGGGAGCGAGGCAAUGAGAGGUGUUUGGGAAGGAAAUCUCGCUGGUGGGCGUUCCUGGCUCAAGCACACAACUCCCCGAGGAGUUGGCACUUUGGUUGGUUGUCGGGCUCCUACUUGUCGGAAUGCUGCAAGAGGAUGACACAGUUAGUUCUGAAAUGUGCCUUUGUGGGGCCUUAGGUGUAGGCAUUGAGGUUCACAAUCAAAACUAACUGAGUGCGAAGGCGUGUCAUUGCCAUCUCAGUAUGGCAGAUGUAGAACAAGUGUGUUUAAGUCGAUUACUUGCGCCCCAAGUUAUUUUGACUUCUUGUUAUCAAAGGAUUGUCGUAGAUGGGUUAAGUCUACAUUAAGUUCUUUUCUAUGCCUUAAGAUCAAGGACUUUUAUUUAUCUUGUAUGCUUAGAGGGUGGAUGUCCAGAUCCGAUUAAGUCAGCAGUUUAGUUCACUUUUUAUCCUCUUAUGACAAUAAAACCACUAAGGGAACCAGAUCUGAAAACUGAUGGAGCUUUGAAUCAUUAAGAGAUUGGAAAUGACUUGAAUAUAUGUUGGGGAAUACAUUAUAACACCAAAUCUAUUAAUUGAAAGACGAUACAAAGAGAGUCGGGUAAGAUUUCACCUUGUCGGGCAAGGUUUAAAUGUCUUGCAGUCUCUUCUCUUUGUAGUUACAGGAGGUUGAGUACUAAAGCAGGAUGAAUGGUGCGCAAGUUUACACAAUCGAUACUACAACAUUUAAAAAAUGUAGCAAAGCUUUUACACUAGACAAAAGAUGUCUUUCUAAGGGGAGUCUGAGGCUAAUACAUAAUCUGGACAAAACACAACUUUCUGGGUAUUUGCUUGACUAAGAGGCAAGUUGUAUAUUUGUUUGAUUGGUUGAGUGUCUUUGUCUUUGGGCCAUCUUCCUCUUUUUAUAGGCGAAUUAACCCGACUAUGUUGUUUUUGCUCUUGCCCAAAAGUAACUGAAUGAUAGUGAGUCAUCAGCCUUUUUACAUGUUCUGUCAUUCAAAAAGUGCUUUUGGGCUGAGAGUAGGUGGAUUUCCAUCGGUUGUCACUUCUCUUGUAAGCACCUAGCCUUUGCAUUUAUGUGGGGCCGUCAUAUUGUCUCAAGAUGGAUGAUCUGGGCUUGACUCUGGGCCUCGGCAAAACCUUCUUUAUUGAGCUCUUUUGGGCUUUCUUCCCUUCAAGUCCAAAGUUAAAUAUUAACCCAAACAAGAGGUUUGAGAGAAACAAAAGCGUUUGUGAGACAGAGACGAAAAUGGAAAGAAGAGUCCAAAAGAAAACCUAGAAGGAAACCUAUAAUUAAUGGGAUUAUCUAUGGGUAGAUUUAGCCUUACAAUAGUAGGAUGUUACAAUAAUGAUAAUGUAUCUAUUGUAUGGUGAAGUGUUAUUGGCACUCCAAAAAUCUCAUUAUAUACUCCUUACAAGUGUAUUUUUUUUCCUAAUAUAAAAAGUUUGGAGUGUAGAAUGAAAUUUUUGAAAUGCUAAUAACAAUUUCCGUUGUAUAUUAAAUAUGUAUUAUUGUGCCACUUAAAUUGCGAGUUCUUAACGAGUAUUUAUCAAAUAUAGCCAAAUAUUAGCCCCUAAUUUCAAAAAUGUCAUUUUUUAUAAAAACUUUCAAAUGUAUCCAAAAUAUCACUUAAAUAGACAUAAAUACCCUUAAGCUUUUAAACCUAAUAAAUUAAAAAAUCAAAAAAUCAAAACCCUAUUAGAUUAAGAAUUCUCACGGCAAAACCUAAAAAAUGGUGGAAAUCUAGUGAAGGCAUCGACGGUUGGUGGAGACUUGUGCACUCCUAAACGAAUGUGAGUAUAGAUGGUUAAUUUCUUACAUUUUUCCUUGUCUACGUUUUCUCUUUGCUUUGGUAGUUUUUUCCUUCGUAUUUAAUUUUCUGCUGCAACUUGAAGAAACAAAAACAUGAGGUUUUAUGAUGAUUGUAACACGGUUUAUACUCCAUUAUAUAUUUAUUUUGAGAUUAACAUCUGAAUAGUCAUGAGGUUUGUACAUUUCAUGGUUUGCAAUACUCGCCUUGAGAAAUUUAUCGAGUUUUCCUACAAGGGCCAAUAACAAGGUUGUUUUCCCGUAGCCAUGGGUACCAAGAAAAUCAUGUACUGCAUUUAGAAAAUUUAGGGUUUACUUUAUGAUUUUUUUUUUUUGGUGUUUUUUUUUCUUUUAGUCUGCAAUUGUCGAUUAACUGUACUAAUAAUUUGGCCAAUAUUAAAUUAAUUUUUUCAAUAUAUAUGUCACUUUCUUCUUUGCUUAUUGUUUUGCUUAUAUUUUAGGAAAAUGUCUAGUAAUAUGCAAUCUGAUGAACUCAGCUCUAACCGAUCAGAUGUUCACAAGGGUAAAAAUAUUGUACAUGAAUCAGACAUGGCAGACCUGUGCAAUUCAGAUAGAGAGAUAGUUAUAGGUCAAUUGUACGAGACUAAGGAGGAUUUAAAAAAAAUGUUGGGUAUUGAUGCUAUAAAGAACAAUUAUGAAUUCAAAGUGAAGAGAUCAAGCAAAGAAAGGUUUGAAGUUGGUUGUGUCGGCGAUGAAUGCAAGUGGAAACUAUGUGCCUCUAAAUUACAACAAUCAUCAUAUUUCAAGGUCAGGAAAUACGUUACUAUGCACUCAUGCUCAUUAGACGUUAUCAAUCGCCAUCAUCGACAGGUAAGUAGUUCUCUUAUUGGUCAAUGCAUAAAGUCUAAGUACGAGGGUGUAUCACGAGUACAUAGACCACGUGACAUCAUAGAAGAUAUGCUGAAGGACAUGGGUGUGAGUAUAAGUUAUGUGAAGGCUUGGAGAGCUAAGGAACAUGCAAUGGAGUUGGUUAGGGGAUCAUCAGAGGAAUCUUACGCGUUACUUCCAUCUUAUUUUGCUGUGUUAGAAGCCAAAAAUCCAGGUACUAUAACACAUAUUGAAACUGAUGAGAAUAAUUGUUUUUUGUACUGUUUCAUGUCACUUGGACCUUGUAUAAGAGGUUUUCGAAGUGCUAUUAGGCCAGUAAUAGCAGUCGAUGGGACAUUUUUAAAGGGUAAAUAUCUUGGCACCCUAUUUGUUGCCACAUGCAUGGACGGCAAUAAACAAAUAUACCCUCUAGCAUUCGGAGUUGGAGAUUCAGAGAAUGACGCAUCAUGGAAUUGGUUUUUGACAAAAUUACGGGGAGCAAUUGGGGAAGUUGAUGACUUGGUGUUCAUUUCUGAUAGACAUGAAAGCAUUCGGAAGGCUCUCUCAACUAUUUUUCCCAAUGCCCAUCAUGGUGCAUGCAUAUUUCAUAUAAGUCAAAACAUUAGGCACAAUUUUAAGCAUGAGAGAGCACACAAACUGUAUUUUACAGCUGCUAAGGCAUACAGAGUUCCCGAAUUUCAUCGUCUCAUGACAGAAAUAUAUAAAGUCGACUAUGAGGUGGGUGAUUAUCUUAAUUCAGCUGGAUAUGAAAAGUGGACUCGUGCGUACUUUGAUGGAAAGCGGUACAACAUCAUGACAACAAAUAUUGCUGAAUGUCUUAAUGCAAUCACCAAAGAUGCUCGAAAACUACCUAUCACAUGAUUUCUUGAGUAUUUAAGAAUGAAUAUUCUCCAGAAGUGGUUUUAUGAUCUAUAUUCCUGAUUAUCUUUACCACUGCUUGAUGUAUUGUUCCAUCUUCCCUUGUUCACUCUGGUAUAUUGCCUUCUUCAUCAACUUCUUCAUCUAUAUUCCUGAUUAUCUUUACCACUGCUUGAUGUAUUGUUCCAUCUUACCUGUCAACUACUAGAUUUUCAAAGGAAAAGUUAUUCGGUUACUAUUAGCCGAAAGACUAGUAUAAGAGAAAACACUAUUUUUAGGUUUUGCCGUGAGAAUUCAUUCAUUUAAUAGGGUUUUUGGUUUUUUUUUUUUUUUUUUAAUUUUUAAUGCAAUGAUAUAUUUUAUUUUUAAUUUAUUAGAUUAAAAGCUUAAGGGUAUUUGUGUCUAUUUAAGUGAUAUUUUGAUACAUUUGAAAGUUUUUAUAAAAAAUGACAUUUUUGAAAUUAGGGGCUAAUAUUUGGCUAUAUUUGAUAAAUACUCGUUCUUAACUGUCUCUCUAUAAAUAUUUUUUAAAAUUAAUUUACACUACAAUAGUUAAGUGUGCCAUUUGGGGUUUAAACAAAUCAAAUGAGGUCCAAUCUCACUGUUAUGUAGUAUUUGAUUUGAACAUGAGACUUAAGAUAUUGGCUUAAAUAAAGUACUUUACACUAAUAUAAACGAUUAGUGAUACAACGUAUGAGGCGAUUGAUAUGUUUUUUUUUUUUUUUUUUUACUUUUGUCGAAAGGUGAUGUAUAAACGAGUAAAACUCUUACAAUUACCAAAAUUUUGAAUUAAUUACCGGACAUGUGUAUUUUUAUGUGAUUAUUAGCCUAUUUAACCGUAAAAUACAAAGUAUCAUAUUUCACAAGCAUCCAGCUAAAGUUAGUAAAAUUGAACCAAACCAAUUUAAUCAAAUAUUCUAUAAUUGUCAAACCAAUUGCUAUUUGAUUCGGUUAAUUCCAAAAACUCUUUUUAGUGUAAGAACCAAACAAGAACCCUCAAAUUGGUUUUCUUUUCAUUGAUCGAUUUGAGCUUUCUCGAGGUCUUUUGGCCACUCCUAUGAUCUUUAUGAUUUAACAUUUUAGUUUAAUUAAAGCACUUUAACAAGAACAAGCUUUUUAAGUGCCGAUUAAUCCCAUUAUUGGAGAAAAGUCUAAUAUGAAAAUUAGACCAGAAGGAAACCUAGAAUUAAUCCCAUUAAUCUGUUACAACUAGCAGCAUUAGCUUACAAAUGUGAUUGCGAGUUAUUAAUAUAGGAAAAUGAUUUAUGCACAUCAUUUUUCACUUCAUGCAUACUUCUUUUUCUUUUUUAUUGAUUGAAUUAAAUAAAUAAAAGAUGAUCAAGCGAAACAUAAAGAGAUAAGGUAAAAAAAAAAGAUGAAAAAGGGUGUGCAUAAAAGAUUAGGAUUCUAUUCUCUCAUUUUUUUCAUCAUCUCCUUUCACAUUCUGUAUUUUGUCUUUCUCUUUUUAUAAAAAAUUAAUAUAAGAAGUUAACGUGAUUUAACCGUGACAGUUCAAAUAGAAAAUGAGAAAAGAAAAGAAAAAAAAAGAGGAAAGAAAAUCCUACUUAAAUUGCGAGUUCUUAACUGUCUCUUUCUUUUUACUAAUUAUUAGUAAGAAAAUAAUUUUUUUUUUCUUGGUGUUGUGACCCGUUGAACUUUACCAAUAUUUUUACUUGAUUACACAAUCAAAUGAUUAGUACUCGUGGUCGUAUACUCAUAAUGGGUUUAGCGUCUAAAGGGAAUCUUUGGUGACAAUUUUGGUGACGACAUCAUGUUGCGUUCAAAGGACUGUUAGUUGUAAGCCGUUAAACUUGAUGAAUAUUUAUAGAGGGAAUUGUUAUUGGCACUCCAAAAUUCUCAUUCUACACUUUAAAUUUUCUAUAUUUAGAAAGAAAAAUACACUUGUGAGGGGUGUAGAAUGAGAUUUUUAAAGUGUCAAUAAUACCUUCCUAUUUUUAAUAUAGUUGUGGGUUUUAGUCAACGCUGGAGGGCAUUUUUAAAGACGUUUACGUUUAUCCAUUGGCUAAAUCCAGAAGGAAACGUAAGUCGGAUCAAAGUGGUAUCUUCAGAGAAGUUGAAAACUAAAAACUACAUACGUAAUAGGAACUUCCUGGUAAUUUAAUUUGGACUUGUAAAAUUAUGUUUUUACUGCCCUACAAAGAGACUUGUCUCAAUAAUGCUAGUAGUAUCGAAUAUAUAGAUAUAUGAAGCCACUUGUAUCAUAGUUGUUACAUAAAAAUCAAAAUGUAAAUACACAUAUGUAUAAAAAAUUAAUUAAUUUUGACAUUUGAAUAGUUAAAAUACAUCACGAUGUUAUGGACAAUCAAUGGUGGACACAAUUACUUUCACUAAAAGAAAGUGAAAUAUAUACCAGUAACAAAUGGAUUAAAUACGAUUUAUACAACAAAAUUACACUUGGAUAUUGAAACUUACAACAAAUAUGAGAUACCCAUAUCUGAGGAGUAUAUCUUGCUAUUCUAUAUUUUUUGGUCCUUUCAAGUCAAACAAUACUGCUGGUGCAUGCUCGAUCGUCAAGAGUACUAGUACCACCUCGGCUUGACUCUACCGCAGGAUCAAUGGGGGUUGGAGGAAUUGAAUUGUUUGGGGUAGGGUGCUCAAAACUACGAGGUUUGUAAUGUUUCUUGAAGUGAAGAUUGCAGAAAACUACAAAGAGGAAGGCGGUGACAUAGAUAGAAUAGGCAGCACAUUUGAACCAAAAAGAAAAUGGGAUGGCAAUGAAUAUGUAGAAGGCUGUGACUCCAAAGAACAUGCUAAAAUUAUGGAAAAGACGUGGGACUAAUAUUAUGUCAAGAUAGUACACGGAGGGAAUAAGUUGGCUUACCAAGAUAAAAGUGAAAGAAAGUAAGACUGAUAAUCCAAGAAAAUCAAAGGUCAUAGGGAGAGAGAGCUGGCCGGGAGGAAUUUGGAAGCGGAUUUGCGUUAUUCCAAUCGUUGCUGUGAAGCAAAACCCGACAAUGAUCUUUGCCCAAUCUAGGUUGUUGGUUGGGAAUGGAACUUGCGGCACUGCGGCUUCUAGGUCUGGUUCGCCAUCGGGAUGAUCACGAUCGCCGGGACUGAUUAUCAGAGCAUUGAGUUGUGGAAUUAGCUUUGCAAUAAAACGGCUCAUUUUGUUAUGAAGAAAAAGGGUGAUUGAAUGGUUGUCCAGUUUUGUUCCGCAGAAAAAUGUGGUUGCUGUGUAUCCCUUAUAUAAUUUUUUUAAUGAGGUAUUCAUCAAUUUCCUCACUGAAUUUGUAACUAUUGGCCAAUUUCGCCCCUCAACUUUAAGUUUGGCCAAUUACCCCCCUCAACUCUCAUAAUUAGUCAAUUUCCCCCCUCAACUAUAAUUUUGCCAAUUUCCCCCCUCAACUCUCAUAAUUAGUUAAUUUGCACCAUACUAUUAAUUUUUUAAUUUGAUCAUAAGUAAACAAGUGUGUGUAAGAAACUAAAUAAGAUGUAUGUUAAUCAUUUUCCUAUGUCUUUAUCCUAUUACAAAUAGAUUAAAAUUUAGAAUUUUACAAUUUAUCAUAGAUAAUAUUAUUAGUCAUAAAAAUCAGUAUGGAGUAAUUUUAUUUGAUUUUUUACUAUACAAAAUUGAUAAUGAAAAGGAUUGAUGUGUACAUUUUUGUAUGUGAAUACAAUUUUCUUUAUAAAAGUGAAAGCUAAGUUCAAGUAAAUUGUGGAGAAUCGAGCUUUAGUGCAAAAAUGGCUAAUCAAUUCAUAAUUUUCGACUCCUUAUUAAGAAUAACACAUUUUAUUGAAAUAUGUCUGAUCCAUGAGUUUAGGAUUAUUAUUUCUUCUUCUACAUGCUUUAAACCCGAUUCAUAACUUUUUCUUACCAAUCAACCCAUAUCACAUACUAAUUGUAUUAUGUUUUUGUACAUUUUACUCUAUAUUAUGCAGGUGAGUUUAUGUUAAUUUUAGUAGUUGGAAGUUAUUAGAAAGUUUGAAAGAAAAAAAAAAGAAUAGAUGGAAAAUUAAAAAAAAUUAAUAGUAAAGUGCAAAUUGACUAAUUAUGAGAGUUGAGGGGGGAAAUUGGCCAAAUUAAAGUUGAGAGGGGAAAUUGACUAAUUAUGAGAGUUAAGGGGGGAAAUUGGCCAAAAUUAAAGUUAAGGGGAAAAAUUGUCUAAUGAUCACAAGUUCAGGGGGAAUUGAUGAAUACCUAUUUUUUAAUUAUUUUGCGGGCACCGAAGUCCCAAACAAAUAUGGCAUUGCCUGGAAUCUUCCCUAAUCACGUGUGCAAGAAAUAUUUUAAACCGACGGCAAGAAAUAUUUUGAACCGACGGGGAAUGGGACGUGUGGAAAGGGAAUUGCACACAAUUGGUGGAAUUCAAGUGUUUACUACCACAAGAGGAAUGAAAAUGGGGAGGAAAAUGGGGUGGGGACCCAGCUCAUUGGAGUCGGAUUCUCUAAUAAUACUUGGUAUUUGGAUUCCUUCAUGGGAGUCCUCCACGAAUCAUAGUUUUAUUCCAAAAUUACCCUAAUUUAUUUUCUUUAUUUUAAUUCAUCUUCGAUUUAAUUCAUCUUCAAUUCAAUUCAUUUUCGGUCCAACAAGAAUCUAAUUCUGUUUCCUCCCUCAAUUCAAUUCAUUUUCGAUCCAAUUCCUCUCAAUCUAAUUACAGAUUAGUAACCGUGCUAUAAGAGAGCUAAAGAUGUAAAAGACUUAUUGAAUAUUUAUAUAAACACUAAUUUGUAAUCAGAUUGAAGCGAAUUGAAUUGAGGAGGAAUCAGAUUGAUGAGGAAUUGGAUUGAGGAGGAAACAUAAUUAUAUUCCAAUUGGAGUUGUUUACUAAAACUGUCCGGAAUCGGAGUAGGAAUGACAUCGAUUUAUAUAAAUUGUUUACUAAUUCACUUGAAUCGGAAUGAAAAUUAACGUGAUUACUAAAAUACCCCUAGUGUAACUAAUCUAAUUUACAUGCUAAUUAUUUUAGUUAAACUUUUUUAUUUAUUUUUUAUAGUAGGGAGUAUAGUUUUUCUUUAGGAAAACUUUUAUUCUUUUUUUCAUUUUUUAUUGAGACCCUCUCCUGCCGCAUCUCUAUAUUUCCCAUUCUUUUCAUUUUUAUCGUGACCCUCUAUUGCCGCCAGCCCCUCUCCCUUUUUGUCCUUUAUACAGUUCAAUCAAAUAGAUAGACCUACAACAUAUUGUUUAUUGUGUCUGCAUACUAAUUAAUUUGUUUGGUUUUGUGAUUGUCUGUAUAAAUUUUUAUAUAGUUUAAUUCUCAUUAGCAAAAUGAUUUAAAAAGUCUUCCAUUUUAUAUUACUAAAUUUGAUAUGUAGAAACAAAAAUUUCUAUUUUUAAGGCCUUAUUGGUGAUUAAAUUAGGUAUUUUAGAAGGAAAAAAAAUUUGAAAAUAAUAAAAGUGAGCAUGGGUAUUUAAUAUGAUUGAUAAUGAGUUUUAAAGUUAAGGACUAAAACUAGAUUUAUAAAAGCAUCCCGGUUACAAUGAAAAAUAAUAUUGUUUACGUCCUUAAGUCUAAAUGCCCCUUGGACCGCCUUUCAUCAACGUGGAAAAAGUAUGGACCACCUUUCAUCUACGUCACCGCACAAAGGUAUCUAGACAUAAAGAUGUAUAUACAGGGAGGAUUCUCUGUCCUCCCACUUCCCGUGCCCUCUAGUGCCCUCUUGUUUGUGUGGUCACGGUUAAGCCACGUCAACAUUUUAUAUUAUUAUUUAUUUUUAUCUUAUUAUUUCUAUAAAAAAAAAUAAUAUAAAGGGUGCUUUAGAUUUAGCCCCUUACAACUGUUGAACUCUAGACAUAAACCCACCUAUAUUAAAACAUCUAAAUAAAACCUAAAUUUUGAAUUUGAUGUCAUGUAAGAUAAAAGAUGUCCAUACAUUUAAAUUUAUUUACAACACCAUGCCACCAACAUUAAUAUGGCUAUUACAGUUUUUUUUGUAGACUUUUAAUUUAUUGUCUUUUGUUUGUCAACAACAUUUAAUUAGUUUAAGUUUUUUUUGCUUUAAAUUUUUUUUUUUAAAAGAAGAAGUUCUUUUCUUCUUUUAUGUGAAAUCGCCUAAUCCAAAUCUAAUUAGUUCAAUAUAUACAUUCUAUUGAAAAAAGUAGAUACAUUAACUUGUGAAAAUAAAAAAAAAAAGGUAAAAAUAAACUAGUAGAUACAUUGUUUCUUGUAAAAACUAAACAAUAGUUACAUUAUUUUCAUAAAAAAAAUAAACCAUAUGUAAUUUUUUUUAAAUUACACAAUAGGUACACAAUUUUCGUAAAAAUUCAAUAAUAGGUACUUUAUUUUUGGAAAAAAAUAAAAAUAAAUAACUAGUAGAAACAUUGUUUCUUUUAAAAAUUAAACAAUGAAUUUAUAAGGUAAAUUAGUUUGCAUGUAUUUUGCAUAUAUGGGUUUGUUAUUAUUAUGUAGGUAAAUUAUUUUUCAUGUAUUUUACAUAUACUGGGUAUAUUAUUUUUCUUUUUUAAGCAAUCUAACUGUCACAGCCCGUCCCGGGAAAUUGUUUUUGAAAAUGUGAAAAGACGGAAAUACCCUUGGACGUCGAAAUAUAAUUGGGUUGUGUGGUUAUGUGGGUUAAGUUUUAUUUGGACAAACUUUUCUUUUCCUAAGUUUUGGAACACUUAAGACUCAAGUGUUUUCUUUGGUCUUGGUUAGACCCACGUGGAACACACACACUCACACACACACACACACACUAACUUUCAUUCUCUCUCUCGUUGACACUAUCUCUCUCUCCUUCCUCUCGGAUUUUUGCAGAAAAUCCGUACAAACGUACGGACGAACCUCAAACCAAACCAUUUCAACACAAAUCGAAGUUUUGGAGGUUGGUUUUAGACUCCCAGCAUGCUCAGGAACUCAUCACUAUCCUUGGUUGGACAUAUGAAAGUCGAGAACUCGGGUUAUUCGAAACCCCGAUUUUGGAGCACAGUAACUCCGACGUGAACGUGGAGGUUUUAAGGCGUUUUAAGGCUAAAAAAGGUAAGCUUUAGUCUUUUCUAGCACUUUAAGUCAGUUUUGGCUAAGAUUGGACGUCAGGAUCGUGAGAACCAAAUAACCCGAUUUGAGGUACUGUUCAUGUGAUCGUAUUUGUGGACUUUUCAACGAAUUUUAAAGCCAUAGGAAGCUUAAGGACGUUCUCACGAAGCUCGGAGAAGCAUUUUGGAAGGAUUUGGACGUCGGAAAGCGUAGAACGGAAGAGUUGCAGAGGUGGCCGGACUUUCGAGAGUUCUCCGGUGAGAUCCAGCGAUCUUUGGGACUCAAAAUUGGUAUAAACUUGAUCCUCAUGUUAUAAGCUUUGAAUUGGUUUAAGUUUCGUGAAAAAUGGAUGAAAAAUGGCCGAGAUAUAGUGGUUUGAAGACGACGGAAUAUUUCGUCAAUUCUGACGCCGUCAGUUAGAGUUAACAGUUACCGUGGGUUUUAACGGAAUAUUCCUAACGGCGUCAGUCAUGCUGACAGCACGUGGCCGCAUGUGGGGGCGCGUCUGGCCGUGCCUUGGCCGGCGCGUGGGAGCUCGAAAAAUUAUUUUAAAAAUAUAGGGAUGAUCUUUAGGUUGUGUAGGUCACAGUGGUAUAUUCAUAUACCCAAUUUGAACUAUAUAUGAGAAGUUAUUACCUAUUGUUGGUUAUGUGCGUUAAAUAACGUUUAUUCGAUUAUUACGCCUAUAGGUGAGGCCUAUUCUCGGGACGAGCAUAAUCAAUCGAGGCUCGGGGGCUACGACCCAUCGACACAUCAGUGAGUGGGCUUUUGUUUUCAGUAUAUAUUUAUAUACUUGAUAUUUUCCCAGAAAAUGCGUUUAAAUGAAUGUAUGCCUUGAAUUAAUAUGCCAAAUGUUUUUAUAUUUUGAAUAUGCAUUGCAUGGUUGCAUAUAUAUAUAUAUAUAUAUAUAUAUAUAUAUAUAUAUAUAUAUAUAUAUAUAUAUAUAUAUAUAUAUAUAAAUGUGGUGCUGUGGAGGCCCAGGUGAGUUCAGGUAAGUUAUGUUUGAUUAUGUGAACUACGAAUGACUUGAUCCCUAUUCAGGGUACGUAGGCAGUCUAACGAAACGUUAGAUGCAGUCAUACAUUAAUUGAGUCAAGGCCUUGGUCAUGAAUAGAAUGAUUAUAAAUGCAUUGAUAAACAUUGAGCUCAUAACCUGCACCUAGGGUGAUUGAUUUAGCCAGAGAUAUGAUACAUGCCCGUUUAUUAUGUCACCCCCGCACUAUAUGCUCACUUUGGAUCCAAUUUAAGUGCACAGUCUUGUCGUAUAGUCCUUAUAUGGUUCCGACUUGUAGGUGACUAGCGAUUUAUCGCCCGGCUAUUAUGAGAGAAUAAGAUUGAGCAUAAUUAUAUCUCACCCAAUCUUGUCGUACAAACCCUUUUUAGUGGUUCCGACGUAUGUGCAGUGUAUUGCCGUAUAGGUCAUAGAAGUGAUUCCGGCUAGAUUUAGUUUGAGCUAUGAAUUCAGCCGUACAGACUACCACAGGGGUUCCGGCUAUCAUGUCAUAUUUCUAUGAAUUCAUUCUUACCUGAAUUGCUUACUCUGUUAUAUCUUGGCAUGGUUUAUAUACAUAUGAAUAUGAUUAUGUGAAGCAUGAAUUGAAUAGUUAUGAUUUCGGAUAUAUAUGUAUAUGCUUAUAUCUUAAUUCUGGGAAAAUUAUACAUGUUUUACAACGAGGGGUUAGAUAUGUUGAUAAGUGAAAUGGUUUUGUAAAACAUUUGUUUUGCCCACUCACGUUUUCUGUUUUGCGCCCCUCCAGGUUUUAAGUAAGUUGUUGUUGGUGGCUCGAGGGCGUCGGCAGUUCUGACUUAUCUAUAUAUCUAGUAGGACAAUCCUGGUACUGUAUAAUUAGUACUCGUCCUACUGGACUGCACUUAGACUUUAUGCUCUAAUUAGGAGUGUUUACUGUUGUAACUAACUCCUAUCACUCCAUGUUUAGUAGUGCACUCUAGUAUUUCAGUUAUUUAUUUAUUUAUUCAUGUAUUGAUAUCUUUAUUACUUCCGCACUGUGCACAUGACUACGUCACUCUCACGUGACGGCCAGCAUGCCUUGAUCUCAGUCGGGGUGUGUCACUAACAUUUUAAAAUUUUAAUAGUAUUAUCAUUUGUAUCAUAUCUUUAAUAGAGAUGAAAUCCACAUGACGCACAUAUCUGUAUUAAAAAAACAAUAUAAUGAGAAAAAAGAUAAAAGAUAUAAAAAAUGUCUCUUUGUUUUCUUCACAAUCAAUAUUCAAAAUAUUGAAAAAAUAUAACAAACUAGUAGAAUCUUCUCAGUAUCUCUGGUAUCCUCUUUUGUCUUCUUGGUGUUUUAUUUUUGUUUCCCGUUUUAUGUCGGGUUUUGAAGUGAAAAAGGUACAAGUAUAUUGCAGGAAGGCCUUCUACUUACUUAUUCAUUCUACCCGCAGACAGAGCUCGGGAGAGCCAACAUUUGAAUUUAAGGGCCGAAUUAGUGUGGGCUGGGAUAAGUUGUCCAUUGGGCUUUCGGGUGAAAGUAAAUAGAAGGGCUUUCUUCUGUCUUGGGUUUUAGUUGUAGCAGAACCUAUAAGAUGGAGCACAAUAUCCCCAGUAAUUCAUCAACCUUCAAUUCGCAGACCCCAAUCCGGAGGCUGGAGCUUCCAUGCAGAAAGAUUACUAUUACCAUCAUCCUCUUGGUGAUCGCCCUGUCCCAUAUGUCCUUCUGGAUUCAGGGUCUGCAUAUGGACAGGUGUCCUUCUGGAUUCAGGGUCUGCAUAUGGACAGGGUGAUUACCAAGGUGAUGACGGUAAUAUUUAAUUCAUAUGCCCUUCUGAUUUAAGGCCUUCUGAUUUAAGGCCUGCAUAUGGACAGGGUGAUUACCAAGGGGAUGACGGUAAUAUUUAAUUCAUGAUGUUGGCAAACUCGUCGGAAAAUCGACCCCGGCGCUGGCAAACUCACUGGGGACAGAGCUCUGAAGUGGCCGCCGUACCACUCCUCUCGGUGAAAUUUCGCGAAGAAGAUAAGAAACACGAAAAUUACGCUAAAUUUCGGUACUUUUUGCUGUUUAACUUUGUUUUUGUGUUCUUGGGUUUCAGGGUUUUGUUGCUGGUGACAGGGUUCGAAAGCCGGGUAUCAAUCAAACUCUCAAUUCUAUUUAAUUUCAGUUUCGAUUUCAAUGUCUCUUUUGAAAUUUAUUUCAUGAUGUUCGAAUUUGGAUCUCAAAUAUCGCCUUUGUGCUCGGAUUUAUGAUGCAAAUCUUAAAUUUUGCAACUCGUCUAAAUUUGGAGUGUGAGAUUAGAUCUCGGAUAUAUGCUGCAAAUCUUUCAUCUCAGGUAGUUUCUCUAACAAUUAAUAAUAAACUCUUACCUUCUAGUCUUAAUCAGAUAGCUUAUAUGAUGAUUAAACCUUACAAAACAACAACAACAACAACAAAGCCUUUUCCCACUAAGUGUUGAUUCCCCAAAUUAAUCCAAGUUUUAAUCACAUAUCUAAAUCAGUUUUUCGCGUUCUUCUUUUCUUCCGGAAGGAAAUUAUAUUUUCAUAAUUUGUUAGGCAAUUGAUACAAAAGUUUUUGUUUAUUGUUAAUUUUGUUUUUGAUUGAUUCAUAAUAGGGUUACAGAUUAGAUUGUUAAUUUCAUUUUUUGCUCGUGUGUCGACUGAUGUAGAGAGAGAGAUAGUAGUGUUGCAGCAGCAAAAUGAGAAUGGGACAAGAUAUGUUGGUGGAAAUCCUAUCAAAUUGCCUCCCAAAACUCUCUAAAUGGUGAUAUGCUCUCUUCACCAAUCCGAGUUUUGAAUUGAAGCACCUCUCCAACUCCGCCAACAACCACCUCACCACUCGCAACCUCCUUUUCAAGUGAUAGUAGUGCAGCAGCAGCAUGAGGAGGAGGAAACUGAACAAGUAUUCUUGUUGCUUAAGUUAUGCAAGGACGUUGCUUACGUUAUGCAAAGACGAUGAUAAUAUCGGUGAUGAGGAAAGCAGUAGCUGCUCUCUUGUUGGUGUCCAGGACAUCAUUUUUCCUCACUCUUUUAUUCAAAAGGUCCAGAAAGGCCAUCAUUUAUUUCGAUACAAGUUGCUAGGUAUUUCAUGGUAUGCCGAACCAUCUGAGCUCCAACGAUUACCCCUGGGGCGUGACCUUGAUUUGAAGCAUAUUGUGCGGAAUGAAUCAGUUGCCCUGUUUGCUCUUUUCUUUGAGAAUCAUCAGAAUUAUAGAUAUCCUAAACCUGACUUAUAUGAAAUGUGGGUGACGGAUGACGACUCUAACGGUGCUUGGACAAAACAGUUAACUAUUGAUGAGCGCACAGAGUGCCCUCCCGAGAUGUUCCCACAAACAUAUCACAUAUUUUCUUCUAGGCCUGUGGCAUUGUGGAGUGAUGAGUUUCUUAUGGUUCACAGUGAUGAACGCUCAGUUUGCUUUAAUCUUUGUACUACAAAGCUUACGUAUAUUCCCAUUGAAACAUUAGGUGAGUUUGUUGGUUAUGUGAAUGGCAGAGUUUCUGUCAUGGGACGCAACCACAAGCCUGAGAGCAUGGAGAAUAAUUGCUCAGACAAAGAUGAAAAUGCGAUGGUGGUGGUAGACGGGAAGAGGGAAAGCUGCAGGAGGCAGUACACAUAUUCCGUUUCGGCCAUUCAACCGGCUGAUGUUUCCCAUAGAAUCAAGAAGGUGAUAGGGCCUCCGGGCAGAGUUUGGUGCAUGUCCCUGUAAACAGUAAGUUGCUGUUUACAUUAACUUUUGAGCUGUUUUUUAUUUUUUUGUUUUCACGAAAGCUUCCUUUUUAAAUUCUCCUGUUGUUUACGGGAAUGUUCAUAUGUAAUCUGUCUGUCUGCAACAUUUGAUGGGUGCAGGUUCUAUGCCAUAUUAAGCCUCCUCUACGGGAAGUCGAUGGAAGAAGAAGAGGAAAAAAAGCUCGAGAACUGGUUAAUGCUCUGGAUGGAUGAGGGCAUUACUAGCUUAACCCUGCGCUAUUGAUGUUUUACCAGACUGAUCUCUCCAUCAACACUGCUUAUUUGAAAAUUCUAUUUCAAAAUGUCAGAAACAAGUUUUUCUUGCAAAUCAACCAGACCAUGUUUACACGUAGUGUCGCUAACGUUGGCAAGGAAACUUUUGAUUAUAAAUGUUUUUGGCAGCUGUUGUUUUACCCAACUCGCUCAUCCCCCAAAUUACAAUCAUGACAACGUCAUUUGAUCCACCACUUGGAAAGAUGACUGAUAAAAUCAUCGUGGAGGAUUUUCGAGGUAUUUGAGUAGUCGACUGCUUUUGAAACUUGGUCUCACGGACGGCCACAGUGAGGUAGCAGCUGUGGAGUACUCCUGACGACGUUGUUCCUGGAACUAAGGUACUUUCUGAUACUUGAUGCUUGCUCAAUGCUCAGCUAAAUCAGUUAGAGAUUUCUUUGAUUGAUCACUUUUUGGAUUUUGAAUAUGUUCAGUUUAGUAUUCAAACGAGUUCAUCGACUGCAAAGGUAGUGGAAAAGAUAAUUCAAACCUUAUGCCAAAUAUGUCAUGGCAAGUCGAGAUUAAUGAAAAGCUUUCGUUGAUUUUCUAACCUUAAAAGUGAAUUCCUGAAAUACGUGGUGGAAGCAGGGCAAGUAUUUGUGCGAAUUCUGAGUAGUAUUUGUCAAGUAUUUUGAUGAAUGUCUUAUAUUGAUUGUUGUAAUGUUGAAAUGUUUCUAGAUGCAAUAUAUCUUCAAAAUUCAAAGCAACUAAUUGAAAACAAUCAUAGGAGCCUGAAAGAAUCCAUCAUUUCUUAGUCAUGCGGAGGAUAUUUUUAUCUUAACAUGAACAGCCCUACAAUCUAUUCAACUCUCAUAGUCUCACUAUCUCCAAAUGGUAAAGGCCAAGAGACUCAGGUGUCCGGCUGAAUGUUACCUGAACAAGUAGAUGAUGAAUAACCAAGAGACAGAGAGGCGCGUAAGAGGAUCUUCGUCCAUUGGGUCGGAUAUCUGAUCUCCUCUCACUGACUGCUGGACCCUGUGGCUUCCAAUGAUCAAGAGACCGAGAAAGGCGCGUAAGAAAAUCUUCCUCCAUUGGGUCGGCUAUCUGAUCUCCUCUGUCAUUGACUGCCGAACCCUGUGGCUGGAGCCUGGAAGAGUACUGAGAGAUUCUAAGAACGGGUUUGAGGCUGAAUAUGAUGGCCUGCAGGAAAAGUAUUAGAAGACAAGGAAAAAUGUGAAUGCGCAAGGCUGAGAGGACCAUGAUCAUGCACUGCUAUAGUACUACCGAUGUACUUACUGAGAUCAUAAUCAUUAGAUGGCUCAGAAUUAUCACAUGACUCCUCAUAGAACCGAGCUGGAUGUUGGUCAAAAACAUAACUAGCUUGGUCCAAAUCAUGCGUAUUUUCCUUCAUAGGUUUGUUCCACACUAGAUUAACCAUUGUUCUCAUUGAUGGUGCUGAAAGUUGAACUUCAACUUUAUCCCCACUUUGCAAUUUGAGCUUAUCGUUCGAUAGUUGUCCUUGCCAAAGUAGUCCUCGCCAAAGUCUAGGCGUAUCCAAAUAUUCGCUGCUUAAGUAAGCCUGCAACUUUCUACGCUUGGUAUUAUUUAUAACAGUAAUGCCAAGUUCACCUCUAAUUACAGGUUUUAUCAAGAAGCACAGAGUCAGCCCUUCAAAAGUACGACCAUCAUUCGGGGGAAUAUCAAAACUGACUGUAUUGCUAUGGUUAACAAACUCAAACCAAUCAGGAACAAAAUUCCCAGAGAGUGAAACGCCACCAAAUCCGCACGAAGUCCAUCCCUACAUAUAAAAUGCAAGUGUCAUACAUACAUACACAUGUAAUCCCUACAUAUAAAAUGCAAGUGUCAUACAUACAUACACAUGUAAACGUGCGUUUGUGUGUGCAUGUGCAUGAUAGGAAGGCAAUGAGAGAGAGAGUGUGAGAUACCUGUAGGAUGUUCUUCCUAAAAUCAGCUGUGAGAUUGGUGCAAUUACUCAUAUCAAUCAAUGUCAUGAAGUUUAAUGACUUAUCCAAGCCUGGAAUCUCAGUGAGUUUGUGCGAAUCUUUUACACUCAACUCUGUCAUCUUUGACAUUUCCGAAAAAUUGGGCAUUGUUUCCAAUGCACGGCAAUCAUCGGCAUACAGAAAUUUCAAAUUUGUUGGUAAAUCAGGGAUUGUACGAAGGUUAAAGCAGUCAUUUAACCACAAUGUUUCAAGCUUUGUAAGACCACUGAGGCUGGGUAGGGUAUGAAAAUCAUUCUCUUGAAGAUCCAAAACUUGUAAAGAAAUUAGACUCCCAAGAUCAUGAGGGAUUGCAUCAUGUGCUAAUUCCACACCUUUUAGGGAUAGAUAAGUGAGAUUCUUCAAUCUAACUGUGGAAGAUGGUAUUUGUCUUAUGGCUGUAAACUCUGCUUCAAGUAUUCUCAAUGAUUUCAUCUCCCCUAAAUCCUCAUGCAGUUCUUUGAAUUCUAAACAGUCAUUAAGAAGAAGAGUCUCAACAGAUUUCAACUUGUAGAAAUCCCUUGGAAGAGAACUAAGGUUAUCGCAAGCUUUAAGGUUCACCAAAGAAAGUUUUUGAAGUUGACCGAUGGAGGGGUGAAUCUCAGACAGACCCUUACAAUCUUCCAGUAUCAACUCUUCAAGAUUUGGGACUUCUGAAAAGUCCGGUGAUUUAAUUAGAGAGUAGGAAUGACUGAGAUUCAGGAUUUUCAACCUCUCUAGCAACUGUUACAGAAAGCCAAAGGAAAAUUGAAAUUAAUAUCCAAAAGGAAGAUGUCAUAAUAAAAAAAAGGAAAUCCAAAAACAAAUAGAAACAGAACAUCAUCAUGUGUAAUUGAUCGUACCUUAUAACCCUCCCAAACUUGUACCAGGCUGCUCCACUGCAUAUCUAAAACAACUAGUCUUGGUUGAUCGAAAAAGUCAUUUGGUAUGGACUUUAAAAGGCAUCUUUCCCAACACAACCAUAUUAACUCUUUGGGAAGAUGUUUGUAUUCUCCAUUGAGCUGAACAUAUCUGAGAUGAAGGAAUCUCAGUUUCUUCAUAUUGGCAAAUGCUUCUGUACUCAAACUAGGCAUAAUAGUUUGGUGCCAAGGAUCAGGGAAAUUUAGAGCAAGUCCUUCAACUUCUUCAGUUCCCUGUUAACAAAAGGUUAUAUUCAUGUGUAAGAAACGGAUUAUUUGCGUAUAUUUACAUGUAUUAUUAUUCAUUAGGCAAAAUCACCUACGGUGAUUAUAUUUACACUUAAAUGUUGUUUAGUGUAUAAUAGACAUACGUGGGUUACAUAUAUGUUUUCAAGCAGGAUGCAUUAUGCAAAAUUUUAUUGGGAAUGUACUUACAGAUUUAUUUCUCAAGACUUUGGCGGCCUCUUGAUGGUUCCACAACCUACUCCAUUUUCCAGGGUGAUCAAGAGAUUUUUCAGAAAUGAUUACUCUGGCCAUUUCUCGCAGCAAAUCAUGCAUAUUCAACUUAUUCUGCUCAACAGUUAUAAGACAUCGUUCACGGAGGACACUGAUUCCUAUUGUUGCAGAAAAUCCGCAUCCAUCUAAUCUUUUUGCGACAUAGUCCUUGUCCUCUCCAAUAAAGAAACAAGAUAUGUCAAGAAAUAUAGCCUUCUCUGAACGACGUAGCCCGUCAAAGCUUAUUCUGAGUCGAUUUACAAUGUUUUCAUCUGGAUAUCUUCCCAAUUCCUCCAAUUGGCUUUCCCACUCUGCCAACGAUCUUUUAAUCAAAAGAGAUCCCAAAACUUCAAGCGCUAGUGGUAAACCUCCACAGUAAGAACCAACCUUUUCUGAAACUUCAAGAUAUCCUUGAUCAGGACAACUAUUUUUAAAGGCAUGCCAACUAAAUAGCUCAAGAGCUUCUUCUUCAUUCAUUUUCUUAGCCUGAAAUGUUUUGUUCACAUUUAGUAGUAGACGUUCAUCUCGUGUCGUUAUGAUAAUUCUACUUCCAGGACCAAACCAAUCAUGACUUCCAACUAUUGCAUCCAGUUGUUCCUUUUUAUCUAUGUUGUCCACGAUGACAAGUAUCUUUCUAUGUUGAAAUUGUUGUUUUAUCAGGCCGAUACCAUCGUCAACACAGCUUAUUUCACGCUUCUUUUUCAAGAUGUGAGAAAUAAGUUUCUUUUGCACAUGAACCAGAUCAUGUUUACUUGUAUCAUCGCGAAUGUCGGCAAGGAAACUUUUGAAUUCAAAUUGAGGAUGAAUUUGGUUAUAAAUGGCUUUGGCAGCUGUUGUUUUACCCAAUCCACCCAUCCCCCAAAUUCCAACCAUGAGAACAUCAUUUGAUCCACCACUUGAAAGAUAACUGAUAAUAUCUUGAAUGCGUGAAUUGAUUCCAACUAUGUGCUUGGCCACAUGUAAUUCAUAAGUGCUGGUGAGCCAUUCACAAAUAUUCUCGUCAAUAAUUUUUUUAAUGAACUCUGCUUCGCACCUGAAAAUUGAAUUCGUAAGCAUUAGUGGGACUCAAUGAAGGCUCGGCAGGAGAUAUCAGUACAUAAACAAUUUUCUUUCCUUCUUCCCUUCAUAUAAUAUAUAUAUAUAUAUAUAUAUAUAUAUAUAUUAACUAGCUACUAGCUAGUAUGUGAUUUUAUAACGAAGUUGAAUAAAAGAAUUCAUUGAUAAAUAAAAGUUAGGCGUAUGAAUUAAACUCCAAUUACGGUUUAGGUUACUUAUGAGAGAUUAAGGUGUAUUCAUUAAGCAUGUGAAUGAACGUUUAGAUUAUGUAGAAUGUUAAUUAAGCAUGUCAAUUAAUUGAGAGAUUAAGUCAUUCACUAAAAAUUGCAGCUUCUGUGAAGGAUCAACGUGAGAGAUUAAGGUGUAUUAAUUAAGCAUGUUAAUUAGAGUAAUACAACUUAAAUCUUGAAAGCAGCUGAAUGAUUACCCAUUGUUAGCGAUUUUAAGAUGGUGGCCAGACAAAUUUGCAGCUUUUGUGAGAGCCUCUCUCCACAGCUUUAGCCUUUCUUGUUUAGCUUCACGUUUCUUGUCAUCUUUUUCUUCACGGAUGUCCUUUUCGUGCUUCUUAAAUGCUUCAGCUAAAUCUCCGUCCUGCUUCCUGACAUGUGAAGGAUCAACGUGAUAAAAUAUUGGCAAAACAUGUCGCCCCAGUUUGUAUCUGCACUCCAUGAGCUUCACCAGCUCGUCAAGACACCAACUCGAAUCCGCAUACAUCUUUGAGAAGAUAAUGACAGAGAUCCUCGACUCUUCGAUUGCACGAACCAGUUGCUCUUUUAUUUCUUCCCCUCUUGGUAGAUCGUCCUCAUCAAAAAAGACCUGGUACCCUCUGUCUUUUAAUGCCGCGUGGAGGUGGCUCGUGAAACCAUAGCGCGUGUCUUCACCCCUGAAGCUCAAGAAUACGUCGUACUUCCAGAGUUUGGACUUGGAGGAGGACGAAGAGGAGGCUUCGUGGGCUGUCAUGGCGUUAUCCACCGUUAUGGCUCAGCAGUGGUUCAGAAUCAGAUCACAGACUGAAAAAAUAGCAAUAGUUGUGUUUGCGUUGGCGUGUUGACCUGAAAAGCGACAGACUGCCGAACGGGAAGGUGCAAGGAAAGAGAGAAGAAGAGCGACAGACUAUUAAAAUGAUGCCACGACCCAGAAGAAUAUUAAAAUGAUGCUUGACGGUGAAAAGCCGUCCGACACGUCACAGGACGUUGGAAAACAAACAAUAUUAUGAGAGAGGAAGAAACAAAACUCUGAAAUUGAAAAAAAAAAUAUUAUCUCCUUCUUCAACUUGCAAGUUGCAACAAACAAACAAAAAAAUCACUUUAACAUAUUCCUGUAGAAAAACCCAUCACAGAAGUAGCAAAUUUAGGAGACAGAAAGAGACCUGCACUCAAAUCGUAAGUUCGCCCGAGAAAUUUUCCAAUUCAGAAUCCAGAUCGUGGGUGGUCGAGAAUUUUCAAGGGAUUUUUGUAACUUGGAAGCCAUCUUUUUCAAUUUCAUAGCCGCAGGGAGGACUGAAAUGUGGGGGUAGAAGUUGGCGGGAAAAGUACUUUGGUGUUCUUGGAUUUAUCGAGGAAGGGGGAAGGUGAGAGAGAGAAUAAAAUUAUUUUUAAUGGUAUUUUUUUAAUUAAAUUAACAAUGAGGUCCAGACUCGCCAUUAAAAGAUCACGACCCCCAAAUUUCAUCCAACGGAUAAAAGAAGAGAAGGUUUUAAAAAGUAUAACAGUUCUUGACCGUUGAAUGAAAUUUGAAGGGUUAGGAUCUAUUGAUUCCCGGGUUCAGGUGGAACAGAUCCUCUCCGGAUCUGUUCCUUAAUUAUGGAGGAAUGGGGGAGUUCGCGUGCUAGCAUUUCUUUUUCAAGCAUUAACAAUGAGGCCCAGGCUCACCAUUAAUGGAUUUGGAACCUCUCCUGAGCUUAAGGAGAGGAUCAUUCUGACCAAAACACGUGGACCGUUAGAUGAAAAUUUAACGGCUAUAAUUAUUAUAACUUUAAAGAGACCUUAUGUUUGUAGCCGUUGGAUUUUCAUCUAACGGUUCACGUGUCUUGGUCAGGAGGAUCCUCUCCAUAAGCUCAGGAGAGGAUCCAAAUCCACCAUUAAUUAUGGAGGUUCAGUUACACGUGGAGUUGAAUGGGGGAGUUUGACAGGAGAGAUUUUUUAGGAUGACAGUCACACAAGGUGGUACAUCACGUAUUGUUAUAAAUUGUGGGAUAUGUUUAUUUUCCACCGAUAUGGCAGUAGUGAAUGAAGAUAAAAAUUUCCUAGAUCAAGGGAUGGUGGGUGUGGGAGUCCCGAAACUGUACGUGUUGGACUCCAUAACUAAAAAAAAAAGUUUACCAAAUAUUCAGACACUACUUCUUUUAUUAAAAGCACGUUUACAAAAAAAAAAAAGUUUACCAAACUCUUAACAACUUUAUUUUACAACUGUUUAUUCUCACAGCACAAUAGAUGUAGUUUUUUUUAAAAACACAGCAAUACCAAACUAGCCUUAAAUGUGCACACCUGCCCCCAACAAGAUUGGUAAUUGUGAGCAUCCGUCGCACAACUUCGGACAACUCCAUCGUCCUCUGACAAUAUAAACCCUGAAAUCGAACCGAACCUUAAAACACUUAAACUUUGACAUAAUGAUGUGCGGGAAGUAAAAGGUUUGAUUAAAUCAGCAUCGGGAGUCCCAAUAUUUGAAUUUAAGGGCCGAAUUAAUGUGGGCUAGGAUAAGUUGUCCAUUGGGCCUUUGAAUUUAAGGGCCGAAUUAAUGUGGGCUGGGAUAAAAAUUUGAUCUUGUUUGGACCUAUGAUCCGAGUAAACAAAAGUAAGUCAAUGGCUCAGAGUUGACAAUAAUACAAACUGUAGAUAAUAUUUAAUAAUAUAAGCAAUACGUUGCGGGUUCUCUAUCGGUAACUAACCUAACAUCUAAUCUAAUAAAAUCUAUCAUUUAACAAAAAGCACUGCGGCGCUGCACUCCUACAGGCACACAAAUUCUACACUAGCAGGCACUUUUUUCUUGAGGUGUUGGAUGGCAUGAUCUCUUGCAUUCGCUUCCUCGUUCUCCAGUAGGUAAUUGAUCUCGAUUCCCGUAGGCCAACACCAAAACCGGACAGGAAUUAUAACAAUCUUCUCUAGUGCAACAACAUUCUUCACCAAGUACCUGACAUGCUUUACGCAACACCUGUGACCCCGAUACCCUGCUAUUUCUACCACCUACCUUGAGGCAGUGAUGGGGUUGUUUGGAAACUUUCUCUAGUAUUGCCAUGUCCUCGUUGGAGGUUCCAAAUUCCAACUGCAACAAGGAAAGCAAACAAAACCAGAUUCAAUACAAACCCCGUUGUUCAUUCUUUUGGUUCUUCGAGAAUACAGGUAACAGUGAGAUGAGAGGAUAUGAACGCACAAAAACAUUCAUACAUAUAUCAACUUUUAUUUGGUAGCCUAUCAAUAACAAAGGCAUACAAUACAUACAUACCCCCAAAACAAGGCUGCGCAAGUCAGGAGCUGCCUUCAUGAAAGAAGCUAAGUGACCAAGGGACAGACAGUAGUCGGCAUCCACUAAUAAUUCCAAAUGCUUUAGAUUUGAUAACGCGGGAAACGCAUGAUUCUGAUUGUAGACCUGAAAGCCAACAACAACUGAGUAAGGGACGCGACAAUACUUGAUCUCAACCAAAUAACAUGGGAUAAGUAUGCUAACCGCUUUCCUGAUAUCCAGCUUCAGGGUCUCUAAAUGAGAAAGACAGCAUGAGAGUUGACUGAACGCAAGCCUUAUGAAUUCAGCAAAAGUGCCCCACUUGUAAAUGGAUACCUCAACCAGCAGGGGCACAUUAUUCAAACUCAAAUCUCUUAUCGGUCCACAAUAAAUAAAGGAGACAAUGUUUGCACCAGAGAUCUCAAUGAACCUGAGAUCAAGGCAAUACGUUAUCUCUAAAUAUUUCAACGCGAUGGAGGGACCUAUCACUCUUAGCUUGCCUAAAUCUUUGGCAAAACUCAGCGACAAACGUUCUAGAACUGGACAGUUGGACAACAGAACUCAACAGCAUCGCCAGUCACACCAACAUGUUUAAAGCGAACAACUCUGAGGGACUUGAAAGGAGCAAUACUGUAUCCACAAGGGCGUAGGCUUGGAAGGUUAGAAAACAGGCCCUUCUGCUUUUCCGGACCCAAUAGUAGCUUGUGGGGAAAUGUGUAGUCAUCAUCAAGGCAAGCUAUUGAGUCUGUCCAAAGCUCCAACUCAAGUAUUUGAACCCUCUUUUCCAUUGCAAAUUGGAUCCAUUUGGCAAUGGAACCUGCAAAGUCGCUUUGCAGAAAAAAGCAAACCCCGAAGCGUUCAAUGCAUUGGCCUCUAUGUUGGCCCAGAAUGUGAUCGACCCAAUUGACGUAGAGGCGGCUUUCCUGGUCUCUCGCUUGUUUCUCGAGCUUCAAGAAGCGUUGUAUAGUAGUGGUGAUAGUACCAUCGCCAACAUCAAAGUUAACAGCGUCAAAACUGAGAGUCGUAGUAGAUGCCCAUACAUGGCGCCAUCGCCUUGAAAGAAUACUAGUAGCUGCUGCUUCCUUUAGCGGCAAGAGUGAUACUAUACAGACAAGGAUUUCGGGUGGUAAAUUACUGAUUCGGUCCUGCAGCAUGGCCCAGCUGUGCCCAUCAUCCUUGCAUAUACAGAAAAGAAGAGAGAAAUACAUUCUUAUUAGCCAAAAAACUUUAAAAGCAAAAAUCAUAAACAUAAUCCCUAAGAGUGUUGCUGGGUAAUCUUAGGCGUUCGAUUUCAUGAUUCUACCAAAAUCAUUCAUUAAAAAAACAAAAAGACAAUCCCAAAGAGUGUUGCUGGGUAAUUUAACAAGUCAUGUAAUAUAUUGGGAAACAAACAACAACAAUAACAAAGCUUUUUUUUGGGUCGGCUAUAUGAAUGCUAGAUCGUCAUUGCGCUCGGUCAUAUGUCACUUCUUCUAUUAGAUCCUAUUACUCUAAAUCUUUUCUUAGAGUCUCUUCCAAAAUCAUUCUAGAUCUUCCUCUACCACUUCGAUCCUGAACACAUGUCCCGAAUCGCAUCUUUUAACCUUAGUAGCUUCGUUUCACAUGUCCAAACCUCUGUAACCGAUUUUCUUUUAUUUUUCCUUCAAUUUCAGUUACUUUUAAUUUAUAUCCUCAUUUCUAAUCUUAUCAAUAAGAAACAAUUAAAAAAGAAAGGGAAAAAAAAAAACUGCAAUUUGUAUGAAGGUGGAGAAAAGGUUUUUACUUUUUACCUUGAGUGGUUGAGAGGUGUUCGUCUCCAUUGAAUCUGAACCUUUGGUCGGUCUGAUGAGUCAGGGCAGAAUGAGGUGGCGUUUGCGGUUUUAUUCUAGACUUGGAGCCUCUAGGGUUUUGAAUUCAGUAAAGAGUGAGAGAGAAACCAACUUAAAAUUCCAAAUCAAAUCAAAGAGAAGAUCAGGGAAUCAAGGUUUGGUAAGUUUCAGUCCAGAAGGGGUUUGGCCGAUUCACGGCGUCGGGGUCGCAUGUCGGAAUGGGGAAAAGGUGGUGAUUCGCGAAGGAGGGGAUGGUUGGUGUCGUGACCGUCAAGGGGGAGAAAUUUUUGGUUAUAAUCCUAACACAAGGGAUAUAAAUGUGUUAUUAAUUAUAUAGGUGGUGAAAAGUUUUAUCAUUUUUUACAUUUGAUUUACUUUAUUAAUUUACUUCUCGUCAAAUCGAAAUGAUUGAUGACGAUCAAAAGACAUAAAUUAAUAAAAGAUAUGUUAGAAGGAAAUGGAUUCCACACACCCCUUCUUACAUUGAUAUAUCUAUAUAGUGAUUCAUCAUUUGUAUUAUCUCUUUAUAUAAAUGAAACUCACAUGUCUUGACGCACCUAUCCAUACUAGAGAGAUAGGAAAAAGGUAAAUUGGAUGAUGUUUUCGUAUAAGUUACCUCUCCCAUUCAUAUUCCAAAGCAAAAAAUUUAGAGAAAAAAUCCAUGCCGUGGGGGUCAGUGGUUAAGUUGAUUAUUUUUCAAAAUAUAUUUCAAUAACAAACAAUAAUAUCCAAAAUAAGUAAAAUUUAAAAUAAUAUUAAAACAACAGAAAAAAGCCAAUUGCCACACUUAUAAGCAUGUGGCAUCUAGUAUAUAUAAAACUUUUCGAAAUAUCAAAAAUGUUCUUUUGUUUUCUUCACAAUGAAAAUUCAAAAUAUUUAAAAAAUACAACAAACUAGUAGAAUCUUCUCAGUAUCUCUGAUAUCCUCUUUUGUAUUCUCGGUGUGUUAUUUUUGUUUCCCGUUUUAUGUCAGGUUUUGAAGUGAAAAAGAUACAAUUAUAUUGCAGGAAGCGGCUGGAAAGGAUGACGAAGAUGAGCACGACCCAGUGAAAACUCGAGGAAGAAAGAGUAUAUGAGCAUGAAAAAUGCGAUCAGUUCCGUCUUUGUGUGUCGCAUGCAUGGAAUAAAAGUAUAUGACUAUGCGUAGUCAAUUGCAACAAUUCUUCAUAAUUCUUCAUAAAGGACAAAUAAUCAGGAGGAAAACUAAUGAAAAUAGCUUGAAAACUUUGAGUUUUAACGAUAAGGACAAAAUAAAUGGUAAAAAUGAAUAGAAUCAUGUUUGACUUUUUAAUGUAAAAAUAUGAUUUUUCGUUAAAGUGAACAGUAUCGCAUGUGUUUUUUUGUUAAAACUCUCAUAAUCACGAUGGUGCACGAAGUGCCAACAGGAUCCUAUUCGGAUCCUCUUUGUGAGGAUCCCAAGAAUCUGUAAAUUGUGUCUGUUCAUCGUACAUAUCAGUGUUUUUUUUUUGUUUGUUUUUUUUUUUGAGAUACUGUUUAAGUUCAAUUUUAAAUAAAAUAAUUUCUAACCACAUGAUACACGAUGAACGGACACGAUUCAUGAAUCUCAAUGAUCUUCACAAAGAGGAUCCAAGGAGAAUCCAGAUUACACGAAGUGGUGCUCGUGGAUUGGUGACUGUUUGGAUGAGUAAGGCUAGAGGCAUAAUACAAUUAAAAUCAAAAUAUCGUCCAGUGCCUACAUGUCCCCAUAAAUAAAUACAAGUCGUCCUACAACAUUCAAAUCACUUCAACGCAGCGCUACUUCAAGUUCGUCAUUAAAUCUCUUCCAAAGAGUAGUCAUUGAGUCCAUGUUUAUAGAGGUUAUCUUGUAAGCCUUAUCGGCCAAGUGAGAGAGUUCCCAAUUAGUGUUCGGCGCAGUAAAAACCGAACUUCAUUUUUGAAGUCACUAGCAACCUUGUUUUCAAGGUAACUAGCCUUGUUUUAAACCUCAUUUGGCCUUGAUCGCUUGAAUACAGAAAUCAAGAGUGUGUUCAGUGUUACCACUUACUUAUUCAUUCUACUCAUAGACUGAGCUCGGGAGACCCAACAUUUGAUUAAGUGCAAGACUACUGCAGUAAAAAAUAUCGAAAUAGGAUAAGUUGUACAAACAACAGCAUCUGGAGAGCCAACAUUUGAAUUUAAGGGCCGAAUUAGUGUGGGCUGGGAUAAGUUGUCCAUUGGAUUUUCCGGUGAAAGUAAAUACAAGGCCUUUCUUCUGUCGGCGUCGUCUAGGGUUUUAGUUGUAACGAAGCCUAUAAAAGCAGCACGAUAGCCCCAGUAAUUCAUCAACCUUCAAUUCAGAGGCUGGAGCCGCCGUAGAAAUAUUACUAUUACCAUCCUCCCCUCCCAUAUGUCCUUAUGGAUUCAGGGCGCAUAUGGACAGGGUAAUUACAAUCCUUAUGGAUUCCGGGGCCUGCAUAUGGACAGGAUAAUUGCAAAAUGAUGAAUCCUUAUGGAUUUCAGGGCCUGCAUAUGGACAGGGUAAUUGCAAAAGGGAUGAAGGUAAUAUUUAAUUCUCUAGAUAUAUAUUUUUUAUCUGUUCAAAUAUCUCUAGAUAUACAUAUAUGUAGCUAAAUGAAAUAGAAGGGCGAAAACCUUACUUAUGAGAAUGACAUUCGUUUGAACUUUGAACCCUUGAGAUGGAUACCUUAUGUAACAAUGGCUUUCCAAUUGAUCCAAUGAAUGUCGAAUUUCCAAUUGAAGGGUUAAUCUAUUGUUUGGAGAAUUUUGAUUUUGAUUUGUUUGGUAAUACUGUCCAGCAGAAGUUCGAUUGAUUUAAUUUCUUUUGGUUAUUGUGUUUUUGUGUUCCAAGGGGCUGGUCUGGUAGUUUUCGGAGCAGGGUAUUCAGCACCGGAUGAUCAAGGGUGGUACUCUCUUGGUCAUAUUUUAUUCCUUUUUAAAGUCGCAUCGCAUAUGAAUUCUCUAUUUCAUUUGUAUGGAGAAUUCAUAGACGAUGUGAUUUUUAAAAUGAAUAAAAUCAACCACUCUUGUUCAUCAGGUACCUCAAUAUCUUGCCUCGAAGACUGCUCCACCAGCCCCAGGAAUACAAAAACAGCAACACCCAAAAGAAAUUAAACCAAACGAAUCAAAAUCAAGAUUCUUCAAACAAUAGAUUAACCUUUCAAUUGGAAAUUCGGUUCAAGAGUUUUCGCCCUUUUAUUUCAUUUAGCUACCUAUAUGUAUAUCUAAAGAGUUUUGAACGAAUAUAUAUAUAUUUAGAGAGAUGGGCGAUCUAGAGAAUUAAAUAUUAGCGUCAUCCCUUUGGUAAUCACCAUGAUCUUCACUAGCUCGUCAAGACACCAACUCGAGUGCGCAUCAACUCUUCGAUUGCCAGUAACAGUUCCUCUUUCAUUUCUUUUCCUCUUUUGAGAUCGUUGUCAUCCAUAAAAGUCUGGUAUCCCCUGUCUUUUAAGCCCUUGCGCGUGUCUUUGCCUCUGAAGCUCAAGAAGACGUUGUAGUUCCAAAGUUUUGACUUGGAGGAGGAUGAAGAGGAGGCUUCGUGGGCUGUCCUGGCGGUAUCCACUGUUAUGACACUGCAGUGGUUCAGAUCACGACUAAAACAAUAGCCGUGGUUGUGGUUGUGUAACUUGUGUUGCCGAACAGAUGAUACUGAAAUACCGAAACACAAGUCUUAUGCCUUUGAUUUCAUCGAUCUCCCAAAAUUAUUCAUUAAAAAAAAAACAAUCCCAAAGUGCAGGGUAGUUUAGAACAAAUCAUAUAGGAUAUCUGGGAAACAAACAAUUCAAAAAAACAAAAAAGGUGCAAUUUUUUAUGACAGUGGAGAAACAAGUUUUUACUUUUUACCUUGAGUUGUUGGGAGGUCUUCUUCUCCACUGAAUCUGAACCUAAGGUGGAAGGAGAUGGCGUUUGCGGUUUUGUUCUAGACUUCAAGCCUCUAGGGUUUUGAAUUCAGGAAAGAGUGAGAGAGAAACCAGCUUAAAAUUCCAAAUCAAAUCAAGGAGAAGAUAAGGGAAUCAUGAUUUGGUGAGUUUCAGUCGAGAAGGGGUUUGGCGGAUUCACGGCGUCGGGGUCGCACGUCCGAGUGGGGAAACGGUGGUGAUUAGUGAAGGAGGGGAUGGUUGGUGUCGUCACCGUCGCUCAAGGGGAAGAAAUUUUUGGUUGUGCUCUUAACACACCACGUGUUAGUAUAUAGAUAGUGGAAAAUUUUCUCUUUUUUACUGUUUAAAUGUCAUCUUAUCUUAAUUUACGUUCAUCGAAUUGAAUGAAUUGAUAAGACAUAAAUUAACAAAUGAUUUGUGAGAAGUAAAUAAGAUCUACAUAUCCCUUCUUGUAUUGAUAUAUUCAUCUAAUUGUAUCAUCAUUUGUAUCAUCUCUAUAAUAGAGAUGAGAUUCAUAUGACGAACAUAUCUCUAUUAAAAAAUGAUAUAAUGAGGAAAAAGGCAAAAAAUGUGAAGUUUUCAUAUAAGUUACCUUCUCCAUCAAUAUUUCAAAGCAAAAAAUUUAGAGAAAUAAUCCAAGUCGUGGGGUUGGAUGGCUAAGUUGAUUAUUUUCCAAAAUAUAUUUCAAAAACAAACAAUAAUAUCCAAAAUAAGUAAAACUUAAAAUACAAUUAAACAAAAAAAAAAUCAACUACAACACGUGUAAACAAGCGGUACAAGACUAGUAUAUAUAAAACUUUUUCGAAAUAUGAAAAAUAUCAUUUUGCUUUCUUCACAAUCAAAAUUCAAAAUAUUAAAAAAUACAACAAACUAGUAUAAUCUUCUCAGUAUCUCUGGUAUCCUCUUUUGUCUUCUCGAUGUUUUAUUUUUGUUUCUCAUUUUAUGUCGGGUUUGAAGUGAAAACCCCGACAUAGGAUAAGUUGCACAAGCGACAGGCAUCGAUUCGGGAGAGCCAACAUUUGAAUUUAAGGGCCGAAUAAGUGUGGGCUGGGAUAAAGUUGUCCAUUGAGCUUUCGGGUGAAAGUAAAUAGAAGGCCUUUCUUCUGUCUAGGGUUUUAGUUGUAACAGAGCCUAUAAAAACGAGCACAAUGACCCCAGUAAUUCAUCAACCUUCAAUUCGCAGACCUUUCUUCUGACUGGAAUCUGGAGGCUGGAGCUUCCAAUUCCAUGCAGAAAGAUUACUAUUACCAUCCUAUCAAAUUGCCUCCCAAAACUCUCUAAAUGGUGGUAUGCUCUCUUCACCAAUCCGAGUUUUGAAUUGAAGCACCUCUCCAACUCCGCCAACAACCACCUCACCACUCGCAACCUCUUUUUCAAGCAAUAGUAGUGCAGCGGCAGCAUGAGGAGGAGGAGGAGGAGGAAACUGAACAAGUAUUCUUGUUGCUUAAGUUAUGCAAGGACGUUGCUUAAGUUAUGCAAAGACGAUGAUAAUAUCGGUGACGAGGAAAGCGGUAGCUGCUCUCUUGUUGGUGUCCAGGACAUCAUUUUUCCUCACUCUUUUAUUCAAAAGGUCCAGAAAGGCCAUAUUCAAAAGGUCCAGAAAGGCCAUCAUUUAUUUAGAUACAAGUCGCUGUAAAACUUAGAGCACUAGGGUUUUCAGCUUUUGAUUGCACACCCAUAUAACGAUGGGUAGCAGUGUAUUUAUACAAUACUUUCAGAUUACAAGUAGGGUUUUGAAUACCCUAUUUACACGGAUAACUUUGAAUUCAAAAAUACAAAAUCAUAACAACUUAUCUUUGGAUUAUUCAAAACUGAAACCCGGACCUAGCAAUCUUAUCCUAUGAAGAGUUUGUUGCAGAGAUUAGUUUGGGAUAAGAUUGACUUGGUCUAACAUCCCCCCGCAAGCUGACAGGUCGAGCAACGACGGGAAGCUUGGAAACUAACAAGUUGAAGCGUGAAGAGGAAAGACCCUUGGUGAACAAAUCGGCAAUCUGGUCUUGGGAACAAAUAAAAUGAACCAAAAGCUGUCCACGGACCACCUUCUCUCGUACAUAAUGGUAGUCCACUUCCAAGUGUUUCGUCCGGGCAUGAAAAACUGGAUUGGAAGCCAAAGCAAUGGACGAAACAUUAUCACACCAUAUAUGCGGUCGUGGAAGAUAGAGAUGUAGAUCACGAAACAAACUUCCUAACCAUGACAACUCAGCUGCAGUAUAAGCAAGCUGCCUAUACUCAGCCUCUGUGCUAGAUCUUGAGACAGUCUUCUGUUUCUUUGAACUCCAGGAAAUCAAAUUCGUGCCCAAAUAGAUACAGAAGCCACCAGUUGAAUGACGUGUGUCUGGAUUUCCCGCAUAAUCAGCAUCAGAGAAGGCAUUUAACCGAACAUCACCAGGUUUGUAGACAAGACCGUGAUCAUGUGUGGCCUUUAAAUACCGCAAAAUCCUCUUAACCACCAUCCAAUGUGUAGUCCGAGGCAUAUGCAUGAACUGGCAAACCUGGUUCACAGCAUAAGAAAGAUCGGGUCUGGUGAUCGUCAAGUAUUGGAGCGCUCCAACAACCGUUCGAUAUUGUUCUGGAUUAGAAUAAGGUUCACCAUCAUACUACUGACUGAUCUUGUGUCCCGCAGGUACAGGAGUGGAUACUGGUUUGACAGCAGUAAACUUGGUGCGCUCCAGCAGAUCCAAUGCAUACUUGGAUUGUGUAAGAUGCAUAUUCUCCCCAGAAUAAGUAACCUCGACACCCAAAAAAUAACUUAAGGGACCUAAGUCCUUCAUAGAAAACAAAGUGCCGAGCUUCUCUAUCAACCAUUGCAUUUGUUGAUCAUUAUUGCCUGUAAGAAGAAUGUCAUCCACAUAGAUAAGUAAGAUCAAGUAAACACCUCGUUGAUUAAACACGAACAAUGAAUAAUCACAUAAUGAUUCUUCAAACCCAAGUUGAAGCAGAUAAUCCGAGAAUCUUCGAAACCAGGCUCUGGGAGCCUGUUUUAAUCCAUACAAACUUCUCUGCAAUUUACACACAUAAUGGGGAUACUGCUGAUCAAGAAAACCGGGCGGCUGUUUCAUGUAGACAGCCUCAUCCAAAUAGCCAUGCAAGAAUGCAUUCUGUACAUCCAACUGUCGCACCGUCCACUUCUUCGACACUGCAAGACUCAAAACAAGCCGAAUGGUGCUGUGUUUCACGACCGGACUAAACGUUUCAUUAUAAUCCACUCCGGAUUGCUGAUGGUAACCGUUAGCCACAAGUCGAGCCUUGUGACGUUCGAGAGAACCAUCGGCACGUCUCUUGAUUUUAAACACCCAUUUGUUUGGCAGCAGGUUCAUCCCAGGACAAUAUGGAACAAGCGUCCACGUUCCACACCUUUGCAAAGCACUGAACUCUUGUGCCAUUGCUGCCCUCCAUUCUGGAUAUUUGAUAGCCUGACUAAAACAAGACGGCUCAACAAACUUGGAGUCAGCGAUUGCAUGCAAAGCAUAUUUUGGAUUUGGCUUUUGAAUCCCAGAUUUUGACCUUGUUGUUAUGGAGUGGGGGAGAGUAGGCUCUCGUAUGGAAGAUGAGGUGGUAGAUAAAGUUGUUGAAUGAGAAGGAUUCUGAGAACUUUGUACAGAUGGAAGGUGAACCAAGUCUUGCUCAUCGGUGGGACCUAAUGUGGAACUAGGUUGAGGUGUCCUAUUUAAACACGGGAUGGUAGGGAUAGGUGGAUGAGGAGUAAGGUCCAAAUUUGAAACAGGUUGUUGGGGAGGAAAAGGUGGCGUGAUAUGCGGCUGAUCAGUAGACACCAAGUUUGACUCAGGUUGGUGGUUGAGGCUAGGAUGAGACUCGACACGAUUUGGUGAAGAUAUGGAUGGUACUAAGGGUGAUGAGGGUGUAGUGGUUAAAAUCAAAUCAGGGGUCAACGAUGUACCUGUGAUAGUGACGGCUUCCUUGGGAGAUGCAAGUUCCUUGAAAGGAAAGGAAUCCUCAUCAAAUAAAACAUGGCGAGACACGUAGAUGCGUCUCGUGGAUAAGUCCAAGCACUUGUAUCCUUCAUGAUUCAGUGAAUAUCCUAAGAAAACACAUGGUUUGGACUUUGGUUGAAGUUUAUGCCGUGUAUACGGAGUCAACAGUGGAAAACAUUUUGAACCAAACACUUUAAAUGCCUCAUAUUUUGGAUUCUUUUGAAACACUUUUUCAUAGGGAGACACGUUAGAUAAAACCUUUGUUGGAAGCCUGUUUAUAAUAUAAACAGCUGUGGAACAUGCAUCGAACCAAAAUGUUUGAGGCAUAUGAGCAUGAGAAAGCAUUGUAACACUAGUUUCAACUAUAUGACGAUGCUUUCGCUCGGCAAUUCCAUUUUGUUCAGGAUGUUUUGGACACGAAAAACGUUGGGAAAUCCCAUGUGUAGCAAGAAAAGUUUUGAAAUCGCGACUCAUGUAUUCACCACCUUCAUCACAUUGAAGAGCUUUAAUAGAUUUGUUAAACAUUUUUUCAACAUGUGUUUUAAAUGUCACAAAAAUUCCAAAUACUUCAGAUUUAUUUUUCAUGGGAAAGAUCCACGAAUAUCGUGAGUAGUCAUCCACAAACAACACGUAAUAACGAAAACCUUCAUUAGAAAUAAUAGGUGAACUCCAAACAUCUGAAUGCAAAAGUUCUAAUGGACAAUAAGACACGGACACAGACUUGGUAAAGGGAAGUUUAGUGCUUUUGCCUAAUGGACAAGAGUCACAAAACGUUACAGUACUUGUACCAGAUGAUGGUACUUGGUUAUUUGCAAUCAAAAAUUUAAUAAUUGACGAAGCAGGAUGACCAAGACGUAAAUGCCAUUUCUGGGGUGAGACUCUAACACCGACACACACUGAAAUAGGAUAGUUGGACAAUCCACCGCCACCAGGAAAUGGAUACAAUCCAUUCUCACAUCUCCCGCGGAAAAGCGUCUUCCGGGUUUUGAGGUCCUUAACAAGGAAAAAAUAAGGAAAUAUCAGUAUAUAGCAAUGGUUAUCUAGGGUGAAUCUGUGUGCCGAAAUAAUAUUAGUGGAUGCGGAUGGACAAUGUAAAAUGUCAUGGAGGUUAAAUGAGCAAGACUUAGUGGAUGCGUUAGGUAUUUCAUGGUAUGCCGAACCAUCUAAAGCUCCAACGAUUACCCCUGGUGCGUGACCUUGAUUUGAAGCAUAUUGUGCGGAAUGAAUCAGUUGCCCUGUUUGCCCUUUUCUUUGAGAAUCAUCAGAAUUAUAGAUAUCCUAAACCUGACUUAUAUGAAAUGUGGGUGACGGAUGACGACUCUAACGGUGUUCCCACAAACAUAUCACAUAUUUUCUUCUAGGCCUGUGGCAUUGUGGAGUGAUGAGUUUCUUAUGGUUCACAGUGAUGAACGCUCAGUUUGCUUUAAUCUUUGUACUACAAAGCUUACGUAUAUUCCCAUUGAAACAUUAGGUGAGUUUGUUGGUUAUGUGAAUAGCAGAGUUUCUGUCAUGGGACGCAACCACAAGCCUGAGAGCAUGGAGAAUAAUUGCUCAGACAAAGAUGAAGAUGCGAUGGUGGUGGUAGACGGGAAGAGGGAAAGCUGCAGGAGGCGGUACACAUAUUCCGUUUCGGCCAUUCAACCGGCUGAUGUUUCCCAUAGAAUCAAGAAGGUGAUGGAGGGCCUCCGGGCAGAGUUUGGUGCAUGUCCCUGUAAACAGUAAGUUGCUGUUUACAUUAACUUUUGAGCUGUUUUUUUUUUUUUGGUUUUCACGAAAGCUUCCUUUUUAAUUUCUUCCUGUUGUUUACGGGAAUGUUCAUAUGUAAUCUGUCUGUCUGCAAACAUUUGAUGGAUGCAGGUUCUAUGACAUAUUUAAGCCUCCUCUACUGGAAGUCGAUGGAUGCAGGUUCUAUGCCAUAUGUCAGAAACAAGUUUUUCUUGCAAAUCAACCAGACCAUGUUUACACGUAGUGUCGCAAACGUUGGCAAGGAAACUUUUGAAUUCAAACUUAAAAUGAAUUUGAUUAUAAAUGGUUUUGGCAGCUGUUGUUUUACCCAACUCGCUCAUCCCCCAAAUUACAAUCAUGACAACGUCAUUUGAUCCACCACUUGAAAGAUGAUUGAUAAAAUCAUCGUGGAGGAUUUUCGAGGAAUUCGAGUAGUCGACCGCUUUUGAAACUUGGACUCACGGACGGCCACAGUGAGGUAGCAGCUGUGGAGUACUCCUGACGACGUCGUUCCAGGAACUAAGGUACUUUCUGAUACUUGAUGCUUGCUCAAUGCUCGGCUAAAUAAGUUAGAGAUUUCUUUGAUUGAUCACUUUUUGGAUUUUGAAUAUGUUCAGUUUAGUAUUCAAACGAGUUUAUCGACUGCAAAGGUAGUGGAAAAGAUAAUUCAAACCUUAUGCCAAAAAUGUCAGGGCAAGUCGAGAUUAAUGAAAAGCUUUCGUGGAUUUUCUAACCUUAAAAGUGAAUUCCUGAAAUACGUGGUGGAAGCAGGGCAUGUAUUUGUGCGAAUUCUGAGUCAUAUUUGUCAAAUAUUUUGAUGAAUGUCUUAUAUUGAUUGUUGUAAUGUUGAAAUGUUUCUAGAUGCAAUAUAUCUUCAAAAUUCAAAGCAACUAAUUGAAAACAAUCAUGGGAGCCUGAAAGAAGUUUGAAAUAUGGACUUGUCUUCAUUAUCGAACUGGGAAAGCGAAAAACAAAAGAGGCGUUUGACGAACUGGAUGUAGGUCAAAAACAUAACUCACUUGGUCCAAAAUCUUGAAUAUUUUCCUUCAUAGGUUUGUCCCAUACUAGAGUAACCCUUGUUCUAAUCAAUGAAACAUAAUUAUAUAAGAUCCUGCCAAAAUUAGAUCAACUUCAACUUCAACACUGCCUUGCAAAUUGAGCUUCAGAACACGAGUCGGAUUGCAAAUGAUGGCAAAAUGUUUGAAAGUGGAGAAAAUUUCGGAGAUUUUCUAUUGAGAAAUCCAUCAUUUCUUAGUCUUGCGGAGGAGAUUUUUUAACUUAACAUGAACAGCCCUACAAUUUAUUCAACUCUCAGUCUCACUAUCUCCAAAUGGUAAAGGCCAAGAGACUCAGGUGUCCGACUUAAUGUUACAUGAACAAGUAGAUGAUGAAUAAUCAAGAGACAAAGAGAGGAGCGUAAGAAGAUCUUCGUCCAUUGGGUCGGAUAUCUGACCUCCUAUAUCACUGACUGUCGGACCUUGUGGCUUCCAAUGAUGAAUAGAUAAAGAAAGAUGCGUAAGAAGAUCUUCGUCCAUUGGGGCGGAUAUCUGAUCUCCUUUGUCACUAACUGCUGGACCCUGUGGCUUCCAAUGAUCAAGAGACCGAGAAAGGCGCGUAAGAAGAUCUUCGUCCAUUGGGUCAGAUAUUUGAUCUCCUCUGUCACUGACCGCCGGACCCUGUGGCUGGAAGAGUAUUGGGAGAUUCUCAGGACGAGUUUGAGGUUGAAUACGACAACCUGCAUGAAAAAUACCAGGAGGCAAGGAAAAACGUGAAUGCGCAAGGUUGAGAGGAUCAUGAUCAUGCACUGUUAUAGUACUACCCAUGUAAUUGAAAAAAUCCAUCAUAUCUUAGUCUUGCGGAGGAUAUUUUUAUCUUAACAUGAACAGCCCUACAAUCUAUUCAACUCUUAAUAGUCUCACUAUCUCCAAAUGGUAAAGGCCAAGAGACUCAGGUGUUCAGCUGAAAGUUACCUGAACAAGUAGAUGAUGAAUAAUCAAGAGCCAAAGAGAGGCGCGUAAGAGAAUCUUCGUCCAUUGGGUCGGAUAUCUGAUCUCCUCUGUCACUGACUGCCGGACCUUGUGGCUUCCAAUGAUGACGAGACAAAGAAAGGCACGUAAGAAGAUAUUCGUCCUUUAGAACUCCAAUGUCACUGACUGCAGGAAAACUAUUAGAAGACAAGAAAAAAUGUGAAUGCUUGCUGAGAGGACCAUGAUCAUGCACUGCUAUAGUACUUACCAAUGUAAUUUCUGAGAUGAUAAUCAUUAGAUGGCUCAUAAUUAUCAGAUGACUCCCCAUAGAACCGAGCUGGAUGUUGGUCAAAAACAUAACUAGCUUGGUCCAAAUCAUGCGUAUUUUCCUUCAUAGGUUUGUUCCACACUAGAUUAACCAUUGUUCUCAUUGAUGACGUAUCAUAACAGUUUGCUGAAAGUUGAACUUCAACUUUAUCCCCACUUUGCAAUUUGAGCUUAUCGUUCGAUAGUUGUCCUUGCCAAAGUAUGUGCCAAAGAUUAUAGUUUGAAGGCUUAUCCCAAUAUCCGCUGCCUAAGUAAGCCUGCAACUUAGUACGCUUGGUAUUAUUUAUAAUAGUAAUGCCAAAUACAAAAUUACUUUCAAGUGAAUAUUUGUGCAAGAAGCACAUAGUCAGCCCUUCAAAAGUACGAUCAUCAUUCGGGGGAAUAACAAUGCUGACUUUAUUGUCAUCAUUGACAAACUCAAACCAAUCAGGUACAAAAUUCCCAUAGAGUAAAAUGCCACCAAAUCCGCACGAAGUCCAUCCCUACAUAUACAAUGCAAGUGUCAUAUACAUACAUACAUACAUACAUACAUACAUACAUACAUACAUACAUACAUACGUAUACAUGUAAACGUGUGUUUGUGUGUGCAUGUGCACGAUAGGAAGGCAAUGAGAGAUAGAGAGUGAGAUACCUGUAGGAUGUUCUUCCCAAAAUCAGCUGUGAGAUUGGUGCAGUUACUCAUAUCAAUCAAUGUCAUGAACUUUAAUGACUUAUCCAAGCUUGGAACCUCAAUGAGUUUGGGCGAAUCACUUACCUUCAACUCUGUCAUAUUUGACAUUUCCGAAAAAUUGGGCAUUGUUUCCAAUGCAGGGCAAUCAUCGGCAUACAGAAAUUUCAAAUUUGUUGGUAAAUCAGGGAUUGUACGAAGAUUAAAGCAGUCAUUUAUCCUCAAUGUUUCAAGCUUUGUAAGACCACUUAGGCUGGGUAGGGUAUGAAAAUUAUUCCCUCCAAGAUCCAAAACUUGUAAAGAAAUUAGACUCCCAAGAUCCUGAGGGAUUGCAUCAUGUGCUAAUUUCACACCUUUUAGGGAUAAAAGAGUGAGAUUCUUCAAUCUAACUGUGGAAGAUGGUAUUUGUCUUAUGGCUGUAUGCUUUGCUUCAAGUAUUCUCAAUGAUUUCAUCUCCCCUAAAUCCUCAUGCACUUCUCUGAAUUCGAAACAGUAACUAAGAAGAAGAGUCUCAACAGAUUUCAACUUAUAGAAAUCCCUUGGAAGAGAACUAAGCUUUUCGCAUUCUUUAAGGUUCACCAAAGAAAGUUUUUGAAGUUGACCAAUGGAGGGGUGAAUCUCGGACAAACUCCUACAAUUUUCCAGUAUCAACUCUUCAAGAUUUGGGACUUGUGAAAAGUCCGGUGAUUUAAUUAGAGAUAGGGAAAGACUAAGAUUCAGGAUUUUCAACCUCUCUAGCAACUGUUAUAGAAAACCAAAGGAAAAUUGAAAUUAAUAACCAAAAGGAAGAUGUCAUAAAUAAAUAAAUAAAGGUAAUCCAAAAACAAAUAGGAACAAAACAUCAUCAUGUGUAAUUGAUCGUAACUUAUAACCUUCCCAAACUUGUACCAGAUUGCUGUACUGCAUAUCUAAAACAACUAGUCUUGGUUGGUCAAAAAAGUCAUCUGGUAUGGACUUUAAAGGGCAUCCUUCCCAACACAACCAUAUUAACUCUUUGGGAAGAUGUUUGUAUUCUCCAUUGAGCUGAACGUAUUUGAGAUGAAGGAAUCUCAGUUUCUUCAUAUUGGCAAAUGCUUCUGUACUAAAACUAGGCAUGCUAGAGCUUCGAAGCCAAGGAUAAGGGAAAUUUAGAGCAAGUCCUUCAACUUCUUCAGUUCCCUGUUAACAAAAGGUUAUAUUCAUGUGUAAGAAACGAAUUAUUUGCAUAUAUUUAAAUGUAUUAUUAUUCAUUAGGAACUUCCCAAUGGGUCACCCAUCCUAGGAAUGCUCUCGUUCGAACUCACUUAAUUUCGGAGUUCCAAUGGAAUCGGAAGUCAGUGAGUACCCAAGGCCUCGUGUUAUAUGGAGGUGGGCAUGUACAUAUAAGGCACAUCACCCCCUCUCCGUUGGUCGAUUGUGGGAUGUUACAAAAAAUCACCUACAGUGAUUAUAAUUACACAUAAAUGUUGUUUAAUGUAUAAUAGACAUACGUGGGCUAUAUAUAUGUUUUCAAGCAGGAUGCAUUAUGCAAAAUUUUAUUGGGAAUGUACUUACAGAUUUAUUUCUCAACACUUCGGCAGUCUCUUGACGGUUCCACAACCUACUCCAUUUUCCAGGGUGACCAAGAGAUUUUUCAGAAAUGAUUACUCUGGCCAUUUCUCGAAGCAAAUCAUGCAUAUUCAACUUAUUCUGCUCAACAGUUAUAAGGCAUCGUUCACGGAGUACACUGAUUACUAUUGUUCCAUAAAAUCCGCAUCGAUCUAAUAUUUUUGUGACAUAGUCCUUAUCCUCUCCAAUAAAGAAACAAGAUACGUCAAGAAAUAUAGCCUUCUCUAAAGUAUCUAGCCCUUCAAAGCUUGUUCUGAGUCGAUUUACAAUGUUUCCAUAUGGAUAUCUUCCCAAUUUCUCCAAUUGACAUUCCCACUCUGCCAAUGAUCUUUUAAUCAAAAGAGAUCCUAAAACUUCAAGCGCUAGUGGUAAACCUCCACAAUAAGAAACAAUCUUUUCUGAAACUUCAAGAUAUCCUUGAUUAGGACAACUAUUUUUUAAAGGCAUGCCAACUAAAUAGCUCAAGAGCUUCUUCUUCAUUCAUUUCCUUAGCCCGAAAUGUUUUGUUCACAUUUAGUAGUAAACGUUCAUCUCGUGUCGUUAUGAUAAUUCUACUUCCAAGACCAAACCAAUCAUGACCUCCAACUAUUGCAUCCAGUUGAUCCUCUUUAUCUAUGUUGUCCACGAUGACAAGUAUCUUUCUAUUUGAAAAUUGUUGUCUUAUCAACUCGAUACCUUCAUCAACACAACUUAUUUCAUGCUUCUUUUUCAAGAUGUCAGAAAUAAGUUUUUUUUUGCAAAUAAACCAGAUCAUGUUUACUUGUAGCAUCGCGAACGUCGGCAAGGAAACUUUUGCAUUCAAACUGAGGAUGAAUUUGGUUAUAAAUGGCUUUGGCAGCUGUUGUUUUACCCAAUCCACCCAUCCCCGAAAUUCCAACCAUGAGAACAUCAUUUGAUCCACCACUUGAAAGAUAACUAAUAAUAUCUUGAACGCGAGAAUUGAUUCCAACUAUGUGCUUGGCCACAUGUAAUUCAUUAGUGUUGGUGAGCCAUUCACAAAUAUUCUCGUCAAUAAUUUUUUUAAUGAACUUUGCUUCGCCCCUGAAAAUUGAAUUCGUAAGCAUUAGUGGGACUCAAUGAAGGCUCGGUAGGAGAUAUCAAUACAUAAACAAUGUUCUUUCCUUCUUCCCUUCAUAAUAUAUAUAUAUAUAUAUAUAUAUAUAUAUAUAUAUAUAUAUAUACGAACUUGAAUAAAAGAAUUCAUUGAUAACUAAAAGUUAGGCGUAUGAAUUAAACUCCAAUUACGGUUUAGGUUACUUAUGAGAGAUUAAGGUGUAAUCAUUAACAGAUUUCAACUUAUAGAAAUCCCUUGGAAGAGAACUAAGCUUUUCGCAUUCUUUAAGGUUCACCAAAGAAAGUUUUUGAAGUUGACCAAUGGAGGGGUGAAUCUCGGACAAACUCCUACAAUUUUCCAGUAUCAACUCUUCAAGAUUUGGGACUUGUGAAAAGUCCGGUGAUUUAAUUAGAGAUAGGGAAAGACUAAGAUUCAGGAUUUUCAACCUCUCUAGCAACUGUUAUAGAAAACCAAAGGAAAAUUGAAAUUAAUAACCAAAAGGAAGAUGUCAUAAAAUAAAUAAAUAAAGGUAAUCCAAAAACAAAUAGGAACAAAACAUCAUCAUGUGUAAUUGAUCGUAACUUAUAACCUUCCCAAACUUGUACCAGAUUGCUGUACUGCAUAUCUAAAACAACUAGUCUUGGUUGGUCAAAAAAGUCAUCUGGUAUGGACUUUAAAGGGCAUCCUUCCCAACACAACCAUAUUAACUCUUUGGGAAGAUGUUUGUGUAUUCUCCAUUGAGCUGAACGUAUUUGAGAUGAAGGAAUCUCAGUUUCUUCAUAUUGGCAAAUGCUUCUGUACUAAAACUAGGCAUGCUAGAGCUUCGAAGCCAAGGAUAAGGGAAAUUUAGAGCAAGUCCUUCAACUUCUUCAGUUCCCUGUUAACAAAAGGUUAUAUUCAUGUGUAAGAAACGAAUUAUUUGCAUAUAUUUAAAUGUAUUAUUAUUCAUUAGGAACUUCCCAAUGGGUCACCCAUCCUAGGAAUGCUCUCGUUCGAACUCACUUAAUUUCGGAGUUCCAAUGGAAUCGGAAGUCAGUGAGUACCCAAGGCCUCGUGUUAUAUGGAGGUGGGCAUGUACAUAUAAGGCACAUCACCCCCUCUCCGUUGGUCGAUGUGGGAUGUUACAAAAAUCACCUACAGUGAUUAUAAUUACACAUAAAUGUUGUUUAAUGUAUAAUAGACAUACGUGGGCUAUAUAUAUGUUUUCAAGCAGGAUGCAUUAUGCAAAAUUUUAUUGGGAAUGUACUUACAGAUUUAUUUCUCAACACUUCGGCAGUCUCUUGACGGUUCCACAACCUACUCCAUUUUCCAGGGUGACCAAGAGAUUUUUCAGAAAUGAUUACUCUGGCCAUUUCUCGAAGCAAAUCAUGCAUAUUCAACUUAUUCUGCUCAACAGUUAUAAGGCAUCGUUCACGGAGUACACUGAUUACUAUUGUUCCAUAAAAUCCGCAUCGAUCUAAUAUUUUUGUGACAUAGUCCUUAUCCUCUCCAAUAAAGAAACAAGAUACGUCAAGAAAUAUAGCCUUCUCUAAAGUAUCUAGCCCUUCAAAGCUUGUUCUGAGUCGAUUUACAAUGUUUCCAUAUGGAUAUCUUCCCAAUUUCUCCAAUUGACAUUCCCACUCUGCCAAUGAUCUUUUAAUCAAAAGAGAUCCUAAAACUUCAAGCGCUAGUGGUAAACCUCCACAAUAAGAAACAAUCUUUUCUGAAACUUCAAGAUAUCCUUGAUUAGGACAACUAUUUUUAAAGGCAUGCCAACUAAAUAGCUCAAGAGCUUCUUCUUCAUUCAUUUCCUUAGCCCGAAAUGUUUUGUUCACAUUUAGUAGUAAACGUUCAUCUCGUGUCGUUAUGAUAAUUCUACUUCCAAGACCAAACCAAUCAUGACCUCCAACUAUUGCAUCCAGUUGAUCCUCUUUAUCUAUGUUGUCCACGAUGACAAGUAUCUUUCUAUUUGAAAAUUGUUGUCUUAUCAACUCGAUACCUUCAUCAACACAACUUAUUUCAUGCUUCUUUUUCAAGAUGUCAGAAAUAAGUUUUUUUUGCAAAUAAACCAGAUCAUGUUUACUUGUAGCAUCGCGAACGUCGGCAAGGAAACUUUUGCAUUCAAACUGAGGAUGAAUUUGGUUAUAAAUGGCUUUGGCAGCUGUUGUUUUACCCAAUCCACCCAUCCCCGAAAUUCCAACCAUGAGAACAUCAUUUGAUCCACCACUUGAAAGAUAACUAAUAAUAUCUUGAACGCGAGAGAGAAUUGAUUCCAACUAUGUGCUUGGCCACAUGUAAUUCAUUAGUGUUGGUGAGCCAUUCACAAAUAUUCUCGUCAAUAAUUUUUUUAAUGAACUUUGCUUCGCCCCUGAAAAUUGAAUUCGUAAGCAUUAGUGGGACUCAAUGAAGGCUCGGUAGGAGAUAUCAAUACAUAAACAAUGUUCUUUCCUUCUUCCCUUCAUAAUAUAAUAUAUAUAUAUAUAUAUAUAUAUAUAUAUAUAUAUAUAUAUAUACGAACUUGAAUAAAAGAAUUCAUUGAUAACUAAAAGUUAGGCGUAUGAAUUAAACUCCAAUUACGGUUUAGGUUACUUAUGAGAGAUUAAGGUGUAAUCAUUAACAGAUUUCAACUUAUAGAAAUCCCUUGGAAGAGAACUAAGCUUUUCGCAUUCUUUAAGGUUCACCAAAGAAAGUUUUUGAAGUUGACCAAUGGAGGGGUGAAUCUCGGACAAACUCCUACAAUUUUCCAGUAUCAACUCUUCAAGAUUUGGGACUUGUGAAAAGUCCGGUGAUUUAAUUAGAGAUAGGGAAAGACUAAGAUUCAGGAUUUUCAACCUCUCUAGCAACUGUUAUAGAAAACCAAAGGAAAAUUGAAAUUAAUAACCAAAAGGAAGAUGUCAUAAAUAAAUAAAUAAAGGUAAUCCAAAAACAAAUAGGAACAAAACAUCAUCAUGUGUAAUUGAUCGUACCUUAUAACCUUCCCAAACUUGUACCAGAUUGCUGUACUGCAUAUCUAAAACAACUAGUCUUGGUUGGUCAAAAAAGUCAUCUGGUAUGGACUUUAAAGGGCAUCCUUCCCAACACAACCAUAUUAACUCUUUGGGAAGAUGUUUGUAUUCUCCAUUGAGCUGAACGUAUUUGAGAUGAAGGAAUCUCAGUUUCUUCAUAUUGGCAAAUGCUUCUGUACUAAAACUAGGCAUGCUAGAGCUUCGAAGCCAAGGAUAAGGGAAAUUUAGAGCAAGUCCUUCAACUUCUUCAGUUCCCUGUUAACAAAAGGUUAUAUUCAUGUGUAAGAAACGAAUUAUUUGCAUAUAUUUAAAUGUAUUAUUAUUCAUUAGGAACUUCCCAAUGGGUCACCCAUCCUAGGAAUGCUCUCGUUCGAACUCACUUAAUUUCGGAGUUCCAAUGGAAUCGGAAGUCAGUGAGUACCCAAGGCCUCGUGUUAUAUGGAGGUGGGCAUGUACAUAUAAGGCACAUCACCCCCUCUCCGUUGGUCGAUGUGGGAUGUUACAAAAAUCACCUACAGUGAUUAUAAUUACACAUAAAUGUUGUUUAAUGUAUAAUAGACAUACGUGGGCUAUAUAUAUAUGUUUUCAAGCAGGAUGCAUUAUGCAAAAUUUUAUUGGGAAUGUACUUACAGAUUUAUUUCUCAACACUUCGGCAGUCUCUUGACGGUUCCACAACCUACUCCAUUUUCCAGGGUGACCAAGAGAUUUUUCAGAAAUGAUUACUCUGGCCAUUUCUCGAAGCAAAUCAUGCAUAUUCAACUUAUUCUGCUCAACAGUUAUAAGGCAUCGUUCACGGAGUACACUGAUUACUAUUGUUCCAUAAAAUCCGCAUCGAUCUAAUAUUUUUGUGACAUAGUCCUUAUCCUCUCCAAUAAAGAAACAAGAUACGUCAAGAAAUAUAGCCUUCUCUAAAGUAUCUAGCCCUUCAAAGCUUGUUCUGAGUCGAUUUACAAUGUUUCCAUAUGGAUAUCUUCCCAAUUUCUCCAAUUGACAUUCCCACUCUGCCAAUGAUCUUUUAAUCAAAAGAGAGAUCCUAAAACUUCAAGCGCUAGUGGUAAACCUCCACAAUAAGAAACAAUCUUUUCUGAAACUUCAAGAUAUCCUUGAUUAGGACAACUAUUUUUUAAAGGCAUGCCAACUAAAUAGCUCAAGAGCUUCUUCUUCAUUCAUUUCCUUAGCCCGAAAUGUUUUGUUCACAUUUAGUAGUAAACGUUCAUCUCGUGUCGUUAUGAUAAUUCUACUUCCAAGACCAAACCAAUCAUGACCUCCAACUAUUGCAUCCAGUUUGAUCCUCUUUAUCUAUGUUGUCCACGAUGACAAGUAUCUUUCUAUUUGAAAAUUGUUGUCUUAUCAACUCGAUACCUUCAUCAACACAACUUAUUUCAUGCUUCUUUUUCAAGAUGUCAGAAAUAAGUUUUUUUUGCAAAUAAACCAGAUCAUGUUUACUUGUAGCAUCGCGAACGUCGGCAAGGAAACUUUUGCAUUCAAACUGAGGAUGAAUUUGGUUAUAAAUGGCUUUGGCAGCUGUUGUUUUACCCAAUCCACCCAUCCCCGAAAUUCCAACCAUGAGAACAUCAUUUGAUCCACCACUUGAAAGAUAACUAAUAAUAUCUUGAACGCGAGAAUUGAUUCCAACUAUGUGCUUGGCCACAUGUAAUUCAUUAGUGUUGGUGAGCCAUUCACAAAUAUUCUCGUCAAUAAUUUUUUUAAUGAACUUUGCUUCGCCCCUGAAAAUUGAAUUCGUAAGCAUUAGUGGGACUCAAUGAAGGCUCGGUAGGAGAUAUCAAUACAUAAACAAUGUUCUUUCCUUCUUCCCUUCAUAAUAUAUAUAUAUAUAUAUAUAUAUAUAUAUAUAUAUACGAACUUGAAUAAAAGAAUUCAUUGAUAACUAAAAGUUAGGCGUAUGAAUUAAACUCCAAUUACGGUUUAGGUUACUUAUGAGAGAUUAAGGUGUAAUCAUUAACCAUGUGAAUGAAUGUUUAGAUUAUGUAAAAUGUUAAUUAAGCAUGUCAAUUAAUUGAGAGAUUAAGUCAUUCACUAAAAUUAGCAGCUCCUGUGAAGGAUCAACGUGAGAGAUUAAGGUGUAUUAAUUAAGCAUGUUAAUUAGAGUAAUACAACUUAAAUUUUGAAAAGCAGCUGAAUGAUUACCCAUCGUAAGCGAUUUUAAGAUGGUGACCAGACAAAUUUGCAGCUUUUGUGAGAGCCUCUCUCCACAGCUUUAGCCUUUCUUGUUUAGCUUCACGUUUCUUGUCAUCUUUUUCUUCACGGAUGUCCUUUUCGUGCUUCUGAAAUGCCUCGGCUAAAUCUCCGUCCUGCUUCCUGACAUGGGAAGGAUCAACGUGAUAGAAUAUUGGUAAAACAUGUCGCCCCAGUUUGCCUAUACACUCCAUGAUCUUCACCAGCUCGUCAAGACACCAACUCGAAUCCGCAUACAUCUUUGAGAAGAUAAUGACAGAGAUCCUCGACUCUUCGAUUGCACAAAACAGUUUCUCUUUUAUUUCUUCGCCUCUUGGUAGAUCGUCCUCAUCAAUAAAGACCUGGUACCCUCUGGCUUUUAAUGCCGCGUGGAGGUGGCUCGUGAAGCCAUAGCGCGUGUCUUCACCCCUGAAGCUCAAGAAUACGUUGUACUUCCAGAGUUUGGACUUGGAGGAGGACGAAGAGGAGGCUUCGUGGGCUGUCAUGGCGGUAUCCACCGUUAUGGCAUAGCAGUGGUUCUGAUCACAGACUGAAAAAAUAGCAAUAGUUGUGUUUGUGUUGGCGUGUUGACCUAAAAAGCGACAGUAAUAGGGCUGGGAAAAGUCAUCCACACGUCACAGGACGGUGAAAAACAAACAAUAUUAUGAGAGAGGAAGAAAUAAAUAAAACUCUGAAAUUCAUAAAAAAUAUUAUCUCCUUCUUCAACUUGCAACAAACAAACAAAAAAAUCACUUUAAAAUAUUCCGGUAGAAAAACCCAUCACAGAACUAGCAAAUUUAGGAGAGAGAAAGAGACCUGCACUCAAAUCGUAAGUUCACCCGUUAAAUUUUCCAAUUCAGAAUCCAGAUCGGGGGUUUUUUCCCUUCAGGUAUUCAAAUUUUGGGCUUGGUCGAGCAUUUUCAAGGGAUUUUUGUAACUUGGAAGCCAUUUUUUCAAUUUCAUAGCCGGAGGGCGGUCUGAAAUGUGGGGGGAGAAGUUGGAGGGAAAAGUACUUUGGUGUUCUUGGAUUUAUCGAGAUGGAGGAAGAGGAAGGGGGAAGGGGGAAGGGUAAGACCGUGGGAUAGAGAAUAAAAUUAUUUUUAAUGGUAUUUUUUAUGGAAAUUGAUAAUCUUAUAAUCUCUUCCUUUUAAUCCACAAAAUUAGAAAAUUCAUGCAAUUAAAAAUUGAUCCAACGACUGAAAUGAUUAUAACUUCUAAAAUGAAUCUUUAUUUGUAGUCAUUGGAUCAAAUUUAAACGGUAUGGAUUUCCUAAUUUGAUGGAUUAGGAUCCCUUAUUAAAUUAACAAUGAGGUCCAGACUCACCAUUAAUGUUUGUCACUUUUCUUUUUCUAAAAGCCAUUUUUGUAUAUUAGCACUUUACUAGGAGCACGUCAAAAUUUGUAGUAAAAUUAUAGGAAGUUUUCAAAAGGAGCACGUCAAAAUCUGUGGUAAAAUUAUAGGAACUUUUCAAAUAUUUUUUAUUAGUUUUUUUUAAAUUCUAAGGAGUUUUAACAAAAAGUCCGCGGUACUGUUCAUUUUAACGAAAAACUAUAUUUUUACACUAAAAAGUCAAAUAUGUUACUAUUCACUUUACCUUUUAUUUUGUCCUUAUUGUUAAAACUCAAAGUUUUCAAACUAUUUUCAUUAAUUUUCCUAAAAUUUUAUCCUUUAAAAGCACUUAUCAUUUUUUUUGCACCAACAUCAUCAUAAUGCUUUUAUAAUAUUGUUUGAAAGCACUUUUAAUAACUCUAUAAACUUCAAUGAAUUAGCCAAACUAGGAAAAGUUGACAAAUUAAAAUUUUUAGCUCAUUUUUUUAUUUAGUUUUUUAUUCUAAUUCAACUUUAAUUCAUUACUUUAUACAAAUUCAACAUUAUAUUCAGAGCUUCACCAUAUUGACAUACUUAAGAUGCGUUGAGUUAAUUAUUUUCUUUCUAUCAAUUAAUUAGUUCGAAUCCAAAUGAUAUAAAAAUAAUAAUAGCAUGAAAUCCUAAUUGUCUAUCUAAGAAGGCACACAACACACCACUCCAUUACGAAAUUGGAAACAAAAAAAAAGUGAGAAAUAUAGAGUGUGCAUGCAUGCCAAGUAAUAUCCACAUGAACUAAAAGAUGAGAAACUCUUAAUAAGAGCACUGUUGAAAACGAAAAUUGGUUGCCUUUCGAUUAUUCAUCUCUAAAAAUUUAUGGUAGGUGGGUAGUUAUAUUGGUGGUACGUGUGUAGUUAUUGUUGGAUCUCACAUUAAACUGAAAUCAGAUCGUGAAAAUCCUUGGAAGAAAACUGCUAAUUCGUUCGUGCUUUUUCUUCGUCGUCUUUGAGGUUGAACACGUAACAUUUUUCUCUUAUUCUUUUUUCACUUUUUCGUUUUCUUUUCUAUUUUUAUUAUUAUUUAUUUUUAAUUAAUUUUUCACUACAGAAUAAGCACGUUUCUACUUUUUAUUUACAUUAUUUUUUUUUAAUACAGUUAUGUUUUUUUACCACUUUGUCCUCAUUUUUUUAUUUUUUUUGAAUUUAGAUUGUGAAGAAAAUUAAGGAUCAUUUUUCGUAUUUUCGAAUGCUUCGACCGCUCAACAUAAAAAAUGAUGUGGUAGAAAGAAAGAAUCACGCUGUACAAGCAACAGCAUCGGGAGACCAAAUACUAGCAUUUAAGGGCCGAAUUAAUGUGGGCUGGGACAAGUGGUCCAUUGGGCUUUCGGAUCAAAGUAAAUACAAGUGGGAAAGAGUACAGAGAGGAGUACCGCCUCGCCUUACGCCUUUCUUCCGUCGGCGUCGUCUAGGGUUUUAGUUGUAACAGAGCCUAUAAGAGCACGAUAGCCCCUGUAAUUCAUCAACCUUCAAUUCACAGACCUGACCGGAGUCUGGAGACUGAACCGCCGUAGAAAUAUUACUGUUACCAUCCUCCUCUUGGUGAUCGCCCUGCCGGCCUUCCGGAUUCGGGAACUUCUGGAUUCAGGGCCUGCAUAUGGACAUGGCGAUUAGCAAAGGGAUGACGGUAAUAUUUAAUUCAUGAUGUUGGUAAACUCGUCGGAAAAUCGACCCCGGCGAAGGCAAACUCACCGGGGGCAGAGCUCUAAAAUUAUGCUAAAUUUCAGUGCUUUUUGCUGUUUAACUUUGUUUUUGUAACUCGUCUAAAUUUGGAUUAUGUGAGAUUAGGUAUAUUCUGAGAUCGCAUCACCAAUCCGAGUAGUGUUGCAGCAGCAAAAUGAAAAUUGGGACAAGAUAUGUUGGUGGAAAUCCUAUCAAAUCUGCCUCCAAUAGUCUGAUGCGAUUCAAAUGCGUCUCUAAAUGGUGGUAUGCUUGCAUCACCAAUCCGAGUUUCGCAUUGAAGCACCUCUCCAACUCCGCCAACAACAGCCUCACCACUCGUGACUAGACCUGGCAUUUUGGACCCGACUUGUUAAACCGACCCGACCCGUUAAUAUUAGUAUUUGAAUGGAUGCUUAACUGGUCGAGUCGUUAACGGAUGAACCCGUUUUUCUUUGGACCAACCCGUUAACACCGUUAGUUGAAGAUGUUAUAGUAAUUUUAGUAAAGUCUUAACAAUAAAAAAUAAAUUCUAUCAAAAAAAAAUAAUAAUAAUAAUGGGUGUUAAUGGGUGAAACGGAUGACCCGUUAGCUUAACGAGUCGAUUUUGGAUAACCCGUUAGCUUAACGGGUCGGAUUCAAUCCGACCCAAAUCCAAUAAAUCCAACCCGUUUACAGGUCUACUCGCGACCUCCUUUUCAAGAGAUAAGUAGUGCAGCGGCAGCAUGAGGUGGAGGAAACUAAACAAGUAUUCUCGUUGCUUAAGUUAUGCAAAGACGAUGGUAAUACCCAUGACGAGGAUAGCAACAACUACUCUCUUCUUGGUGUCCCGGACAUUAUUUUUCCUCACUCUUUGAUUCAGAAGGUCGGAGCCCCGGAACAACUGCAUAUUAUAGGCACUGCAAUGGCAUUGUUUUACUAUAUAGUAAGAGUAGCUUUGUUUUAUGCAAUCCCGGAAUUGAGGAAUUCAUUCGUGUUCCCGAUGAGCCAUAGUAAGAGUAGCUUUGUUUUACUAUAUAGUAAGAGUAGCUUUGUUUUAUGCAUAUUAUAGGCACUCCAACGAUUACGGGAAUGUUCAUAUGUAGUCUGUCUGUCUGCAAUAUUUGAUGGAUGCAUGUUCUAUGCCAUAUUUGAGCCUCCUCUACGGGAAGUCGACGGAAGAAGAAGAAGAAGAAGAAGAGGAAAAAAGCUCGAGAAAUGGUUAAUGCUCUGGAUGAGGGCAUUACUAGCUUGACCUUCUGCGUAACUCGCUUUCCAUUGUAUGAAAUCGACUACGAUGACAAAUCUCUGAAAUUCUUGGACGAAGAUUGAUGAAAUCGGCCAUUGGACAAGUUCUCUGGAUUCAUAUAAUUGCAAGCAAGUUAGCAACUCUGAGGUCGAACAAAGUUAUAAUACAUCAAUCAUUUGCAAACGUGGAGUAAUAUAUCAAUAUUAAAGGUUCCAGGGAACGAAAGGGGAGUUAUUGAUAGUAUAUCUAGUGAACUGAUGAAGAGUUCUCUAGGCCGCAAUCAUUUUUCCAUCUGGAUAUGCAAGUUUGUAUAUAACGUCAUUUGUUCAAAGAGAUUCAACAUUAAUUAAGGGUGAUGCUAAAGAGAUCAUCUUUUUGGACCAUAUUUAUAGACCAUAUGAUGAUGAUGUGAAGGUUGAUGAUUGUAUUAUUUCUUUGGUCGUACCCAGUGCACAAGGCUCCCGCUUUACGCAAGGUCUGGGAGAGGUGAAUGUCGGCUAGCGUUACCCCCAUUUAUAGAGAGGCUGCUCCCAAGUCUCGAACCCGAGACCUACCGCUCAUGGGCGAAGACACUUACCAUCGCACCAAGUGCGACCUCUAUUGUAUUAUUUCUUUAAACUAUUAAAAAUGAAAUCUAACUAUUAACAAUGAGAUUUAUUUAGCCAAAUAAGAAAAAGAAAAAAGCUUCAAAAACUCUUAACUUUAAGGUUUCACUUGAAUAUAUAACAUUAUUAUAUAAUAAAUUGAAAAGAAAUAUUUUUACACUUAUAAGGAAUGUACAAUGAGAUUUUAAAGUGCUAAUAAAAGUAUAUUUUUAAUAUAUAGCAUUAUUACAUAUAAAUGUAAGAUGACACAUUUUUGGGAGCCCUUCAAAUUUGAAAGUCCUGUGCGAUUAUACCUUUCGCUCGCCCACAACACCGCCUAUGUUGUCCAUGAUGACAAGUGCCCUUUUUAUGUCGAAAUUGUUGUUUUACCAGACUGAUAUCUCCAUCAAUACUACUUAUUUGAAACUUCUAUUUCAAAAUGUCAGAAACAAGUUUUUCUUGCAAAUCAACCAGACCAUGUCUACAUGUAGUGUCACUAACGUUGGCAAGGAAACUUGUGAAUUCAAACUUACAAUGAAUUUGGUUAUAAAUGGUUUUGGCAGUUGUUGUUUUACCCAACUCACCCAUCCCCCUAAUUACAAUCAUGACAACGUCAUCUGAUCCACCACUUGAAAGAUGAUUGAUAAAAUCAUCGUGGGGGAUUUUCGAGGAAUUCGAGUAGUUGACUGCUUUUGAAACUUGGUCUCACAGACGGCCACAGUGAGGUAGCAGCUGUGGAGUACUCCUUUAUCCCAGCAUUCCUUGACGACGUCGUUCCUAAAUCUAAGGUACUUUCUGAUACUUGAUGCUUGCUCAAUGCUCAGCUAAAUAAGUUAGAGAUUUCUUUGAAUGAUUGCUUUAUGGAUUUUGAAUAUGUUCAGUUUUGUUGGAAAAUAUUAGUAUAUUAUAAUUAUUUGAGUUUGCUUGUUAGUUAGUACUAGCUAGUAAUGCCCGCGCGUUGCUGCGGGAUUACAAAUUGAUCUUAUAGCAGUGUAUAAAUUUGAGUUAGUAUCAGUGUAACAUUAAUUAAUCUAAACAAAAUUACCAUAGUGAAGGAAAAAAAUUUAUUUGCUAUAGAAAAAUUAUAGUUUUGAUACCUUAGACCAUCUCUAACCCUUGGGCUAAAAGCCAAAUUUUUUAACCCGGAAAAUUUGGCUUUUAGCCCAGAAACAUCUUUUCUGCUCCAACCCUACUGCCCUAAAAUUUUAGCCCGGAAUUAUUAAAGAAUGAACUUAGGCUAAUUUUUUUCUUAAAUCAAUUUUUUUUAAAAAUAAAUAUGUAGAUUAUUGUAAAUUAAUUUUAUGAACAUUUUAAUCUAAAAAAAAUUUAAAUUCCAAUAAACAUUUGCCAUUUAGCACAGGGGGAAAGCUGGGGGGGGGGUAUUUGGCCCAGAAAUAACAUUUGGCAUUUAGCCUAAAAUUUUAACAUGGGUUGGAGAGUGUUUGGGGGGUAAUUUGACUUUUAGCCCAGGUUUGGAGAUGGUCUUACAAAGGUAAUUUGUUUUAAAAGAUUGAAAGCCAGCGGUUUUCAAUCUUGAAAUUCCACAGCAUCCUUUGACUUUGAAAAAUAGCGACCAUCAUCGGAUAGAACUAUUGUACCACCUACAGGAAAGAAAAAACAAUGAGUUACUGCGAUAUUCUUAUACACAAAAAGAAAACACUUGACACUGAAUGAACAAAAUAUUCAAACAUGGAAAGCACAUCAUGAGGGAUAAUCUAUCAUUUUUGGCCAAGUGAGGAAUGAUAUCUUGAGUACCAAGAGAGAAAAAAGUAGUUCUACAUUAUUUUAUGAUACCUGAUGGGUUAGUCUUGUAUUUCACUUUAUUUAUAAAAUCGACUACUGAUAUGAUUACAACCUUGACAACAUCACCCCUAGUAUUGGAUGUCCAUCUAAUUUAACUUAAAUUUCUUCUUCAAUCUUGGAUAUACAUAAUGUUUCAGUUUAUGUUUUACCACACAAAAAAUUUUUGAGUCUAAAUGGGUUUUAUAAAUAGAUGAUAAAACUGCAUCUCAGUAGAAUCUAAGACAAUGAAAAUUGAAUAUUAUUUACCAUAAACUGACAUGCAAAUUUAAAUGCAAGAAUGCAAAUGAAGAGAUUCGCUUCAUCAUGUUCAACAAGGAAAUAAAUAGCAACGAAAAUAGUAUGAUUUGGUGACCCUUACCUUUAACUUAAUCCGACAAUAAGGCAUUAAAGGUUGACCAAACCAAAUUCUGCAAGUAAUGAGGUUGCAUAAAAAAUUUUGCCUCAAAAAUUAAAGCCACUAUCAUACAAAGGUUAAUAAGAAAAAUCCAACCCAAUAAUCACAUCUGUCUGAGAAGUGUAUUUCAGCUUAGAAAACAUGCAUGCUGUGUGUGUGUGUGAGAGAGAGAGAGAGAGAGAGAGAGAGAGAGAGAUGUACCUUCUUGUGGAAAGCAAAUGUUCAGGGCUGGACAAAAAGCUUUCGAGAUAUGUACUUGAGUUUUCUGGUGAAGUUCACACAUUCAGUAUUGAAAUUCAUAUAUAUAUAUAUGACAGAGUAAAAGAAUUCUAAGAUAAAAAAAUAAUGAUUAACUUAAAAUGAUCACACAGUUUCCCAAUAGUCAUUUUUCUAGGCUUUCCCAAUUUUGCUGAAAAGCAAAGUUUUUUGCUCGGUUGAGUGUUUGUGAAUCACUCAUAGUACUAAUUAAUUCUUCAAAGCAUGAAUAUCCCAAUGUUCCUUCAGUUUAGUAUAGAACUGCCCAAGGUAAUUGUAAACGUUACUUCAAUAACAGAGUUAGUGUUGUAGGACUCAGCAUAAGGAACAAUCAGAAAGAUGCAAAUGCAGAAAACUAAAUUAGCACCUAUAACACAUGGAACCUCACUUUCUCACAGUGGCUUAAUCUGUCCUCCACCAUUUAAGUAACCUGUUUAAUUCCAGUUAAUAUUACUUCCAAAAUCCCAAACCCACAUGAUGGAUAAUUCAACAUAUCAAACCACAUAUUUAUUUUUUGAAGCAUUAAUAAGUAGAAAAUUUGACAACCAAAAUCAAAUCAGGAUUGAGAACCUGGAAUUUAUUGGAAUUAGGGAUCCAUUAAUACAACCAUGCCUCAGUCCAAAACUAAUUUUUUUUAUUUGGCCUAAAAUAGAAAAAAAAACCCAAAACUUUAAAUUCAAAUAUUAGACAAAUAUAUUUGAAAAGGAUAAAGAUUUUAGAGACAAAGUGAGGACAGAGAGAUGGGGGAGCACCUUGGGCAAGGAGGUGGUUGACAGAUUUGUUGGAGGAGUCAGUCCAAUUUUUCACAAUCUCCUUCAAGCUUGCACCAACAAUUAAAAACAGACAAACACAACAUGAUUGCAGAACGGAAUUAGAAACGAUCUAAUUUUGGGAAAACCUGAGGCUCGAACGCACGUCCAAUGACAAUUGCUGCUUGAGUUUAGUAACAUUAAUUAAAUACAAUACAAUGUUUGCUUGUUUAAUCAUGUUUAGUGAUGCAUUGGAAUGCUCUCGAGGAAACAACUAAAGAAAAUACAUAACUUAGUAUUCGAUAAUGCACAUUAUAACUCAUUUUUAUGCAGAAAUUAAGGUCCCAUUUGAUAACCAUUCUGUUUUUGUCAACUUAAGUUUACUUCUCAAAAUGUAACAGAAUGCAAGGUUCUCAACUCAAACACACUUAAGUUGACAUCUGCAGGUGUAAGAGUAGCACUAUAAUGUAACAAAAGACUUAACACUACUCAAAAGAUUGCUGUUGAAGAAUCCAUAUUCUAAUUAGCACUAAUCACGACACGAAUACACUAAAGUCGAAACUUAAGUAAAAAACUAUGGAAAACAGAUGCAUAAUGACAGGGAGACACGAACCUAAAAAGCAAUCAAUACCUUUAACUCUUUGUUCAUAAGCAGCUUGGUAACACAUCAUUAAAGCUGCAGCCUCUCCGUUUAAAGCGUCAGAAGGAUUGGGAUACAGCAGAAGUUGUGGCAACAACACUUCAAAUACGUUUGCAAGAUCUGGAAACACAGGCAGAUGUAAGAGAAUAAAACUUGGAUUUCGGUACUUUCCCCAUGCUUAUAAGAGAAUUUAUUGUAAGUUUGGUCUUACAGGGUACAAAUAAUGAUAAGCCGACUACAAUACUACCUGCACAAAUACAGUUCUGUUCCAACACGGUUUCCUCAGAGGAUGCGGCUGCUGCAGAUCAAGUUCAAUCUUGAUUCUGUUUUGUAUUUAGUUCACAUGCUGCUAUUUAUUUGUAAUCCUACUUCUACACGUUUAUCAAUUGUAAUUAGUGCAAUGACCAAACAACAAAUUCCAUUAAAAAAAACUAACCAAAAAUCAAAUCAUAAAUCUCAGAAAGCCCAAUGCAUAAAAUUGCAGAAAUAGGGAAGGAAUCAUAAUAAAAACAAAUGAUACAAACACACACAGAGAAAAUAUAUACUUGUAUGUACUUAGCUACUAUACAAACCGCUCAUUCAAUUGCCUCAUUCCCUUUUCCCCUACUAAAUAAAAAAGGGGUCAGUGAAUCAAUACAAAUAUUCAUUGAAAUAAAAAAAAUUAAAAAAAAUCCAAGAUUUUCCUCAAGGGAUAUCCCAGAAUUUAAAUUCACGCUAAACCCAUUCCCUAAUUCUCUUAAUUGUAGGCAACCCAGAAACAAAAAAAAAUGAAAAACUUAUUCUCAGUAUCCAAACAGCUCAAAACCCAGAACCAAAAGAAAAAAACAUAAUACCUUUGCGGGUUUGGAGCUCUUUUCUUAUAAUUGUUACAGUAUUGGUGUUGCGGCUCAAUUCGUGGUGUUUCCGUCCGUAUCAAUUGAAGGUGGGGCAGCUGGUUUGGGUGAAAAAGAAGAGGAGGAUCCGAGCCUACAAACAAAAUCACAAAAAGCAAACAUAAACAUAAAACCCAUCUGCAAAUCUAAAACCCCAAAAAAAAAUUAAAGCACCCACAUUGAGAAAGCUGUCAAACUCACCAGGAAACGCCAACGUUUCUGGGUAAAAAAUUGAAUCGGAUCUAAUUGCACCGUUGUGGAUAAUUCCUCAGAGAAAGAUGGAAGGUCGGAGGGCGAGAAAAAUCGCCGUUUUGGAGACAGAAAGCUAGAGUUGAGAAAGGCGAGAGAGAGAGAAGCGAAAGCAAAGAAAAGUCGAAAGCAGGUCCAGCGAUGAUCGACGCGUGCGAAAAAUGGAAACGGAAGGGAAAAAGGGAGAAGAAAAGUGGAGGAGUAGGCGUUGCACAGCGAUGGUCAACACGUGCAUCCAAUGGGCAAAAACGUAAUCUCACUGUUCAAAGCAGGUCACAAAGGAGGAAACCAAGAAGAAAUCCAGGGGGUAAAAUUGUCAUCACACUGGUCAUCCACAGUGACCAGGGGGUUUUGAGUUUUAGUAUAUACUAGCAAAAAUGCCCGCGCACUGCUGCGGGUCUUGAAACCGUUGAAGAUGAUACUAUUGUUUAUUAGCUUUUUUCUCUUUGAAAUUUGGACUGGACACUUGAAUGUCAAAUGGGUUUUUUCUAUUUAUGUUUUGUACUGUGUUUCUUUGUUUGAUUAUACUUUGGGUUAUUGAUUUUGCUUUAUCCAACCUCUAGAGUCUAGAUGGUAGUGAUGUUUCGUUACUUAGAAGCUCUCAUUCCACAUAUCUCCGCCAUAUUUAUAAAAUCAACAACAAAAAACAGAAAAGAAAAGAAAAUACUCUAACAAACAAAAAAUGCAAGAUAAAUUUACCACUCGAUCAUAAUAGGGGAAAACAAUUAAACCGUAAAAUUAAAAACAAUUAAACCCAGCAAAUUUUCUGUAAUUAAAAAAACACAGAAAACAGUUGGCAACAAAGAUUUAGAGUUAAUUUAUACCAUGGAGUGCCAACUGAUGGACAUAAACAGGAUGCAAAGCGAAAUUUGAAAACAAAAUAUUCCAAAACAAAAAAAGAAACAAAGGUGGAUCAUAUAAGAAUCUUCUUUCUUUAAUCAUAUUGUAUUGCAUUAUUUCAAAAACUAAGUAUCUAAUUUCACCCAAAAAAAAUUACCUAGAUCAAAUAUUUCACAAAAAUUAACAACUCCAGAAGUUACCUUCCAAGAGAUGAGUUGGUAGCUUCUAUCACAAAAUCAAACACAAUUUCAACAUAAACUUGAAAUUAAGGAAAUGACUUAACACUAUAACGAUUCGAAAGCAUUGGAAUUUAAAUCACAAUUCUUACAAAUUCAGCUAGAUUAUGACUAUAAUUCGUCAGUAGCUCAACCCUCUCUUGCUCAUACAUGAAUAUCGUCUUUCGGAGGCCAUGGCUGCAACAAAAUAACAGUACAAUUUUCAUUUCCCACUACCAACUGUGCGGCAGAUGGACUUCUGUGUAGAUGCAAGCUCGUGAUCUGGGAAUGAUUCCUCCAGUCAUGUUUUUCUGCCAACAUAUUAAUUUUGCUCAAUGAUAAUGCCAUAAUUGAAAUAUAUUUUUUUUAUAGAAAUGAUGUAAUGGGUUAAUCUGAAAUUCCGAACUUUUGGUGAUGAUUGAACUCUUCCAUGACUGCUACUGUACUUGUUCAAAUCAACAUAAUUUUAAACGUUCACAAACGACACAUUCACAGCGCCACAAUAUUUAACAACUACUAUGCACAGUUUUUUAAAAAAAUGAGUAUAAGACUAACCUUUACAGAGCACCUACGAAUCACUUCCAAAAUGAGAUACACAAAAUCUGAAACAGCACCUAUCCAAAGUUAAAAAACAAAACUAAUUAAAUAACAAUUAGGCAAGAACAACAAAAUGUGACAAACAAAAUGAAAACACCAAAAUCAUAUAAGGGUUGAGAAUCUCUAAUUUAUUAGAAUUAGGGAUUCCAUUAAUACAACUAUGUCACUCUAGUACUAAUUUUUUUAUUUGGCCAAAAACAGAAAAAAACUGAAAACACCAACUUAAAAGAGUAGGCAAAUGAAAAACAUUCACACCCACACGUAUCAAUUUACACAUAACUUUCAAUUUUGAAUCAUUUGGGCUUCCAAAAUUUCAUCACCCAUAAAUUCAUAUAUAUUUCCAUUAACUCUCUCUCUCUCUCUCUCUCUCAAAUUACAAAUCUCAAAAGGCUUCACAAAAAAGUUAGCAAAAGAAGCGCACACCCGCAACAAUAAUUCACUUUCCUUUCCAACUAUCUUCUUCUCUCUCUCUCUCUCUCUCUCUCUCCAACAUUACAAUUACACACAGAGAUCCCAUUCAAUCAAGACUCACCCCAAAAUUGAUAUCAAGCUUUGUUGCACAGAAUACCUUACAAUUGACAGCACGUUUACAAAGGUUUUGAAAGGCUUAGAUUCAACUUUCAAAUAUGUAAGAGUCUGAGCUUCAAAACCAAAACAAACCCAAUUGCACUUUUAGUUCACUAACCCCAUUGAAUAAAAUCCCAUUCAAUAAAAUAAUAGAAAAUUAAACAACCCAAAAAAUCAAAACAACCCCACUUGUAGUUUUAGCUCACUAAUCCGUUGGAUAAAUUGAUGCAAAAUGCAAUCAGAAAACAUACAAUUAACAACAACCCAGAAGAGCCAUCCAAAACCCCAACCAAUUAACCAAAAAAUACCACUUGUACUUUUAGCUUAGUCUUCCGAUUGAAUCAGAUCUAUCAUCAAAUUUCAAUCAGAAAAUAGAAAAUUAAGAACAACCCAGUAUUUCCACUCACCUGCUGUGAAACUUGUCCCUGUUGAGCAGCAGUAGGAACGGGUAAACUGGGUGAUAUAUACAACCGAUUAAAACACUCAACUUUAGCUGCUUCAGCUACAUAACAGAAAAUGAAAAAAUGUUAGCACAACAAUAUAAAUGCAGGUAAAGGAGUCAAUAUAUGGAGCAACCAUCUUGCCCUCCCCCGACUGUUUGUCUCUUAAGCUAAAUUGCCAUCCAAAACAAAUAGAACAAACACUCACUUACCCUCUAUUUCUGUAAACGGAUCCUAUAACCGACAUCGAAGCUAAGCAUCUAAAACCCUCCUUAGAAGUUAGAAGUAAAAGUUCUCUACUUUAUGGAAGAAUUAAGCACCUCUAUGCCACUAAAACCAAAUCAUCCUAAUAAUUCACCCUCCAAUUUCAUGCCCGAACAAAAGAACGGAAAUUAAUCACCAUGUUCUUUAAUUGAAAAAUAAAAAUUGGGGUAAGCCCAGUUCUCAUUUCUAGCUGAGUUCACUCCAUCUAAAUGCUCAUCCAACAAAAUAAAAAAAAAUAAAAAAUUGAAAUUCCAACUUCUUUGUUGCCUCCUAUAUUUUAUUAGCAUUCAAAAAGUCCUUAACUUGGAGCUUUAGAGCUUUGGAGCUAGGAUUUCAAAAGGUGAGCUUGUGAGUGCAUGAGAGAGAGAGGGCAUACCUGGCCAUGGGAGAGAACGGAGGCUAUAGAAAGAGCUAUGCUCGGCUUCUCGCCGACUUGCAAAAAUGUAAAAGCACAAACAGAAAGGAGAAUCAAAGACAAAAUUCCAAGAUAAAUUCCAAAAAUUCAAAAUUAUACGCGAGAGAGAGACCUUGUUGAUAUUCGGAGUUAGACUCAGAGAGACGAAGCUCCGAGUUACAGAAAUGGAAGCCAGGUUUGUGCGGUUUUGGUUUUCAGAAGCAGGAGCCGACACUAUUGCAGAGAUCGGCUAGAAUUGGUGUUGUUGAUGCUAGGGUUUGAGAAAGGGGAAUGAAGGCCAAAUGGGUGUGUUUGGAUCAAAACUUGAACUUUGGGCUCAAGAAAGGAGUUGGCCCAAAAGGAGGUCCGAAAAAGAAGAUAGCCGAAGCCCAGUCAAAGCCCAGAAAGCAGGGAAAUGCCUUUUCUGACUUGGUGCAGCUCAUGAAGACCACUUGCUUACCUACCCAAAAGCCAAGUGGUGUAGACUGAUCAGCUACACAGCCCAUAAAGUACUUUAUGGUGGCAUUACAUGUAAUAUAACUGAUGAGUCAUCACCCUCAAACCGCAUUCGGGCAAAGUUGCUGCUACCAAAGGCCAAGCCGAGUUGUCUAUAUAAGAAGAAAGAAAAUCCAGGAUUAAGGACACUCAAUCAAACAAACAAAUGCAAGCACAAACUCUGCUUAAAGGCAGAUUUGCCUUCAAAACAAAGCUGUAGUCAGCCUUCAUCCCUUUCGGGAUAAACCUCCAUUCCUUUCGGGAUAACCCUCUCUUCAACCCUUUGUAAUAGCUCUGCUACCUUGUUAAACCUUGCUGUAGUAUCGAUUCAUCUUUUGUAAUCUCUCUCUCCCUACCCCUCUAAAGCUUUCAGACCUUUGACAAAACUACAAAGAUAGGAACCUGCAAGACGAGCAACCUUACCCGAUAAGGUUUAACCUUGCCCGACCUUCUUUACUUUAGUCUUGUCUUUUCAAUAUGUUGUAUACUUCCAGUUAUAUGCAAGUUAUUUCUAGCAACAUGACUAUUAAAAAGCUUUCUCAGCACUUGAAUCCGAUUUGAAUAUAUUGUCAGUGUUCAAACCAGAUCCAAGUCCUAAGCCCUCGGGCAUGUAAAUCUGAUCAGUUAAAAGUCCUUGGCCUCAAGGCAUAAAAAAGAACUUUAUGUGGACUUAACCCAUCCACGACAGUCCUUGAUAAACGAGAAGUCCGAAGUUACUUGGGGUGCAAGUAAUCAACCUACCUUCUAGUUUUCUUUCUAUUAUGUCAUGAUUAUCAUAGAACGCUUGAGCAUGGAAUGGAUUCUAAUGGAAAGCCUCAAGGCCUACACCUAAGGCCCCACAAAGGCAUCUAUUUGGAUUCAUUCCGUUCGGCGAUCUAAAGAGUCUAAGUAUAAGAAUGAACUCUGAUGGGAAGCCUCAAGGCCUACACCUAAGGCCUCACAAAGGCACCUAUUUGGGUUCAUUCUACUUCUUGGAUUCGGGUAAUCAGAAGUAUAAUAGUUAGAAAACUCCUACAAUCAUGAGAACAAAUAUGAUGCGUUCGAGCACUGGUUUAGUUAUUUAUGGGAAGCCUCAAGGCCUACACCUGAGGCCCCACAAAGGCACCUGUUAUAACUAACACAGUUUCUUGGAUACAUACAUAUAUACAACUAAAGCACGACAACCAUUUUACAUCUGCCAUGCUAAAGAUGGCAGUGGCACGCAUGAGCACCUAAAUGUUAACCUUGAUUAUGAGCCUCAAGGCCUACACCUAAGGCCCUACAAAGACACCUCUCAAAGUUAACGAUGUCCUUCUCUUUCAGCCUUGCCCGAAGAGUCUUACCCGACGAGACUUGCCCGACAACGCCCGACAGCGAAGCAGAAGCCCGACAGCAGCCCUCAACCGGCGCCAACCUCUAGGGGAGCUGUGUGCUCGUCGGCCAGGAAACAUCCCCGACGAAGAUUCCUGACACGAACAUAGUUUUGGCACGCCCGGUGGGAUCCUUGAUCAGAAGAUAUAUGUCAAAAUGCCAGAAGGUUUACAAACUACGUUACUACAAAUGUUGCAAAGGUUGGAAAGAGACUUAAAACCAGCCCGCCUGAAGAGCUGGUGGUAGACAAACCUGCAGUUCCCUUUUCAGAAGUCCCUGUAAAUAUGAUCAAUAUGACAUGGGCUGAGAAAGGAAAAGAAAGUAUUACAAAGGAACCAGAAGAGAAGAGAUUGGCUGAAAAACCUACAUGAUGGGUCAUUAAAACACCCGAAUAUCCAAAAGCAGCCAUAAUCAACGGGAUGGUCAUGUGCAGUAAGUGCCACUGCGAGUGUGAGCUUGAAAUUCCCCCGGCUGGAGUACUCAUUGACCGUGAACUAAUCAGGAGAAAGGAAGAAGACGUCAGAAGAGAAGCCCGCGAGAAGAUUAAGCAGGCAACAAAAAAGGACACUUCCCGGAGCGUUUUUCAACGACUAGGAGGUGAUUCCCAACCCAAAGCUUUGUCAGAGGUAUUUCGAAACCAUGAGGUUUCUGAUGAAGCGGAAGACAUGGAAGCCAGAAUACGAAGGGGUGCAGACCAUCCUCAAUGUGGCCAGAUGGGGAGGGAAAUCAAGAAGAUUGAUAGCAUGAUCAAUCCUAGUAGAAAAGAGAAUCCUGCCCACCUCGGGCGAAAAUGGUAUGUAGUCGGGAAGAACGGACAGCCUACCAAACCAAUGGGAGCCUCUAUGGUCAGGAGGGUUCAAAGGCAGCACAAAGCCUAUAUGAAUUCCUUGAAGACCCCCACAACAUCUGAAGCCUCCAAAAAUCAAAAGCUGGAGAAAACAGCAUCUGGAGGAAGUAGUCAGCUCCGUUGGAGAAGUAAGAAAGAGGUGGAAAAAGCCGACAGCAAGACGGAAGGCGAGGGGAAUCACGUGCCGCAGAGCCAACACCCUGGGAAAUACAGGAUCUUGAGGAGAGCUCAAGAAGAUCUAAUCAUGAUGCCAACCCCUGGGUGGAAGCCAGGUCUUACCCGCACUGAAACUAUUUCAUCUGAAAGGAGACCACAUUCUCUGCCCUUGGUGGAUCCUUUUGGUGAAGUUCCAAAACAAACACUGUAUGCGGGCAUGAAUCAACAACAACAGGAGGGGGCACCAAAACCAUUACUUCCAGCUGAUGCGAUGGCCUGGUUCGAUGAAUUUAUGGACCAGAUUGGGGACAAUAAAGAAGAUCCGCCCGAGCCUAGUAAUUUCCAUAUUAACAUGAGAUAUGUGUUGUUCGCCACAUUUGGUGCCAGACCUGAUCAACCCGCUACUAUGGAGGGUGAUUACUUGACAACUGAGCCAAUGAUGGCACAUGUCAAUGUAGAGGUAGUUGAAGAAGAAAGCUCGGGCAAGGCUGAAUCCUCAGAAGCAUCCAAAGGCGGUCCUCUAAGGAUUUACACAGACGAGAUGGUGUUUAGCCGCCCGAAUAGCUCGUUGGCCAAUCAUCUGAAACCUAUAUACGUUACAGCCCACUUAGAAUGUGUGCCCUUCAAAAGAAUUCUAAUUGAUGGAGGAGCAACUGUUAAUGUGUUACCAGCCAAGCAGAUGAAGAAAAUGGGAAGAGGUACGGAUGAUCUUAUUCCCACAGACCUCACAGUCUCUAGCUUCUCAGGCGUUAUCACUAAGACUCAUGGAAUAUUGCCUCUAGAAGUGGAUCUGGGAUCUAAAAAGAUAAUGCUGGCAUUCUUUGUGGUGGACUGCACCUCCAUUUAUGGGGCCUUACUCGGAAGAUAUUGGAUCCACCAAGGUUUGGCUAUACCCUCCACUAUUCAUCAACAAGUGGCUGUCUAUCAUCAAGCGGGCGUAGAAUGACCAGGCUUUUGGGAGAUGGUAGAGGCCGAAUCACGGCCAUUUCUCCCCACAACCAAUGUUGCAGAAGCAAGUUUCUACAACCCCAAUGUAGGAAUCUUGAAGUGUUCAGGAGCUGACGAGAACAGCCGCCUUACCAAGGUGACGGCCCAAAAGCUUUUAGAACAAGGAAUGCUCCUUACUAGAGAGGAGUGAGAUAGACCUUGUAUCCUCCCAAAUCCCCUACACCAUCAAUGAGUGGACAAAAGAAGAGAGAUCAGGUAAUGGCAGUUAGAUCCCUGAUUAAAAGACUGCUGGUAUAUGGGAAAGGAAGAAGACAAGAAAGGGAGCUCUUGGACAGAGAAGAGCGUGAAUGGCAGGAGGAAACUUCAACCAGCCAGCAUGAAAGCAAGGAGGAAUCUUGCAGUGAAGAAUUGGAUGGGGCCAUUCAAAUGGCCGAGUGCAUAUAUGAUCUAGAUAGGCCAGACGACUUGCCCGAGAGCCCGGAGCUGGUCGAAUUUUUGUGUACAGAACCAGAUAAGCCACCACCAGAAGUCCAGGAUCCUCUGGAAGUUAUUAAUUUAGGAACAGAGGAGGACCCGAGACCAAUACAGAUCAGUGGUUUAUUGGGGGUUGAUGAUCGGGCAAGGAUUGUUUAUCUUUUGCAAGAAUUCAAAGACUGCUUUGCUUGGCAUUAUACCGAGAUGCCAGGGUUAGAUCCAACUUUGGUAGAACAUAGAAUGCCCAUCAAAGAGGGAUAUAAACCUGUCAAGCAAGCACCACGGAGGAUGUCAAAGGAGAUAGAAGAAAAGGUCAAAGAAGAGAUUGAGAGGCUAGUGAAAGCUGGCUUUAUCAGACCAGCCAAAUAUGUGGAGUGGUUGGCCAACAUCGUACCCGUUUUAAAAGCUGUAACAAAAGCGGUACGAUGUUGUGUGGAUUACAGAAACAUUAAUGGCGCUACACCAAAGGAUGAGUAUCCCAUGCCCAUGGCCGACUUAUCCAUAGAUGCAGUGGCAAAACAUAAAGUCCUAUCUUUUAUGGACGGGAAUGCCAGUUACAAUCAGAUAAAGAUGGCUCCAGAAGAUAUACAUAAAACAGCUUUUAGGUUUCCCGGUCAUGUGGGGGCAUAUGAAUAUCUGGUCAUGCCAUUCGGGCUCAAGAACGUUGGUGCAACUUACCAGAGGGCAAUGAAUGCCAUCUUUCAUGAUCUAAUUGGCCAGAGCAUGGAGGUAUACAUUGAUGACAUAGUGGUAAAGUCCAAAACAGAAGAGCAGCAUCUGGAGGAUCUCAGACAGACAUUAGCAAGGACGAGGAUCAACAAAUUGAAGAUGAAUCCAAAGAAGUGUGCGUUUGGAGUAAGAGCAGGCAACUUCUUGGGAUUCCUGGUGCAUCAAAGAGGUGUAGAAAUGGAUAAGAACAAAUCUCGGGCAAUAAUGGAGUCACCUUCACCUACCAACAAGGUGCAACUCCAGAGGUUACUGGGCAAAAUUAACUUUUUGAGGAGAUUCAUUGCUAAUUUAGCAGGCAAGAUCCAGCCGCUGACUCCUUUACUAAGGUUGAAAGAUAAAGAGAAGUUUGAAUGGGGGCCACCGCACCAACAGGCCUUUGACAACAUCAAGGCCUAUUUAACUUCUCCACCAGUGUUGGUGCCACCUCAAAGGGGAAAACCCUUGAAGCUGUAUAUCUCUGCCUCUGAAAAAUCAAUCGGAAGCUUGCUAGCCCAAAAUAAUAAGGGCGGGAAGGAGCAGGCAGUGUACUACCUCAGUAGAAUUCUGACCGAGGUAGAAACAAGGUAUUCCCCGAUAGAGAGAUUAUGCUUGGCUUUAUAUUUCACUACCAGUAAAUUAAGGCAUUACAUGUUACCUUGUCAAGUGCACAUCAUCGCCAAGACAGAUGUGAUAAAGUACAUGUUGUCAAAGCCAAUGCUCACAGGAAGGAUUGGGAAAUGGAUUCUAGCUUUAUCGGAAUUCAGUUUUCAGUACGUACCCCAAAGGGCAGUCAAAGGUCAAGCAAUUGCCGACUUCAUGACCGAGCAUCAAGAAUCUUUAAGUGAGGUGAUCAAUAUCCCUAGAAGCCUAGAGGUUACUAGCAUUUGGAUCCCGCCGAGAAAAGAUAUUUCGGGCAAAGAAGACUGGGUCCAGUAAGAGAUAAGAAGAGUGGCUGGUCUCUGGAUCACUCAUUGGAAGUUGUAUUUCGAUGGAUCCCACACUCAGAAGGCUUCAGGAGCAGGAAUUGUAAUUGUAAACCCUCAGGGAGUUUAUCAUUAUUAUUCAUUUCUCUUGGAUUACCAGGGGAAUACUAACAAUCGGGCAGAGUAUGAGGCCUUAAUUAUUGGUCUGGAAAUCUUGAUGGAUCUGGGGGCAGAAGAGGUAGAGGUCUUUGGAGAUUCAGAGUUGGUAAUAAACCAGUUAAAUAGGGAGUUCAAGUGCAGACAUAUUACCAUGGCGGGGUAUUACUUGGCAGCUACGCAAUUAUUGAAUUUCUGGGAUUCUGAGAUAUUGGUCAAUCAUGUUCCCAGGGAAUCCAAUUUAGCGGCCAACGAGAUGGCACAACUAGCCGCAAGAGUGCCAAUACAGGAGAGGAAAUAUGGGGUAGAUGUUGAGAUCCAAAGAAGAAACCUCCCUUCCAUCUUAGAAAGGGGAUUCAGUCUAGAUAUAAUGGUGGUAGAGGCCGAGAUAGAAGAUUGGAGGUCACCUAUUAUUCACCAUUUGAAGGAUCCUUCCUCGCCUACAAGCAAGAAGGAUAGACAGCAAGCAACCAAGUAUGUCUUAUAGGCGAAGAACUUGCUAAGGAAAACUCUAGAUGGGUUACUGUUGAAAUGCUUGGGCCAAGAAGAAUCCAUGAGGGUAAUGGCCGAAGUACAUGAAGGAGUUUGUGGAGCACAUCAGGCUGGAACGAAGAUGAUAUGGUUGCGUAGGAGGUAUGGUUAUUUCUGGCCCGACAUGGAAAAAGAUUGUAAGUCUUAUGCCCGAGGAUGUGAAAAAUGUCAGAGGCACGGACCUCUCCAGCAUGUGCCCUCAGUACCUUUAAAUCCAGUGGUCAAGCCUUGGCCAUUCAGAGGAUUGGCAAUGGACUUCAUCGGGAAAAUCUAUCCAGCUUCUAGCAGAGGGCAUACCUUCAUAAUUGUGGCAACGGAUUACUUUACCAAAUGGGUGGAAGCAUCAGCAGUAAAAUCCAUAAAUUCAGCCACAGUCAAGAAUUUUAUCGAGACCAAGAUCCUGCACAGAUAUGGGGUGCCCGAAACUAUUGUGACAGAUCGUGGACCAUCUUUUAUUUCAAAAGAAGUUGAGGAGUUUGCAAGUAAGUACAAAAUAAAGAUGAUCCAGUCCAGUCCAUACUACCCGUAAUCAAAUGGCCAGGCAGAAGCCAGCAACAAGAUCCUGGUCAACAUUAUCAAGAGAAUGGUGAUUGAUAGUCCAUAAAGAUGGCAUGAAAAUCUGGGGAACACUUUGUGGGCAUACAGAACUUCUAAGAGAGCAGGAACAGACACAACUCCUUAUGCUUUAACUUUCGGGCAAGAUGCAGUGCUCCCCGUGGAAAUCAAUGUGGGUUCUUUAAGAAUUCAAAAUCAAUUUGGAUUGCAUAGCGAAGAGUAUGUCGAAGCCAUGUGUCAAGGAGUUGAAGACUUGGAUGCCGCCCGAAUUGAAGCUUUGAACCAGAUUCAAGAAGGGAAACGAGUCUUUGCCCGAGCUUACAACAAGAAGGUGAAGAUGAAAUCUUUCAAGGAAGGGGAUUUAGUAUGGAAGACAAUCCUCCCUCUAGGAGCUCAGCUCAGGGGCUUUGGAAAAUGGAGCCCGACAUGGGAAGGUCCUUUCAUUAUUAGUCGUGUUCUAGAUAGAGGGGGAUACUACUUGGCGGACCUUGAAGGAAACAAACAUAAACAUCCCAUUAACGUUAAAUUCUUAAAGAAAUAUUGUCCUACGUUGUGGGAUGUCAGAGAUUGUUAUAUCGAAGAGGAUGCGAAGUAAAGCGAGCUUCGGGAUAUCAUUAUGCAAUGCGUAUUUAUCAAACAUUCAAGAUGGAAAGACAAGAGUUGCUGAGAUAAUGUAUAUUUCAUUUCGACAAAUUGAUGAAAUUUACAAAAGAUUCAAGGCCAACAUAUUACAAUCAAUUCUCUUCCUGGAUGCAAUGGUAUCUUCAGCUGAUUUUCUGAUGUCUUCAUGGAUGGAACCCGAUCAGGUGAUCGGGUUGUGCGACCAACAUGGGCCUGGUAGAGGAUCCUCAGACAAGACCAUCAACAUAUGUAAUGGUCAAGCCCGAUUUAUCACCGCAGCGAGCAGGGAGACAAACCGUCAAGAGGAAACCGCCUGACCAAGGAUGUUGGAGAUAGCGGGGCGUUCGACCAAGGGUGUUGGAGAUAGCAGUUCUUUGAUGAAAGCUUUUUUUCUCACGGAAAUGAAGUUUUAGGAAACCCCAUUCAAAGCUUGAGGAACCCAUUUCUCAAAUUCUGAAAUGCUCGAGGAAGAUGGAAGAAAAAAAUAAAGAGGAUUUGAUGGCUUGAUAGAAGAGUUUCCGAGCCAGAAUUUAUAGAAAACCAGAGGGUAGUUCAGAGGUCGUGAGAAGUUCAAGGGGCACGGGGUUAUCUUCAUCCUGUCGAGGGAACACGAAGUUCCAAAAGAUUGAGAUACACGCAUGCGGGUAUUCAAUCAAUGUUGGCGCUUGGGAUUCCAACCUUAACAUUAAUUGAAGGGGGCACUGUUUGGAUCAAAACUUGAACUUUGGGCUCAAGAAAGGAGUUGGCCUAAAAGGAGGUCCGAAAGAGAAGAUAGCCGAAGCCCAGUCGAAGCCCAGAAAGCAGGGAAAGGCCUUUUCUGACUUGGUGCAGCUCAUGAAGACCACUUGCUUACCUACCCAAAAGCCAAGUGGUGUAGACUGAUCAGCUACACAGCCCAUAAAGUACUUUAUGGUGGCAUUACAUGUAAUAUAGCUAAUGAGUCAUCACCCUCAAACCGCAUUCGGGCAAAGUUGCUGCUACCAAAGGCCAAGUCAAGUUGUCUAUAUAAGAAGAAAGAAAAUUCAGGAUUAAGGACACUCAAAGAAACAAACAAAUGCAAGCACAAACUCUGCUCAAAGCCAGAUUUGCCUUCAAAACAAAGCUGUAGUCAGCCUUCAUCCCUUUCGGGAUAAACCUUCAUCCCUUUGUAAUAGCUCUGCUACCUUGUUAAACCUUGCUGUAGUAUCGAUUCAUCUUUUGUAAUCUCUCUCUCUACCCCUCUAAAGCUUUUAGACCUUUGACAAAACUACAAAGAUAGAAACCUGCAAGACGAGCAACCUUACCCGACAAGGUUUAACCUUGCCCGACCUUCUUUGCUUUAGUCUUGUCUUUUCAAUAUGUUGUAUACUUCAAGUUAUAUGCAAGUUAUUUCUAGCAACAUGACUAUUAAAAAGCUUUCUCAGCACUUGAAUUCGAUUUGAAUAUAUUGUCAGUGUUCAAACCAGAUCCAAGUCCUAAGCCCUCGGGCAUGUAAAUCUGAUCAGUUAAAAGUCUUUGGCCUCAAGGCAUAAAAAAGAACUUUAUGUGAACUUAACCCAUCCACGACAGUCCUUGAUAAACGAGAAGUCCGAAGUUACUUGGGGCGCAAGUAAUCAACCUACCUUCUAGUUUUCUUUCUAUUAUGUCAUGAUUAUCAUAGAACGCUUGAGCAUGGAAUGAAUUCUAAUGGAAAGCCUCAAGGCCUACACCUAAGGCCCCACAAAGGCAUCUAUUUGGAUUCAUUCCGUUCGGCGAUCUAAAGAGUCUAAGUAUAAGAAUGAACUCUGAUGGGAAGCCUCAAGGCCUACACCUAAGGCCCCACAAAGGCACCUAUUUGGGUUCAUUCUACUUCUUGGAUUCGGGUAAUCAGAAGUAUAAUAGUUAGAAAACUCCUACAAACACGAGAACAAAUAUGAUGCGUUCAAGCACUGGUUUAGUUAUUUAUAGGAAGCCUCAAGGCCUACACCUAAGGCCUCACAAAGGCACCUGUUAUAACUAACACGGUUUCUUGGAUACAUACAUAUAUACAACUAAAGCACGACAACCAUUUUACAUCUGCCAUGCUAAAGAUGGUAGUGGCACGCCUGAGCACCUAAAUGUUAACCUUGAUUGUGAGCCUCAAGGCCUACACCUAAGGCCCCACAAAGGCACCUCUCAAAGUUAACGUUGUCCUUCUCUUUCAGCCUUACCCGAAGAGUCUUGCCUAAAGAGUCUUACCCGACGAGACUUGCUCGACAACGCCCGACAGCGAAGCAAAAGCCCGACAGCAGCCCUCAACCGGCGCCAACCUCUAGGGGAGAUGUGUGCUCGUCGACCAUGAAACAUCCCCGACGGAGAUUCCUGACACGAACAGGGUGUGUUUCUGUCUCUCUCCCAUCCCUCUCAAUCUCUCAAUCACCGACACCAACCCUUGAUUUGAGGAGAAAAAAUCAACCCUAACCCCUUUUUUGGCAGCCUCACUCCUCCCUGCCAUCCCACGCCCCUCUCCCUCUCUGCCUUUGCAGUCCAUGCCUUUCGAAAAUGGCAGAUAUGUAAAUAAUGCAAAAUCAAGGGCCCAUCUCACAACAAAACUGGCAAAACUGUAAAUAUCUUGAAAGCUGUUCAGAGACAAUAUUACCCUCCUAAUUUUAUAUAAUUACCCUCCAACUCAGCCACAGAUAUGAUGGCAGUGGCGUAAAUAAAGCAAAAUCAAAGGGCAAAACUUUGACUGUAGCUAAGCUAUAGUCAAAUCCUUCCUCAAUUUUAGAAUAGAUAAUAUGGGCCUAGCCCAUCGGAAUUAGGGUUUCUAGGUUUUGCUUUCUAUAAAUAUAGCUUAUAGAUUAGCAUGAAGAACAAGUUAUUCACUAUGUAAUCUCUUAGGGUUUUGUAGCCGUUUCGGCAUUCUCUUUUGUUUAACAAUAUUCCUAUUAUUUUGUUAGUCUCGUUCGUUGCGCACUCUGAUAUUCAACUUGGUAUCAGAGCAUGUUCGAUCUUUGGGGUUAAUCUACUCUUGUCAUGUUUGUCUAUUUCGUUGUUAUUCAUAUGAAAAAAAGAAAAAAAAAUUGAAUUAGAUGAUCGUGAGGAAAACAUGAAGUUCGUAUACUGCAGUGCAUUGAAACCAGAAACCCGCCUUCAACCUGCUACUUGUCUGCUGAUGAAGCCCUGAUCCAAUAACCACAAACUUGGAUCGAGUUCAUCUUCGCUGCACCUACCCCAUCUGAAUCUGCCAUGAACCUGCAUCACAACGUCUUGAAGUCGUCAUGUUGCGAACUGCAGCCCAGAUCCAUCCCGCCACCAAACACCAGUCUGUCUGCUUGCCUCACCCUGCAACCAGCCCAGAAAAUUAGCCGCCGUAGCCCCAUAAUGAUGAAACCCGCACCAGUUUGAUGUUCAGCAUCGCACUUGCCAUCUCCAUUGCAUGUAACCUGAUCAGUUCCCUGCACCACGACCUGUUUGCCAUUGUUGCUUUUGUUGUGUUGAUUUUUUGUGAGAAAGAAAAAAGAAAAAGGAAAUACAAUGAAAAGGAAAAAAAAAUUUGUUUUGAGGUUUUGGCCCACACGGGCAGAGAGGAAAAAUGGGUUGUAGGCUGUUUGCCACCCUUUUUUUGGUUUGAUGUCUUUGAGGCCCACACGAGUUGUUGGCUUGUUUGAAAUUGUUUUGUAACCGUCAUUCGAGUGCUUGGAAUUGUGAUCACUCGAGUGAUAGUAUUUGUGUUUGUUUGUUUGUUGCUUCAAUUGAGAUAUGGAAAUCUUGUCCAUUUAAUGACGGGUUCUUUCCAUACUCUCAACACUAGCUAGUUUGCCAACCAGAAUCAAGAAUCAAGUCAGGUCAAGAAUCAAGAACCAGUUUGCCAGUCAAGUCAAGUCAAGUUUGCAUGUCUGCCAGUCCAUAUCUGCUUGUUUGCAAACCCAUGUCGUAUACCGCCAUGAGUUUGACGGGGAGUGUUGGAAAAAUUAGUAUAUUAUAAUUAUUUGAGUUUGCCUGUUAGUUAGUAUAUGAGUCUAGCCCAUCCGAAUUAGGGUUUCUAGGUUUCGCUCUCUAUAAAUAUAGCUUAUAGAUUAGCAUGAAGAACAAGUUAUUCACAAUGUAAUUUCUUAUGGUUUUGUAGCCAUUUCGGCAUUCUCUUUUGUUUAAUAAUAUUCUUAUUAUUUCGUUGCGCACUCUAAUAUUCAAGUAGUUUAGUAUUCAAGCUAGCAUUCCAUAAUCUAGCUCAAUUUCAUGCUAGUUUAAAUACUAAACUGAACAUAUUCAAACGAGGUCAUCGACUGCAAAAGGUAGUGGAAAAGAUAAUUCAAACCUUAUGCUAAAAUGUUACCUGAACAAGUAGAUGAUGAAUAAUCAAGAGACAAAGAGAGGCGCGUAAGAGGAUCUUCGUCUAUUGGGUCGGAUAUCUGAUCUCCUUUAUCACUGACUGCCGGACCUUGUGGCUUCCAAUGAUGAAUAGAUAAAGAAAGACACGUAAGAAGUUCUUCGUCCAUGGGGUCGGAUAUUUGAUCUCCUCUGUCACUGACUGCUGGACCCUAUGUCUUCCAACGAUCAAGAGACCGAGAAAGACGCGUAAGAAGAUCUUUGUCCAUUGGGUUAGAUAUCUGAUCUCCUCUAUCCCUGACUGUCGGACCCUGUGCCUGGAAGAGUAUUGGGAGAUUCUCAGGACGAGUUUGAGGCUGAAUAUGACGGCCUGCAGGAAAAAUACCAGGAGGCAAGGAAAAACGUGAAUGCGCAAGGCUGUGAGGAUCAUGAUCAUGCACUGUUAUAGUACUACCCAUGUAAUUACUGAGAUCAUAAUCAUUAGAUGGCUCAUAAUUAUCAGCUCACUCCAAAUCAUGCGUAUUUUCCUUUAUAGGUCUGUUCCGCACUAGAUUAGCCAUUGUUCUCAUUGAUGGCAAAAUGUUUGCAAGUGGAGAAAAUUUUGGAGAUUUUCUAUUGAAAAAAUCCAUCAUUUCUUAGUCUUGCAGAGGAUAUUUUUUAUCUUAACAUGAACAGCCAUACAAUCUAUUCAACUCUCAUGGUCUCGCUAUCUCUAUAUGGUAAUGGCCAAGAGACUCAGGUGACCGGCUGAAUGUUACCUGAACAAGUAGAUGAUGAAUAAUCAAGAGACAAAGAGAGGCGCAUAACAGAAUCUUCCUCCAUUAGGUCGUGGUCUCCUCUGUCAUUGAUUGCUGAACCCUACGGCUGGAAGAAUACUAAGAGAUUCUCAGAACGAGUUUGAGGCUGAAUAUGAUGGCUUGCAGGAAAAGUAUUAAAAGACAGAAAAGUGCGAAUGCGCAAGGCUGAGAGGACCAUGAUCAUGCACUGCUAUAGUACUACCCAUGUAAUUACUGAGAUCAUAAUCAUUAGAUGGCUCAUAAUUAUCAGAUGACUCCUCAUAGAACCGAGCUGGAUGUUGGUAAAAAAUAUAACUAGCUUGGUCCAAAUCAUGCGUAUUUUCCUUCAUAGGUUUGUUCCACACUAGAUUAACCAUUGUUCUCAUUGAUGGCCUAUAAUAAUCAGAUUUUCUUGAAAGUUGGAGUACUAUAACUUCAACUUUAUCCCCACUUUGCAAUUUGAGCUUAUCGUUCGAUAGUUGUCCUUGCCAAAGUUUAGGCGUAUCCCAAUAUCCGCUGCCUAAGUAAGCCUGCAACUUUGUACGCUUGGUAUUAUUUAGAACAGUAAUGCCAAAUUUACUUGCAAAUGCAUAUUUGUGAAAGAAGCAUAGAGUCAACCCUUCAAAAGUACGACCAUCAUUCGGGGGAAUAUCAAAACUAACUGUAUUGCCAUGGUUAACAAACUCAAACCAAUCAGGAACAAAAUUCCCAUAGAGUAAAACGCCACCAAAUCCGCACGAAGUCCAUCCCUACAUAUACAAUGCAAGUGUCAUAUAUAUAUAUAUACACACACAUGUAAACGUGCGUUUGCGUUUGCAUGUGCACGAUAGGAAGGCAAUGAGAGAGAGUGUGUGUGAGGUACCUGUAGGAUGUUCUUCCCAAAAUCAGCUGUGAGAUUGGUGCAGUUACUCAUAUCAAUCAAUGUCAUGAAGUUUAAUGACUUAUCCAAGCCUGGAACCUCUGUGAGUUUGGGCGAAUCACUUACCUUCAACUCUGUUAUAUUUGACAUUUCCGAAAAAUUGGGCAUUGUUUCCAAUGCAGGGCAAUUAGCGGCAUACAGAAAUUUCAAAUUUGUUGGUAAAGUAGGGAUUGUACGAAGGUAAAGGCAGCCAUUUAACCCCAAUGUUUCAAGCUUUGUAAGACCACUUAGGCUGGGUAGGGUAUGAAAAUAAUUCCAUCCAAGAUCCAAAAGAGUGAGAUUCUUCAAUCUAACUGUAGAAGAUGGUAUUUGUCUUAUGGCUGUGAAAUCUGCUUCAAGUAUUCUCAAUGAUUUCAUCUCCCCUAAAUCCUCAUGCACUUCACUGAAUUCGAAACAGCCAGUAAGAAGAAGAGUCUCAACAGAUUUCAACUUAUAGAAAUCCCUUGGAAGAGAACUAAGCUUUUCACAUUCUUUAAGGUUCACCAAAGAAAGUUUUUGAAGUUGACCAAUGGAGGGGUGAAUCUCGGACAAACUCCCACAAUUUCCAGUAUCAACUCUUCAAGAUUUGGGACUUGUGAAAAGUCCGGUGAUUUAAUUAGAGAGUAUGAACGACUGAGAUUCAUGAUUUUCAACCUCUCUAGCAACUGUUACAGAAAACCAAAGGAAAAUUGAAAUUAAUAUCCAAAAGGAAGAUGUCAUAAAAAAAAAAGGAAAUCCAAAAACAAAUAGAAACAGAACAUCAUCAUGUGUAAUUGAUGUACCUUAUAACCCUCCCAAACUUGUACCAGUUUGCUACACUGCAUUUCUAAAACAACUAGUCUUUGUUGAUCAAAAAAGUCAUCUGGUAUGGACUUUAAAGGGCAUCCUACCCAACACAACCAUAUUAACUCUUUGGGAAGGUGUUUGUAUUCUCCAUUGAGCUGAACGUCUUUGAGAUGAAGGAAUCUCAGUUUCUUCAUAUUGGCAAAUGCUUCUGUACUGAAGCUAGGCAGGCUAGAGCUUCGAGGCCAAGGAUCAGGGAAAUUUAGAGCAAGUCCUUCAACUUCUUCAGUUCCCUGUUAACAAAAGGUUAUAUUCAUGUGUAGGAAAUGGAUUAUUUGCAUCUAUUUACAUGUGUUAUUUUUACUAAUUCAUAAAACACUCAUUGUCAAUUAAAAUCUUAUGACAUCUUCCUAUGAAAUUAAAACAGAACAUGAAUAAGAAAUAUGAGAUUAUUGUCAAUUAAUUUCAUAUUAAUGUCAUAAAAAAUUACAUUUCUACCUCAUAUUUCUUAUUCAUGAAUAAGAAAUAUGGCGUAGAAAUGUAAUUUUACACAACCAAAUUUUACUGUUUUUUUUAAGCCUCACCUACAUGUAAUCAUAACAUAUCUCUAAUUAAAAAAUUAAAAAUAAAAAAAACUUCUCACUCCGACAUUCUAUCACUCUCUUCCUCUCUCCUUCUAUUUGAAAAACAAAAAUUAAAAAAAAUUCUCACACACUUUGUGUGUGCCCAUAUGCUAGUUAUUCAUUAGGCAAAAUCACCUACGGUGAUUAUAUUUACACAUAAAUGUUGGUUAGUGUAUAAUAGACAUGCGCGGGUUAUAUAUAUGUUUUCAAGUAGGAUGCAUUAUGCAAAAUUUUAUUGGGAAUGUACUUACAGAUUUAUUUCUCAAGACUUCGGCGGCCUCUUGACAGUUCCACAACCUACUCCAUUUUCCAGGAUGACCAAGAGAUUUUUCAGAAAUGAUUACUCUAGCCAUUUCUCGAAGCAAAUCAUGCAUAUUCAACUUGUUGCCUUCAACAGUUACAAGACAUCUUUCACGGAGGAUAGUGAUUCCUAUUGAUGCAAAAAAUCCACAUCCAUCUAAUACUUUUGUGACAUAGUCCUUGUCCUUUCCAAUAAAGAAACAAGAUAUGUCAAGAAAUAUAGCCUUCUCUAAAGAAUCUAGCCCUUCAAAGCUUGUUCUGAGUUGAUUUACAAUGUUUCCAUUUGGACAUCUUCCCAAUUUCUCCAAUUGACUUUCCCACUCUACCAACGAUCUUCUAAUCAAAAGAGAUCCUAAAACUUCAAGAGCUAGUGGUAAACCUCCACAGUAAGAAACCACCUUUUUUGAAACUUCAAGAUAUCCUUGAUUAGGACAACUAUUUUUAAAGGCAUGCCAACUAAAUAGCUCAAGAGCUUCUUCUUCAUUCAUUUUCGUAGCUUGACAUGCUCUGUCCACAUUUAGUAGUAGACGUUCAUCUCUUGUCGUUAUGAUAAUUCUACUUCCAGGACCAAACCAAUCAUGACUUCCAACUAUUGCAUCCAGCUGUUCCACUUUAUCUAUGUUGUCCACGAUAACAAGUAUCUUUCUAUGUCGAAAUUGUUGUUUUAUCAAACCGAUACCUUCGUCAACACAGCUUAUUUUAUGCUUCUUUUUCAAGAUGUCCGAAAUAAGUUUUUUGCAAAUCAACCAGAUCAUGUUUACUUGUAGCAUCGUGAACGUCGGCAAGGAAACUUUUGAAUUCAAACUGAGGAUGAAUUUGGUUAUAAAUGGCUUUGGCAGCUGUUGUUUUACCUAAUCCACCCAUCCCCCAAAUUCCAAACAUGAGAACAACAUUUGAUCCACCACUUGAAAGAUAACUAAUAAUAUCUUGAACGCGUGAAUUGAUUCCAACUAUGUGCUUGGCCACAUGUAAUUCGUUAGCGCUGGUGAGCCUUUCACAAAUAUUCUCGUCAAUAAUUUUUUUAAUGAACUCUGCUUCGUCCCUGAAAAUUGAAUUCGUAAGCAUUAAUGGGGCUCAAUGAAGGCUCAGUAGGAGAUAUCAGUACAUAAACAAUUUUCUUUCCUUCUUCCCUUCAUAUAAUAUAUACAUAUAUAUAUAUUAUAUAUAUAUAAAAGUUAGGCGUAUGAGUUAAACUCCAAUUACGGUUUAGGUUACUUAUGAGAGAUUAAGGUGUAUUCAUUAAGCAUGUGAAUGAAUGUUUAGAUUAUGUAAAAUGUUAAUUAAGCAUGUCAAUUAAUUAAAAGAUUAAGUCAUUCACUAAAAUUUGCAGCUUCUGUGAAGGAUCAACGUGAGAGAUUAAGGUGUAUUAAUUAAGCAUGUUAAUUAGAGUAAUACAACUUAAAUCUUGAAAAGCAGCUGAAUGAUUACCCAUUGUUAGCGAUUUUAAGAUGGUGGCCAGACAAAUUUGCAGCUUUUGUGAGAGCCUCUCUCCACGGCUUUAGCCUUUCUUGUUUAGCUUCACGUUUCUUGUCAUCUUUUUCUUCACGGAUGUCAUUUUCGUGCUUCUGAAAUGCUUCGGCUAAAUCUCCGUCCUGCUUCCUGACAUGCGAAGGAUCAACGUGAUAGAAUAUUGGUAAAACAUGUCGCCCCAGUUUGUCUCUACACUCCAUGAUCUUCACCAGCUCGUCAAGACACCAACUCGAAUCCGCAUACAUCUUUGAGAAGAUAAUGACAGAGAUCCUCGACUCUUCGAUUGCACGAAACAGUUUCUCUUUUAUUUCUUCCCCUCUUGGUAGAUCGUCCUCAUCAAUAAAGACCUGGUACCCUCUGGCUUUUAAUGCCACGUGGAGGUGGCUCGUGAAGCCAUUGCGCGUGUCUUCACCCCUGAAGCUCAAGAAUACGCCGUACUUCCAGAGUUUGGACUUGGAGGAGGACGAAGAGGAGGCUUCGUGGGCUGUCAUGGCGGUAUCCACCGUUAUGGCUUAGCAGUGGUUCAGAUCACAGACUGAAAAAAUGGCUACAGCUGCGUUUGCGUUGCCGAAGGAUGAUAACAAAAGUCAAGAUCUUGCAGGGGAAGCCAACAAAAUAAACGGUUAAAAUUUAACUAAAAUAGUGUGUUUUGAUUCUUAUACUUUUAAGCCAAUAAGCCAAGAGGAAGAGGAGUGCAGAUAAGCCAAAUUACACGCGUGCAAAUUACAGGGGAAGCCGACAAAGGUGGAGGUUGAAAGUUUGAUUAAUGUCGUUCAUUGAAUAAUCAUGUGAUGGUGUUGGUUAAUGGAUAGUGACCCGCCUGGAUAUUUUUGUUGCUGGUUAGAAUUUUGUAUUUUGAGGAAUCUUCAUGAACAUAUUGGAAAUGUUGUCGAUUUUGAUAGAAUGUAGAUUUAAAUUGGAAUUUCAACAAAAGUAUAACUUGAAAUAGGUCGGCAAAUUGUCGUAUGAUUCGUUAAUCUAAUACGAAAUGUUAUGUAAAUAAUAGGUUUUGGAUUAACUUAUUAACAGUUCGGAUCUUUAACGGAUGAUCCGUUAAGAAUUAGUUAAGAUAUCGUUUUGCAUAUCUAAACAUUAGGGAUUGCAAUUUCGUGCAUAACCCAUUAUCCAACAUGAAACAUGAUUAGUUAAUGAAUCAAGGUGUUAUCAAUCACCUGUUGAGAACUUUUUAAGAUAACGGGUAUAACACGAACACGAUAAAUACGGCCAUUUUUCCAUGCCUAACUUAAAAGGUAUUAAAUAUUUACAUGAAAAAUAAGUUUUACUGAAUAAAUGUAGUUUUACCGAAUCAAGAUUUUGUGAGUUUCAGUCGAGAAGGGGUUUGGCGGAUUCACGGCGUCAGGGGUCGCAUGUCGGAGUGGGGAAAAGGUGGUGAUUAGCCAAGGAGGGGAUCGUUGGUGUCGUAACCGUCGCUCAAGGGGGAGAAAUUGCUCCGAGUGGUACACGACGUGUUAUUAUAUAAGUGGUGAUAAAUUUUAUCUCUUUUUAUUUUUCAUACAUUCUCUUACUUUGUGGUCGUCGAAUUAAAUGAAUUUAUAACAAUAAAAAGACAUAAGAGAGAUGAUACAAAUAAGAGAGAAGACAAAAAGGGAAAUUUUCAUAUAAAUUACCUUUCUCCUAUUAAUAUUUCAAAACAAAAAGUUUAGAGAAAAUAAAUCCAUGUAGUGGGGGUGGGUGGUUAAAUUGAUUAUUUUCCAAAAAUAUAUUUCAAUAACAAACAAUAAUAUCCAAAAUAAGUAAAAUUUAAAAUACAAUAAAACUAACCAGCGACGGAGCCACCUUGUUAUUAGGGUGGUCUUUUGACCCUUGUGACCUUUUAAUGAUUCUUAUUAAAAUAAUAGGCUUAAAUGUCAACAUGGUUCUGUGUUUUAUUAUAUCAGCCAAUUUAGUUCUUGUGUUUUCAAUUUGUCCAAAUUUGUCCCUAUGUUUAUAUCUGUUAGCCAAUUCAAGUCAAUCAGUUAAAAGACAGUUAAAUGACAUGUGCUUAGCACAUGAGAGGACAAAAACGUAAUUUUAUUGUACACCAACUAAACUUGGCCAUUUCGGUUUCUACAACAGUAAGUUGUUGUUUACAUUGGCUUUUGAGCUGGUUUUUUUUUGUCUUUUCCACGAAAGCUUCCUUCUUAAUUUCUUCUUGUAGUUCAAGGGAAUGCUCGUUCAUAUGUAAUCUAUCUUCAAUAUUUGACGGAUGCAGGUUGUAUGCCAUAUUUGAGCCUCCUCUACGCGAAGUUAACGGAAGAAGAAGAGAGGAAAAAAGCUCGAGAGAUUGUUAAUAUUCUGGAUGAGAGCGUUACUAGCUCGACCUUCCGCGUAACUCGCUUUGCAUUGUAUGAAAUCGACUACGAUGGCAAAUCUCUGAAAUCUUGGACGAAGAUUGAUGACAUCGGCCAUUAGACACAAGUUAAUUCAUAUAAUUGCAAGCAAGUUAGCAACUCUGAGGUCGAACAAAGUGGCAUACAUACAUGUUGCCCAAAUUUGAUACAUCAUGGAUGAGAUGUAAGUGGAAAUCUUUGAUGAAUGUAACCUAACGUAGCCUGCUAACGAAGAGUUUUUUUCAGUGUACUUUGAACAUUGUCACAGUGAUAAAAUAGUUCUAAUCAAUUGUAACACAUGUAUUUAAUUACAUCACGUGACAUGUUUUCGAGGUAUACACAAAGAGAAGAAGAUAUAAAUUAGGUUAUUCACACUUGGAAACAAGAUCGAUCGAUCCCCCUUAUGAAUUUCAAUGUGAUCGAUCUCCUAAUCAAUUGCCGGUUCUCAUAUCUAAUGAAUUGAAUAAAAUUUAUAGACAAAAUUUAACAAGAGUGUAUAAAACACCCAGAGGUUAAAGUCAUGCUAGUUGCUGCAGCAUCAUCACCACCACCGCUCCCACUCCAACCACCACCAUCAUCACUAUCAGCACCACUAGACCUUAAUUCUUCACGAGGAUACCGAAUCACCGGAGACUUUACUCCAUGAAAUUAUAAUUUUCAUAUGCACAUCAUGUUUCAUGAAUAAGCGGUUAAAAUUUAACUAUUAAAAUCACCCACUACUCAUCAGGGUUUUUUACCAUUGGUUUGGUUGUGUUGUUUUUGGUUUUUCUUUUGUGACACAGAAAGAAAUUGACAGUCAUCAUUUGCUUCACCAAACACUUGCAUAUGCAUUAUAAUUUCAUGCUCUCCAACUGCAAGCGUGUUUGUCUCUUUUUUUUCCCAUGCAAUCUAGAGAGGUUCUUGCUUUUUGUUGCAAAUGACACAUUAAUCAACGAAAUCAAAAGCAUCUUAUGCCAUUUCCCUUUCAUAAAAUCUAGCUCGGAAAGUAUAUAGAGCAGUACAAACCAGAGAACGUGGCCCGAAUGCCCAUUUUUUAAAAAGUAGUCAAAACCCGAAAGCAAUCAAGUCUGAUCAAUGCCAAAAUAGAAAUGACAAUCAGCUAGCAUAAGCUAUCCAACAACAGGCAUAUCCAAACAGAUACUAUUCAUGUUUCUCUAGAUGAUCAGUGCCAAAAUCCUCUUUCUCAAAAGCACUUCUAUGGUAAACGAAAGUCAUAGAGAUCAUACAAAAAAUCCAAAACACUAAAACACUAAAAUGGGCAAUGAGGAUUCAACACCAACAUCCAAUAACCAAAACUGGCACCAAAACACUAAACCCUAGAAUUGUAAACCAGCUUAAUUCAAAAGCAGCUUAAUCUGCAACAAUUUUUUUUUUUUUUUUUUUUUGAGAAGAGCUUAAUCUGCAACAAUUGAACAAAGAAACAGAAUUUACCGUGAUAUAAUGGAUCCCAGAACUGAUCUUAAUGAAACGGAAGCAGCCUUUGAAAAACAGUCUUCUGAUGCUGACGACUAAAUCUAUCUCCACUCUCAUACUUCCCCGACCAUCAUGUCUGGAGCUGCAAUGAAUCAAGGCAAGGUUGUACACAAAAACCCAAAAAUUCGCACACCAAUUUUCCUGAAACAAAAAAACGCAAUCAGAUUAAACAACCACACUGAAAACACCAAAAAACUAAAAUAAUAAGGCAACAGUCAAUGCAAAACGCAAAGACUUUAAUUUUACAGCGAUCGAUCUGCAAAUUUUCUUCCCAUUCAAAGAAAAGACAAAAAAAAAAAAAAAAAGCAGAGAAACCAACUGAAACAGUUCAAUCAGCCAGAAAAAUGGACGCUGAGAAAGAAGCAGUGCAAGCUGAACACGUAAAAAGAUCCAAUCUUUAACCAAACAAUCUAAACCCUAAACCCUAACAAAAUUACAAAGGAGAAGAGAGAAAUAAAAUUAAAAAAUUAAAUAUGUAUGCACCACACAUAGAUUGGAUAAACAUUUGACGAUGAAAUAUAGUACAACUGCAAUUAGGGUUUCAUCAAAUUUUAAGUAAUUAAUCCUUGAAAUUAACCUGAUGAUCUAAAUUAAACACAAGUUGAAAGGAAAUUAGUGAAAGGGAACAAACCUUGAUCCAUUUGCCUUGCACCAGAGACAUGGCUGGAGAACUAUCAGUCACUGUGGAAAGUCAGUUUUGGUGGGUUUCUCAAAUGCUUGCAGAUCUGUUCGUACACACAUCUUUAUAUAAAGCAGAGGAAGAAGAAGCAGCAACUAUAAAGCAGAGGAAGCAGCAGCAGCAGAACCAGAAGAAAUAGAGGCAGGGGAAGCCGAUAGAAACGGAGCAAAGGAAAUGAAGCAGAAGAAAAGGAGGGCAAUCCAAUGAUCCCAGCAGAGAUCAACCCCAAAGAUGUUGGACAAAAUUAUUAAAAAAUAAAUUUACUAAAUUACCCUUGAAUUAUUUUAUGCAUUCUUUCUUGCUGUUUUGAAUUUUUUUUUGGAUGAGGGGCAUUCUGGUCCUAUUCAUUUUGUUGAAGCUGUUACCCCAGAUGUUGGUCAAAAAACAUAACGAACUACGUCCAAAUCAUGCGUAUUUUCCUUCAUAGGUUUGUUCCACACUAGAUUAACCAUUGUUGUCAUUAAUGGCCUAGAGCUUGUUGAAAGAUGAACUUCAACUUUAUCCCCACUUUGCAAUUGGAGCUUAUCGUUCGAUAGUUGUCCUUGCCAAAACAUAUCCUCAUCCCAAAAUCCGUUGCCUAAGUAAGCCUGCAACUUAGUAUUCUUGGUAUUAUUUAUAACAGUAAUGCCAAAUUCAAAAAAAUCUCCAAGUGAAUAUUGGUGCAAGAAGCAUAGAGUCAGCCCUUCAAAAGUACAACCAUCAUUCGGGGGAAUAUCAAAACUGACUGUAUCGUGAUCAUGGUUAACAAACUUAAACCAAUCAGGAACAAAAUUCCCAUAGAGUGAAAUGCCACCAAAUCCGCACGAAGUCCAUCCCUACAUAUACAUUGCAAGUGUUAUAUACAUAUAUACAUGUAAACGUGUGUUUGUGUGUGCAUGUGCAUGAUAGGAAGGCAAUGAGAGAGAGAGAGUGAGAUACCUGUAGGAUGUUCUUCCUAAAAUCAGCUGUGAGAUUGGUGCAAUUACUCAUAUUAAUCAAUGUCAUGAAGUUUAAUGACUUAUCCAAGCCUGGAACCUCUGUGAGUUUGGGCGAAUCACUUACCACCAACUCUGUCAUAUUUGACAUUUCCGAAAAAUUGGGCAUUGUUUCCAAUGCAGGGCAAUUAGCGGCGUACAGAAAUUUCAAAUUUGUUGGUAAAUCAGGGAUUGCACGAAGGUUAGGGCAGCCAUUUAAGCUCAAUGUUUCAAGCUUUGUAAGACCGCUGAGGCUAGGUAGGGUAUGAAAAUCAUUCUCUUCAAGAUCCAAAACUUGUAAAGAAAUUAGACUCCCAAGAUCCUGAGGGAUUGCAUCACGUGCUAAUUUCAAACCAUAUAGGUUUAAAAGAGUGAGAUUCUUCAAUCUAACUGUGGAAGAUGGUAUUUGUCUUAUGGCUGUAUUCAUUGCUUCAAGUAUUCUCAAUGAUAUCAUCUCCCCUAAAUCCUCAUGCAUUUCUCUGAAUUUGGAACAGCCAGUAAGAACAAGAGUCUCAACAGAUUUCAACUUAUAGAAAUCCCUUGGAAGAGAUCUAAGCAUUAUGCAAUCUUUAAGGUUCACCAAAGAAAGUUUUUGAAGUUGACCAAUGGAGGGGUGAAUCUCGGACAAACUCUGACAACCUUCCAGUAUCAACUCUUCAAGAUCUGGGACUUGUGAAAAGUCCGGUGAUUUAAUUAGAAAGUGGGAAUGAGUGAGAUUCAGGAUUUUCAACUUCUCUAGCAACUGUUAUAGAAAACCAAAGGAAAAUUGAAAUUAAUAUCCAAAAGGAAGAUGUCAUAAAAAAAAGAAGGAAAUCCAAAAGCAAAUAGAAAUAGAACAUCAUCAUGUGUAAUUGAUCGUACCUUAUAACCCUCCCAAACUUGUACCAGCCCGCUCCACUGCAUAUCUAAAACAACUAGUCUUGGUUGAUCAAAAAAGUCAUCUGGUAUGGAAUUUAAAGAGAAUCCUUCCCAACACAACCAUAUUAACUCUUUGGGAAGAUGUUUGUAUUCUCCAUUGAGCUGAACGUAUUUGAGAUGAAGGAAUCUCAGUUUCUUCAUAUUGGCAAAUGCUUCUGUACUGAAACUAGGCAGGUUCGAAUCAUAAGGCAAAUAUAGAGCAAGUCCUUCAACUUCUUCAGUUCCCUGUUAACAAAAGGUUAUAUUCAUGUGUAAGAAACGGAUUAUUUGCAUAUAUUUACAUGUAUUAUUAUUCAUUAGGCAAAAUCACCUACGGUGAAUUAUAUUUACACAUAAAUGUUGUUUAGUGUACAAUAGACAUACGUGGGUUAUAUAUGUUUUCGAGCAGGAUGCAUUAUGCAAAAUUUUAUUUGGAAUGUACUUACAGAUUUAUUUCUCAAGACUUCGGCGGCCUGUUGAUUGUUCCACAACCUACUCCAUUUUCCAGGGUGACCAAGAGAUUUUUCAGAAAUGAUUACUUUGGCCAUUUCUCGAAGCAAAUCAUGCACAUUCAACUCAUUCCGCAUAGUCCCCUUAUUCCACUUAUUCUCCUCAAUAGUUACAAGGCAUCGUUCACGGAGGACAUUGAUUCCUAUUGUUCCAAAAAAUCCGCAUCGAUCUAACAUUUUUGCAACAUAGUCCUUGUCCUCUCCAAUAAAGAAACAAGAUAUGUCAAGAAAUAUAGCCUUCUGGUAAUAAUCUAGCCCUUCAUAACUUGUUCUGAGUUGAUUUCCAAUGUUUCCAUCUAGAUGUGUUCCUAAUUUCUCCAAUUGAUUUUUCCACUCUGCCAACGAUCUUUUAGUCAAAAAAGAUCCUAAAACUUUAAGCGCUAGUGGUAAACCUUUACAAUAAGAAACAACCUUUUUUGAAACUUCAAGAUAUGUUUGAUCAGGACAACUAUUUUUAAAGGCAUGCCAACUAAAUAGCUCAAGAGCUUCUUCUUCAUUCAUUUCCUUGGCCUGAAAUGUUUUGUUCACAUUUUGUAGUAGAUGUUCAUCUCGUGUCGUUAUGACAAUUCUACUUCCAGGACCAAACCAAUCAUAACCUCCAACUAUUGCAUCCAGUUGUUCCACUUUAUCUAUGUUGUCCACGAUGACAAGUAUCUUUCUAUGUCGAAAUUCUUGUUUUAUCAGAGCGAUACCUUUGUCAACACAUCUUAUUUUAUGCUCCUUUUUCAAGAUGUCAGAAAUAAGUAUUUUGCAAAUCAACCAGAUCAUGUUUACUUGUAGCAUCGCGAACGUCGGCAAGGAAACUUUUGAAUUCAAAUUGAGGAAGAAUUUGGUUAUAAAUGGCUUUGGCAGCUGUUGUUUUACCCAAUCCACCCAUCCCCCAAAUUCCAACCAUGAGAACAUCAUUUGAUCCACCACUUGAAAGAUAACUGAUAAUAUCUUGAACGCGAGAAAUGAUUCCAACUCUGUGCUUGGCCACAUGUAAUUCGUUAGUGCUGGUGAGCCAUUCACAAAUAUUCUCAUCAAUAAUUUUUUUAAUGAACUCUGCUUCGCUCUUGAAAAUUGAAUUCGUAAGCAUUAGUGGGACUCAAUGAAGGCUCGGUAGGAGAUAUCAGUACAUAAACAAUUUUCUUUCCUUCUUCCCUUCAGUUAAUAUAUAUAUUAACUACCUACUAGCUCGUAUGUGAUUUUAUGACGAACUUGAAUAAAAGGAUUAAUUGAUAAAUAAAAGUUAGGCGUAUGAAUUAAACUCCAAUUACGGUUUAGGUUACUUAUGAGAGAUUAAGGUGUAUUCAUUAAGCAUGUGAAUGAAUGUUUAGAUUAUGUAAAAUGCUAAUUAAGCAUGUCAAUUAAUUGAGAGAUUAAGUCAUUCACUAAAAUUUGUAGCUUCUGUAAAGCAUCAACGUGAGAGAUUAAGGUGUAUCAAUUAAGCAUGUUAAUUAGAGUAAUACAACCUAAAUCUUGAAAAGCAGCUGAAUGAUUACCCAUUGUUAAGAUGGUGGCCAGACAAUUCUGCAGCUUUUGUGAGAGCCUCUCUCCACUGCUUUACACGGAUGUCAUUUUCGUGCUUCCGAAAUGCUUCGGCUAAAUCUCCGUCCUGCUUCCUGACAUGCGAAGGAUCAACGUGAUAGAAUAUUGGUAAAACAUGUCGCCCCAGUUUGUCUCUACACUCCAUGAUCUUCACCAGCUCGUCAAGACACCAACUCGAAUUCGCAUACAUCUUUGAGAAGUUAAUGACAGAGAUCCUCGACUCCUCGAUUGCACGAAACAAUUUAUCUUUUAUUUCUUCCCCUCUUUGUAGAUCGUCCUCAUCAAUAAAGACCUGGUACCCUCUGUCUUUUAAUGCCGCGUGAAGGUGGCUCGUGAAGCAAUUGCGCGUGUCUUCACCCCUGAAGCUCAAGAAUACGUCGUAGUUCCAGAGUUUGGACUUGGAGGAGGACGAAGAGGAGGCUUCGUGGGCUGUCAUGGCGGCAUCCACCGUUAUGGCUUUAGCAGUGGUUCAGAAUCAGAUCACAGACUGAAAAAUAUAGCAAUAGCUGUGUUUGUGUUGGCGUGUUGGCUUGAAAAGCGACAGACUAUUAAAAUGAUGCCACGACCCAGAAGAAUAUUAAAACGAUGCCGUCCGACACGCAAUAGAAUGGUGAAAGGCCGUCCGACACGUCACAGGAUGGUGGAAAACAAACAAUAUUAUGAGAGAGAAAGAGCUAGCAAAUUUAUGAGGAAGAAACAAAACUCAGCAACAACAACAACAACAACAACAACAAAGCCUUUUCCCACUAAGUGGGGUCGGCUAUAUGAAUCCUAGAACGCCAUUGCGCUCGGUUUUGUGUCAUGUCCUCCGUUAGAUCCAAGUACUCUAAGUCUUUUCUUAGAGUCUCUUCCAAAGUUUUCCUAGGUCUUCCUCUACCCCUUCGGCCCUGAACCUCUGUCCCGUAGUCACAUCUUCGAACCGGAGCGUCAUUCGGCCUUCUUUGCACAUGUCCAAAUCACCGGAGCCGAUUUUCUCUCAUCUUUCCUACAAUUUCGGCUACUCCUACUUUACCUCGGAUAUCCUCAUUCCCAAUCUUAUCCUUUCUCGUGUGCCCACACAUCCCACGAAGCAUCCUCAUCUCUCCGCUACACCCAUUUUGUGUACGUGUUGAUGCUUCACCGCCCAACAUUCUGUGCCAUACAACAUCGCUGGCCUUAUUGCCGUCCUAUAAAAUUUUCCCUUGAGCUUCAGUGGCCUACGACGGUCACACACAACACGCCGGAUGCACUCUAACACUUCAUCCAUCCAGCUCGUAUUCUAUGGUUGAGAUCUCCAUCUAAUUCUCCGUUCUCUUGCAAGAUAGAUCCUAGGUAGCGAAAACGGUCGCUUUUUGUGAUCUUCGCUAGAUUGCUCCGGUCAUUAGUGUGGAUAAGUAUAUAAAUGGAUAGAGAUAGGAAAGCAAACACAAGAUGUACGUGGUUCACCCAGAUUUGGCUACGUCCACGGAAUAGAAGAGUUCUCAUUAAUUGUGAAGGGUUUACACAAGUACAUAGGUUCAAGCUCUCCUUUAGUGAGUACAAGUGAAUGAUUUAGUACAAAUGACAUUAGGAAAUAUUGUGGGAGAAUGAUCUCGUAAUCACGAAACUUCUAAGUAUCGGAGUGUGGUGUCGUCUUGACUUGCCUUAUCUGUCUCAUAGGUAGAUGUGGCAUCUUCUCUGGAAGUACUCUUCCUCCAUCCAGGGGUGGUAUCUUUAACUGGUGGAGAUGCACAAGGUAAUGUAUCAAUUUCACUUGAAGCUUACUUGUAGUUUCAGGCUUGGUCAAGCGCGAUACAAACCAUGUAGUAGGAGUCCCCCAAGUCGCCGAGCUAGGGGGUCUGCUGAAAGAGGUGACAGACAAGGUAAGCAAUCAGAGCUCCGACUGAUUGUUCACCUUCUCCCCAUCUUGCAGCAGCAUGAAGGAUAAAGAGAAGAAAAAUGAGAAGAGAUGAUAUGAGAUACUUUUGCUUUUGAAGAAGUAACUUUCCACAGGCUUAUUCUUGAACUGAGCUGGAGGGUUUUCUGGUUUCCUCCAGAGUAUAAGGCCGACUGAAGAAUUUGAGGGUCAAAACAAGUCCAUCAAAUCUAGAGUACGUUCCACCCUGCUGAUAUGGGAUACUUUUGCUUUUGACAGAGUAAUGGAUGUAUCGGCACGUGUGCUGUUACGCUUGUCUCCACAUGCUUCCUUGUAUCCUUCGCACUUGCCCUAUCUGUUCCUCAAGCAGAUGCGGAAUCUUCCCUGGAAACAUAAGAUGUUGAAGAUGAGUACUCGAGAGCAAUGCCAGGUAAGUAAUCAGGUAAGGGGUUCCAGGCAGUCAGUUCCUGGCUGGAAGCUUGAUUCCAAGUGCUGACUGAUUGCUCUCUUUCUCCUUGUCUUGCAGGUAAAAACAAGGCCAAAGGAAAAGACAGGGAAAAAGCAUGAUAUGGGAUACUCUUGCUUUUAACCCUGAUGAUAUGAGAUAUUCUUGCUCUAGUAUAGCUUGUUUGCAGAGGUAUUAUCGGGGGGAAAGAAAGCUGAAUAUUUCGAAAGGCUUCGUUGGGAGUGCCCUCUCAGAUAUGAUGAAGGGUUGAGCAUUUUUGCAGGUCUGCCUGUCCGUUGGGGAUGGAGGUCGACAUAUAUAGGAGUCUCCCUAACAACAAGUAGUAAUGCUAUUCCUUUACCCUGCUUGGUCAUAGCACGGUAGUGGGAGCUGCCAGUUUCACAUGUUUUAACUCUGUCAGAGCACUUUGAAAAAGUGGUCUGUGGUAUCUGGCUCUCGAGAUUCGGAGAACGAUGCCUCUUCGAUUUUUGAGAAAGCAAUCAUGCUGGGGGUCUGGCUCUCGAGAUUCGGAGAGCAGUGUCUCUUCGAUUUUUGAGGAAGUAAUCAUGUUGGGAGUCUGGCUCUCGAGAUUCGGAGGGCGGUGCCUCUUCGAUUUUGGAGCAAGCAAUCUUGUUGGGAGUGUUGUCUCGAAUGUGAGUAAAGGUUGGGCAUGUUUGCUAGUCUACCUUGCCACGAAGCACAAAGGUUGACACACAGGGACUUUCCAAUUAUCCAGCAAUGGUACUGUUCCUUUACCCUCUCUUCGAUUUUGAGAAAGUAGUCAUGUUGGGAGUCUGGCUCUCGAGAUUCGGAGGACGGUGCCUCUUCGAUUUUGGAGCAAGCAAUCUUGUUGGGAGUGUUUUCUCGAAUGUGAGUAAAGGUUGGGCAUGUUUGCUAGUCUACCUUGCCACGAAGCACAGAGGUUGACACACAGGGACUUUCCAAUUAUCCAGCAGUGGUACUGUUCCUUUACCCUUGUGGGUAAUAAUAUGGUAGCUAGACCUUCAAAAUUUAUGUGUCUAAACUUUGUUAGUGUUUGUUUCUUUGCUAUUCUUUUACCUUUCUUGGUCAGAGCGAUGUAGUGGGAGCUGCAAGCUUCACGUGCUCAACUUUGGCAGAGAACUUUGGCAAAGUUAUCUGUGGUACCCAUGAGCUAUUGUUGCGUGUGGGAAGUGGGUGAUUGAACAGUAAGAUUCAUGUGCUUUCUACUUCACCAGAAGUCUUCGACAGAAUGCCCAUAAUUUCUGCAAAGCUGAGUGUGCGUGUGACAGGUGCUGACAAGGCUAGAAAAGUAGGUGCCUCUUCGAUUUCUGAGAUCGGCCCUCGUGGUCUCUGAGCAGCCCAGCUUUUGAGAAAGCGAGCGCCUCUUCGAUUGAUUCGAAGAACGAUGCCUCAUCGAUUUUUGAGAAAGCAAUCAUGCUGGGGGUCUGGCUCUCGAAGAUUCGGGGAGCAGUGUCUCUUCGAUUUUUGAGAAAGUAAUCAUGUUGGGAGUCUGGCUCUCGAGAUUCGGAGGGCGGUGCCUCUUCGAUUUUGGAGCAAGCAAUCUUGUUGGGAGUGUUUUCUCGAAUGUGAGUAAAGGUUGGGCAUGUUUGCUAGUCUACCUUGCCACGAAGCACAGAGGUUGACACACAGGGACUUUCCAAUUAUCCAGCAAUGGUACUGUUCCUUUACCCUCUCUUCGAUUUUUAAGAAAGUAGUCAUGUUGGGAGUCUGGCUCUCGAGAUUCGGAGGACGGUGCCUCUUCGAUUUUGGAGCAAGCAAUCUUAUUGGGAGUGUUUUCUCGAAUGUGAGUAAAGGUUGGGCAUGUUUGCUAGUCUACCUUGCCACGAAGCACAGAGGUUGACACACAGGGACUGUCCAAUUAUCCAGCAGUGGUACUGUUCCUUUACCCUUGUGGGUAAUAAUAUGGUAGCUAGACCUUCAAAAUUUAUGGGUCUAAACUUUGUUAGUGCUGUUUCUUUGCUAUUCUUUUACCCUUCUUGGUCAGAGCGAUGUAGUGGGAGCUGCAAGCUUCACGUGCUCAACUUUGGCAAAGUUUUCUGUGGUACCCAUGAGCUAUUGUUGCGUGUGGGAAGUGGGUGAUUGAACAGUAAGAUUCAUGUGUUUUCUACUUCCCCAGAAGUCUUCGACAGAAUGCCCAUAAUUUCCGCAAAGCUGAGUGUGCGUGUGACAGGUGCUGACAAGGCUGGAAAAGUAGGUGCCUCUUCGAUUUCUGAGAUCGGCCCUCGUGGUCUCUGGGGAGCCCAGCUUUUGAGAAAGCGAGCGCCUCUUCGAUUUCUGAGAUCGGCCUUCGUGGUCUUUGAGCAGCCCAACUUUUGAGAAAGCAAACGCCUCUUCGAUUUCUGAGAUCAACCCUCGUGAUCUCUAAGCAGCCCAGCUUUUGAGAAAGCAAACGCCUCUUCGAUUUCUGAGCAGGCGCCUCUUCGAUUUCUGAAGCUCCGUCGAGUGCAGAUUUUUAUAGAGGGCUGGCAUUAAGUUCCAAAGCACACUUGAAUCUCCACCAGUAGAAGCUUCAUUCUUGCACUUCUAAGAUCUUGAUUUGUCCGACCUCUUCUCUCUUCAACACCUUUGAAAAUGUCUGGCCCCUCCGACCGUCGUUUUGACUUGAACCUUGUUGAAGAGGCAGCCCCGCCUUCUCCAGACAACACAUAUGGCGCCCAUCCUUCGUCUCCCCUACUGGUCCUCUUACCGUUGGGGAUUCCGUGAUGAAGAAUGAUAUGACCGCUGCGGUGGUGGCCAGGAACCUUCUCACUCCCAAAGAUAACAGACUACUUUCCAAACGGUCUGAUGAGUUAGCUGUUAAGGAUUCGCUGGCUCUCAGUGUUCAGUGUGCAGGUUCUGUGUCUAAUAUGGCCCAACGCCUAUUUGCUCGAACCCGCCAAGUUGAAUCAUUGGCGGCUGAAGUGAUGAGUCUCAAACAGGAGAUUAGAGGGCUCAAGCAUGAGAAUAAACAGUUGCACCGGCUCGCACAUGACUAUGCUACAAACAUGAAGAGGAAGCUUGACCAGAUGAAGGAAACUGAUGGUCAGGUUUUACUUGAUCAUCAGAGAUUUGUGGGUUUGUUCCAAAGGCAUUUAUUGCCUUCGUCUUCUGGGGCUGUACCGCGUAAUGAAGCUCCAAAUGAUCAACCUCUGAUGCCUCCUCCUUCUAGGGUUCUGUCCAGUACUGAGGCUCCAAAUGAUCCCCCUCCGGUGCCUUCUCUUUCUGGGGCUCUACCGACUGCUGAGACUUCUCCUAAGCAACCUUUGUGAAGGCUCCCUCUUGUGUGUUUAUUUUGACUCAUGUAUAUGUACAUAUUUGUAGCUUAUCGGGGAUAUCAAUAAAUAAGCUUUCCUUCAUUUCAACGUAUUGUGUUAAAUACACCAAAGCCUUUCUUCGCUAAGUUCUUUGAAUUUUCUUUUGUUGAAGCUUGUAUGUUGAAGCUUUCUGAGUGGAGCAUGUAGGUUGGGGUAGUGUUCCCUUAAUUUUCCCGAGUGAGGAAAACUUCUCGGUUGGAGACUUGGAAAAUCCAAGUCACUGAGUGGGAUCGGCUAUAUGAAUCUUAGAACGCCAUUGUGCUCGAUCCUGUGUCAUGUCCUUCGUUAGAUCCAAGUACUCUAAGUCUUUUCUUAGAGUCUCUUCCAAAGUUUUCCUAGGUCUUCCUCUACCCCUUCGGCCCUGAACCUCUGUCCCAUAGUCGCAUCUUCUAAUCGGAGCGUCAGUAGGCCUUCUUUGCACAUGUCCAAACCACCGUAACCGAUUUUCUCUCAUCUUUCCUUCAAUUUCGGCUACUCCUACUUUACCCCGGAUAUCCUCAUUCCUAAUCUUAUCCUUUCUCGUGUGCCCACACAUCCAACGAAGCAUCCUCAUCUCCGCUACACCCAUUUUGUGUACGUGUUGAUGUUUCACCGCCCAACAUUCUGUGCCAUACAGCAUCGCCGGCCUUAUUGCCGUCCUAUAAAAUUUUCCCUUGAGCUUCAGUGGCAUACGGCGGUCACACAACACGCCGGAUGCACUCUUCCACUUCAUCCAUCCAGCUUGUAUUCUAUGGUUGAGAUCUCCAUCUAAUUCUCCGUUCUUUUGCAAGAUAGAUCCUAGGUAACGAAAACGGUCGCUCUUUGGUAUUUCUUGAUCUCCGAUCCUCACCCCUAACUCGUUUUGGCCUCCAUUUGCACUGAACUUGCACUCCAUAUAUUCUGUCUUUGAUCGGCUUAGGCGAAGACCUUUAGAUUCCAACACUUCUCUCCAAAGGUUAAGCUUUGCAUUUACCCCUUCCUGAGUUUCAUCUAUCAACACUAUAUCGUCUGCGAAAAGCAUACACCAAGGAAUAUCAUCUUGAAUAUGUCCUGUUAACUCAUCCAUUACCAACGCAAAAAGGUAAGGACUUAAGGAUGAGCCUUGAUGUAAUCCUACAGUUAUGGGAAAGCUUUCGGUUUGUCCUUCAUGAGUUCUUACGGCAGUCUUUGCUCCUUCAUACAUAUCCUUUAUAGCUUGGAUAUAUGCUACUCGUACUCCUUUCUUCUCUAAAAUCCUCCAAAGAAUGUCUCUUGGGACCCUAUCAUACGCUUUUUCCAAAUCUAUAAAGACCAUGUGUAAAUCCUUUUUCCCAUCUCUAUAUCUUUCCAUCAAUCUUCGUAAGAGAUAGAUUGCCUCCAUGGUUGAGCGCCCUGGCAUGAACCCGAAUUGGUUGUCCGAAACCCGUGUCUCUUGCCUCAAUCUAUGCUCAAUGACUCUCUCCCAGAGCUUCAUUGUAUGACUCAUUAGCUUAAUACCCCUAUAGUUCAUGCAAUUUUGUACGUCGCCCUUAUUCUUGUAGAUAGGCACCAAAGUGCUCGUUCGCCACUCAUUUGGCAUCUUCUUCGUUUUCAAAAUCCUAUUGAAAAGGUCAGUGAGCCAUGUUAUACCUGUCUCUCCCAAAAGUUUCCACACUUCGAUUGGUAUAUCGUCUGGGCCUAUUGCUUUUUUAUGCUUCAUCUUCUUCAAAGCUACAACCACUUCUUCCUUCCGGAUUCGACGAUAAAAAGAGUAGUUUCUACACUCUUCUGAGUUACUCAACUCCCCUAAAGAAGCACUCAUUUCAUGUCCUUCAUUGAAAAGAUUAUGAAAAUAAACCUCUCCAUCUGUCUUUAACCGCGUUCUCUCUGUAGCAAGAACCUUUCCAUCCUCAUCCUUGAUGCACCUCACUUGGUUUAGGUCCCUUGUCUUCUUUUCCCUUGCUCUAGAUAGUUUAUAGAUAUCCAACUCUCCUUCUUUGGUAUCUAGUCGUUUAUACAUAUCGUCGUAAGCCGCUAACUUAGCUUCUCUGACAGCUUUCUUCGCCUCUUGCUUCGCUUUUCUAUACCUUUCACCAUUUUCAUCGGUCCUCUCCUUGUAUAAGGCUUUACAACAUUCCUUCUUAGCCUUCACCUUUGUUUGUACCUCCUCAUUCCACCACCAAGAUUCCUUUUGGUGUGGGGCAAAGCCCUUGGACUCUCCUAAUACCUCUUUUGCUACUUUUCGGAUACAACUAGCCAUGGAAUCCCACAUUUGGCUAGCUUCCCCCUCUCUAUCCCACACACAUUGGGUGAUUACCUUCUCUUUGAAAAUGACUUGUUUUUCUUCUUUUAGAUUCCACCAUCUAGUCCUUGGGCACUUCCAAGUCUUGUUCUUUUGUCUUACUCUUUUGAUAUGUACAUCCAUCACCAACAAGCGAUGUUGAUUAGCCACGCUCUCUCCUGGUAUAACUUUGCAAUCCUUACAAGUUAUACGAUCCCCUUUCCUCAUUAGAAGAAAAUCUAUUUGUGUUUUUGACGACCCACUCUUGUAGGUGAUCACAUGUUCUUCUCUCUUCUUAAAGAAGGUGUUGGCUAAGAAGAGAUCAUAUGCCAUUGCAAAAUCCAAGAUAGCUUCCCCAUCCUCGUUUCUCUCCCCAAAACCAUGGCCACCAUGAAAACCUCCAUAGUUGCCUGUCUCCCUGCCCACGUGUCCAUUUAAAUCUCCUCCUAUAAAUAACUUCUCCGUCUGAGCAAUUCCUUGCACCAAGUCUCCAAGAUCUUCCCAAAAAUUUCUCCUUCGAACUCGUAUCCAACCCUACUUGAGGUGCGUACGCACUAAUCACAUUGAUAAGUUCUUGUCCUAUUACAAUCUUGAUUGCCAUGAUUCUAUCUCCUACCCUCUUGACAUCUACAACAUCUUGUGUACCAAGGUCUUGUCCACGAUGAUGCCAACACCGUUUUCUCGUUCUAUUUGUGCCCGAAUACCAAAGUUUAAACCCUGAGUUUUCUAGAUCCUUUGUCCUUACUACCAACCCACUUAGUUUCUUGUAGGCACAUAAUAUUUAUCCUUCUCCUCACCAUAACUUCCACUACUUCCAUAGAUUUUCCCGUUAAGGUUCCUAUAUUCCACGUUCCUAAACGCAUUUUGCUCUCUUGAACUCUACCCUUCUGUCCUAGCUUCUUCACCCUCCCCCGUCUAAUAGGAUCAAAGUACUUCUUUUGUGUGUCCCGGGUAAAGUUGAUAGGAGCAUAUGCUCCCAAACAACUUUGAGUGGAGUCGUUCGAAAAGAAGUUUCUAUGGCCCCCUUGCUCAUUUAACACUGCAUCCGGGUGCCGAUGGAGAUACAGCGACCCUUGCUCACUUAUCACUGUGCUCGGGCCACACAGCGCGCCACUUACGGGUGACGCCCUAGCUUUAGCGUGAUUUUGUUCUGGAUUCAUUUUCAUAAGGAUUCGACGUGAUCAUGGAGUGCCGGCUGUCGACUACCUGACGCCCUCCCCCUCCUCCUUUAUCCGGGCUUGGGACCGGCCAUGUAAGACAUAGGCGGAGUUAAACAAAACUCAGCAAUUGAAAAAAAAUAAUAUCUCCUUCUUCAACUUGCAACAAACAAACAAAAAAAUCAAUUUAAUGGUAUUUUGGUGUUCUUGGAUUUGUCGAGAUGAAGGAAGAGGAAGGGGAAGGGUGAGAGAGAGAGAGAGAGAGAAUAAAAUUACUUUCAAUGGUAUUUUUUUAUUAAAUUAACAAUGAGGUUCAGACUCCAGACUCACCAUUAAUUAUGGAGGCUCGGUUACACGUGGAGUUGAAUGGGGGAGUUUAGCGGAACUGAGUCCUGCUAGCAUUUCUUUUUCUAACAUGGAUUCCAUUCGGAUCUAUUAUUUUAAAUUAAACAUAAAUAGUAUCUGAUAAAAAUUAAUCGUACGAUAUACAAUAAACGGUUGAGAUAUGAGAUUUCUUAUGACCCCCACAUAAUGGAUCCAAAGGGCAUCCGUGUUCUUUUUUUUCAAGAAUACGAGGGUAGAAACAAUUAAGAUCUACCUCCCCCUAUUUCAUCUAUAAUGUCAACCGGCUAAAUUGAUUAGCUAAUCGUAUAUAAAAAUAAUAAUAGCAUGAAAUCCUAAUUAUCGAACUAAGAAGGCACAUAGCACACCACUCCAUUACGAAAAUGGAAAAAAAAAUGUGAGCAAUAUAGAGUGUGCAUGCAUGCCAAGUAAUAUCCACAUGAACUAAAAUAUGAUAAACUCUUAAUAAGAGGACUGCUGAAAACGAAAAUUGGUUGUCUUUUGAUUAUUCAUCUCUAAAUAUUGAUGGUAUGUGGGUAGUUAUAUUGGUUCGAAUUCAAAUGAUAUAAAAAUAAUAAUAUAAAUUCAUUACUUUAUACAAAUUCAACUUUAUAUUUGAAGCUUCACCAUAUUGACAUAUCUAAGAAGGCACACAGCACACCACUCCAUUAGGAAAUUGGAAAAAAAAAUGUGAGAAAUAUAGAGUGUGCAUGCAUGCCAAGUAAUAUCCACAUGAACAAAAAAUGAGAAAAGCUUAAUAAGAGGACGGUUGAAAACGAAAAUUGGUUGCCUUCCGAUAAUUCAUCUCUAAACAUUGAUGGUACGUGGGUAGUUACUAUUGGAUCUCACAUUAAACUAAGAUUAGAUUGUGGGAAUCCUUGGGAGAAAACUGUUAACUCGUUUGUGUUUUUUCUCCGUCGUCUUUGAGGUUGAACACGUAAACUUUUUCUUUCUUUUUUUCUUUUUCACUUUUUCAUUUUCUUUUCUACUUUUAUUAUUUAUUUAUUUCUAAUUGAUUUUUCACUACAGAACCAGCACGUUUCUAGUUCUUAUUUACAUAUUUUUGUUUUUUUAUUUUUUAUUUUUUUUAAAUACAGUUUUAUGUUUAGUUAUGUUUUUUUUUUUUACCAAUUUGUCCUAUUUUUUUAUUUUUUUGAAUUUAGAUUGUGAAGGAAAUUAAGGAUCAUUUUUGGUAUUUUCGAAUGCUUCAUCCACUCAACAUAAAAAAAAAGGAUACUUUAACGAAAAGCAUCCGGUACUGUUCACUUUAACGAAAAACCACAUUUUUACACUAAAAAGUCAAUCAUGGUACUAUUCACUUUACCCUUUAUUUUGUCCUUAUCAUUAAAACUCAAAGUUUUCAAGCCCUUUUCAUUAGUUUUCCUAAAAAAAUAAUGUGCUAGAAAGAACGAAUCAUGCUGUACAAGCAACAGCAUCGGGAGACCAAAUACUUGCAUUUAAGGGCCGAAUUAAUGUUGGCUGGGAUAAGUGGUCCAUUGGGCUUUCGGGGGAAAGUAAAAUACAAGUCGGAAAGAAUAUAGAGAGGAGUACCGCCUCGCCUUACGCCUUACGCCUUUCUUCCGUCGGCGUCGUCUAGGGUUUUAGUUGUAAGUUGUAACAGAGCCUAUAAGGGGCACGAUAGCCCCAGUAAUUCAUCAACCUUCAAUUCCCAGACCUGACCGGAGCCGCCGUAGAAAUAUUACUAUUACCAUCCUCCUCUUGGUGAUCGCCCUGUCGCAUAUGGCUUCUGGAUUCAGGGCCUGUACAGGGUGAUUACCAAAGGGAUGACGGUAAUAUUUAAUUCAUGAUGUUGGCAAACUCGUCGGAGGGAAAUGUACUUUGGUUUUCUUGGAUUUAUCGAGAUGGAGGAAGAGGAAGGGGAAGGGUGAGAGAGAGAGAGAAUAAUUAUUUUUAAUGGUAUUUUUUUAUUAAAUUAACAAUGAGGUCCAGACUCACCAUCAAUUAUGGAGGCUCAGUUACACGUGGAGUUGAAUGGGGGAGUUUGGCGGGAGAAAUUUUUAGUUGUAAUAGAAACACGUAUGCUAUAUCAUAUGUUUUUACAUAAGUAUUGAAAAAUUUUAAUUUUUAAGUUAUUAACUUUUUAACACAUAUAUCUGACCAUUUAUUUAGGAACACAUAGUGUACUGUCUCAUGUGACGAUCACAUUGAAAAAUCUUUAGUUUGGCAGAAGCAAGUACUCCUAACAUUUCUUUUCAAGAAUACAAGGGUAGAAACAAUUAAGAUCUACCUCCUCCUAUUUCAUCUGCAGGAAAGUGAUUCUCUUUGGAUCAUUUCUCCUAAUUCAUCAAAUCUGAAGAUCUGUGUCAUUGAAAUUUAAUCCAACGGCUACAAACAGGGGUCUAGUUUAAAAGUUAUAAUAAUUUCAACUGUUUAACCAAAUUUUAAUGACACGAAUCUCCUAAUUUAGUGAAUUAGGAAGAAGGGAUUCAGACAUAAUCCCUUUCCUCAUCUGCAAUGUCAACCGGCUAAAUUGAUCAGCUAAUCGUUCGAUAUCUCUCUUGCUAACGAUAAUCCCUUACGCAUCUACAAGAUUUUGGUACUACUUAGGUAAAUGUUAUCAAGGCAUGCAAAGCAGUACGCCUGGUAUAAUUAAUAACAAUAUUUUCAAGAUGACAUUUAUGUUGUUCACUUAACGAGUAAAUACAUCAAACAAUCAACUCUUUAAAAUGACAAUCAUCACUUUUAAGCAUAACAAAGUCAGCUACAUUCUCCUCAUAAGCAAACUCAAACAACUCAAGAAUGCCAUAAAUCCAAUUGAGAUAAAUGUCACCGUAUCCACAAGAAAUCCAUCCCUAUACAUGUUGAAGAGUACAAGGAUCUCAUAUCAAAUUUGUCAAAAUUAAAGAUGACUUAUAUUGUGCAAUUUUCACUCCUAAUUAUAUCAAAGUUUUUUGUGAUAAGAUAUUCACAUAUGAAGUGUUGUGCAUGUUGGAAAAUUCAAGUCGAUAGAAAGUAUUGAUGUUGUUAAUGAUGGGUCCUUGUAAAGCAUGUGAUAAAAUUUUCAUGUUUCAAAGCUGUUUGUAAAACGUUAAUAGAUGAGCCCUUAACUUAUAUGUUAGCCACCAUUAGCUAGUAAACAUUACCAUACCAACAAACCCCCAAACUCUAUGUGCUGUAUUAUAAAUAAAAUUGGUCUCUACGAAAAAACACUUUGUAAAACGGAUAAGCACUUUACAAACCACUUCUGUUUGUCACUUUUCUUUUCUAAAAGCCAUUUUUGUUUAUAAGCACUAUACUAGAAGCAACGUAAAAAAUUUUAGUAAAAUUCUAUCCUUUAAAAGCACUUACAUUUUUUUCUACUAACAUCAUCAUAAUACUUUGAGAAUAUUGUUUGAAAGCACUUUUAAUAACUCUAAAAACUAGGAAAAGUUGACAAUAUAAAAAUUUUAGUUCCUUUUAUUUUUUAUUUUUUAUUCUGCAAUGUCAUAAUUUAAAUCUUCUAUUUAAUUAGAUGUCAUUUAUAUGUAUCACUUGUCAUGUCAAAUAGUACAUUAAUGUGGUACAAAAAUAAAAAAGCUAAGUUGAAGGGAGCUUUCUUCAUUGACCCCGGCCACGACCAUCAUUAAAUUGACUGAAAUACAUUCUUUCUUGAGGGAUCAUGCCUUCGGGAGAAACUAGUGAUGAUUGCCUCUCAAUGGCAUUCGUCUUCGAGAGAUAUUUCUUUGAGAAGAAUGCAAUUUCAAUAUAAGAAUUUCCGUGGGGAGGAUUUUACGAGGAAUUCGAGUAGUCGGCGGCUUUGGAAAUUCUGGCUCACAUACGGCCACAGUGAGGUAGCAGUUGUGGAGUACUUUCAUAUCCCGGCAAUCUGUGACGAUGUCGUUCCUGGAACUAAAGCAUUCUCUGGUAUAGAUUAAGCUCGGCCACUACAAAUACAAUGAAUUUGGAAGUUUUAGGUCACGACUUUCAGUUUAUGGCUCCAAACUUUUUGUCACAAAAUUGAUUAUUUGAUUGGUGGUGUUUUGGUAUUAAGAGGACGGACAUAUUUAAUGACAGGUAUGUAUCCAAUCUCAAUUUAUUUUGGAAUGAUGAAAUGAAAGGUGGUGUCUGUUGAAUUUUACUGUUUUGCAAUUUGGGAUUUCUGUGUGGAUUGUAAACUUUGAUUUUUUUUUUUUUGGUCAGUGAUUGAAUUUUUCUUGCAUUUGAUACAAAAUUAAUGAAAUGAGAUUGAAAAAUGAGGAGUUGCUAUCAGACGUUUAUGUUUUAGUAUAAUUUCACACGUAUGAUAAGAAAGCAUUCCCACCCCCCCCCCACCCCAACCCCCCAACCCGGUGUUUUUUUCUUCAGAUGAAUAUGAUUUUUUUGAAUUUAGAUUGUGAAGGAAAUUAAGGAUCAUUUUUCGUAUUUUCGAAAAUCCAAAAAAACAUUAGUUUUAAUGAAAAAUGAUAAAUACAUGUGUAGUGAAUAGUACCAGAGAAAUGUAAAAAUGUGAUUUUUCAUUAAAAGUAAACAAUACCGGGAAUGUAUCGUUAAAACUCCCUAAACAAAUGAUGUGGUAGAAAGAAAGAAUGAUGUACAAGCAACAGCAACGGGAGACCCAAGUACUUGCAUUUAAGGGCCGAAUUAAUGUGGGCUGGGAUAAGUUGUCCAUUGGGCUUUCGGGUGAAAGUAAAUAGAAGGCCUUUCUUCUGUCGGCGUCGUGUAGAGUUUUAGUUGUUACAGAACCUAUGAAAUGAGCACGAUGGCUGCCUACAAUUCGUUAACCUUCAAUUUCGCACACCUGAGUCUGGGGGCCGGAGCCGCUGUUGCAGAAUAUUACUAUUACCCUCCUCCUCUUGGUGAUCGCCCUGCCCCAUAUGGUCUUCUGAAUUCAGGGCCUGCAUAUCGACAGGGUGGUUACCAAUGGGAUGACGGUAAUAUUUAAUUGAUGAUGUUGGCAAACUCAUCGGAAAAUCGACCCGGCGCUGGCAAACUCACCGGGGGCAGAGCUCUGAAGUGGCCGCCAUACCACUCCCCUCGCUGACAUUUCACGAAGAAGAUAACGAACGCGAAAAUUAUGCUAAAUUUUAGUGCUUUUGUUGUUUUACUUUGUUUUUGUGUUCUAGGGUUUCAGGGUUUGGUUGCUGGUGACAGGGUUCGAAAGCUCGAGGAUUUUGACCUUUAGCAAGGACUUGUUCUUUCUGUAUGAAUUAACUCUCAAUUCUAUGUGUUAAAGGUGCUCUACUCUGAUGCUAGACAGAAGGAAUAUGGACAGAAGGAAUAUGAUCAUUCCUUCACAGCUAGGAUAGCAUGUGUGGAUGCACUAUUAACGUGGACAGCAAGGCCACUGCAUGUGGUUACUGACUGCUUCAACAAGGACAGCAUGGAUGUCACUUUCUGUCCUUUGUUUAUUGCAUGCCUCUGUAAAAACCUUGUAUAUAAGUUCUACUGCAAUUGUAGCAGAAUAUUCAAUCAAAUAUAUUGGAUCCAAGCUUUGGACCGUGCAACUUCGACACCCAGAAAAUAUUUUAAUGGUCCGAGGUCUUUAAUUCGAAAACAUCCACUAAGAAAUUGCUUGAGUCCGUAUAAUGACUUGUGAAGUCGACAAACCAUAGUCUCCCCCUGUCGACGAUAACCAGGAGGGGGUAACAUAUAUACUUCCACCAUGUCCGGCACCCGAUAUCCUCUUCACAGGUAUGUUUCUUAUGCUCGCCUCUCUCAUGCUCAUCGUUCCUUUGUUCACAAUGUCUCUCACUUAGUUGAACCAGCCUCCUAUGAGCAGGCACGCCAUGACCCUCACUGGCUUGCAGCUAUGCAUUCUGAGCUUGACGCACUUGAAGCCAAUCACACCUGGACUUUGGUUCCUUUACCCCUCCACCAACGCCCCAUUGGAUGUAAAUGGGUCUUCAAAAUCAAGUAUCAUUCCGACGGUACCAUCGAACGCUACAAGGCUCGCCUCGUUGCCAAAGGGUUCACGCAGCGCGAAGGUAUUGAUUACAAAGAGACGUUCGCCCCCGUUGCUAAGCUCAUUACUGUCCGCUGUCUCUUGACCAUUGCUGCUGUUCGCAGCUGGUCUCUUCACCAAAUGGAUGUCCAAAACGCUUUCCUUCACGGUGCACUCCAUGAGGAAGUAUAUAUGUUACCCCCUCCUGGUUAUCGUCGACAGGGGGAGACUAUGGUUUGUCGACUUCACAAGUCAUUAUACGGACUCAAGCAAUUUCUUAGUGGAUGUUUUCGAAUUAAAGACCUCGGACCAUUAAAAUAUUUUCUGGGUGUCGAAGUUGCACGGUCCAAAGCUGGGAUCUCCAUUUGCCAACGAAAGUAUACUCUGGACAUAUUGGAAGAAGCUGGCUUGCUUGGCGUAAAACCUGCCAAGGUACCUAUGGAACCCGAUUUAGUGUUGACAACAACAGGUGGUGAUGCCCUCAAGGAUCCGACUCGAUAUCGACGUCUGGUUGGAAAAUUAAUAUACCUUACCAUCACUAGGCCAGAUAUUACGUAUGCAGUGAAUAAUCUCAGUCAGUUCAUGCAAGAACCAACACUCCAUCACCUUAAAGCAGCACAUCGUCUCCUCCAAUAUCUGAAAGAAGCACCAGGACAAGGGUUACUAUUCCCUACGGAGAACCAACUUAAUUUGGUUGGCUACUGUGAUGCGGAUUGGGCUAGAUGUCCGAUCACACGACGAUCAGUGACAGGUUUUUGCAUCUUCCUUGGUAAAUCACUUGUAUCGUGGAAAAGUAAAAAGCAAGUCACGGUGGCAAGAUCUUCAGCAGAAGCCGAGUAUCGCUCCAUGGCUGCAACGACUUGUGAGCUUACUUGGCUGAGGAAUUUGUUGAAAGAUUUGCGUGUAAAUCAUCCUGAGUCGGCAAGGUUGUUUUGUGACAAUCAAGCUGCUCUACAUAUUGCAGCGAACCCUGUGUAUCAUGAACGAACCAAACACAUAGAGCUGGAUUGUCAUACUGUCCGUGAAAGGAUUCAGAGGGGAGAGAUCGAGACGUCUCAUGUGCAGACGAGACGUCAAAUAGCAGACAUAUUUACAAAGCCACUGAGAGCACCUACCUUCCAUUCACAUCUUGGCAAGUUGGGUGUUAUUGAUAUCCACACUCCUACUUGAGGGGGAGUGUUAAAGGUGCUCUACUCUGAUGCUAGACAGAAGGAAUAUGGACAGAAGGAAUAUGAUCAUUCCUUCACAGCUAGGAUAGCAUGUGUGGAUGCACUAUUAACGUGGACAGCAAGGCCACUGCAUGUGGUUACUGACUGCUUCAACAAGGACAGCAUGGAUGUCACUUUCUGUCCUUUGUUUAUUGCAUGCCUCUGUAAAAACCUUGUAUAUAAGUUCUACUGCAAUUGUAGCAGAAUAUUCAAUCAAAUAUAUUGGAUCCAAACUUUUAUACUAUGAAAUUUCAGUUUCGAUUUCAAUGUCUGUUUUAAAAUUUAUUUCAUGAUGUUCGAAUUGGGAUCUCAAAUAUCGCCUUUGUGCUUGGAUUUAUGAUGCAAAUCUUAAAUUUUGUAACUCGUCUAAAUUUAGAGUAUGUGAGAUAAGAUAUAUUCUGAGAUCGUGUUUUUGCUUGUUUGAAAACUGUCGCCGAAAGCGGUCAUCACCUAGCUCAGUCAACUCGUUAUUAUUUCCAGGGUGCCCUUGGGUCGAGUGUUUGUCACUAACUUCGCUUAUCAUGGCCCUUCAAUUGAAAUGGCACUAGAUAUGUUUUGACGUGCUUGUUCUGCGCAUUUGAUAUGUCUGAUCUGAGGGCCGAUAUGACAUGUCCUAGCAAGGCUAGGAUACCCUAUGUAUGUCGACAUGUCAAUGCAUAUCACGACAAUGUGCAUAGAUAGUCGUAACCUCGUUGCUUGUUGGCAUAAAGCGAGAGUUGGCAUGCCAUUGGCUUGUCAUGGCAUAUCAAAGCAAAAUCCAACGAGUACAAAUUUGUGGCCUUCACUACUUAUACUCAAGAGUCGGAUGACAUUGUGAGACUUAUUACUCCACCCAAAGCGGUAGUAUACACCAUCAGUUGUGACUUGUGAUUCUUGGAAAGAGGUCGGCACCGUUUCUUUAGAAGCCAAAACUACUUUGGUUUGGCCUGACAGGUUCCAGAUGUGCUUCAAGGGAAUGUGUUUUUGGCUGGGAAUUGAGCAAGGUAAGGAAAUAUCUGUUUAUGACACUUUUGAUGACCCAGAAGGCAGGAGAGUGAUCAUUUCUUUCGAUACAAGUCGCGAGGUAUUUCAUGGUAUACCCGAACCAUCUGAGCUCCAACGAUUACCCCUGGGGCGUGACCUUGAUUUGAAGCUUAUUGUGUGGAAUGAAUCACUUUCUUAUGGUUCACAAUGAUGGACGCGUAGUUUGCUUUAAUCUUUGUACGAAAAAGCUUACAUAUAUUCCCACUGAAACAUGAGGUGAGUUUGUUGGUUGUGUGAAUAGCAUAGUUUCGGUCAUGGGACGCAACCACAAGCCUGAGAGCAUAGAGAAUAAUUGCUCAGACAGAUGAAGACUCGAUGGUGGCGGUAGAAGGGAAGAGGGAAAGCUGCAGGAGGCGGUACUCAUAUUCCGUUUGGGCCAUUCCACUGGCUGAUGUUUCAAGGGCCUCUGGGCAGAGUUUGGUGGGCCGGAGAUUAGCCUCACAUCCCCAUAUUGGGAUCCACCCAUAUUAUGAGUUGCGAGGACGCUCUUAACAAGUUUAGAUCUCCCUUACGGAUGAUUUCAUUGCUAAAGUUGUUCAGGUGGUUACUAGGAAUUACUAUCACCAAUGUGUUUCCUUGUUGAUGGAUCAAGGGGUAUAUAUUUUCCCGAUCGCUUGCUAAUUGCUAUUCAUUUUCUUCAUGUUUUCUUCUGUUUUGUUUCCUUUUCCUCUUUCUCAUUUUGGUCUCUUAAGCUGGGAUAGACUCACUAAUUAUCAAAUUUUAUGUUCUUAGUUAUUCCAAAGUGCCAAAACUACAUUUCGGUUUCUACAACAGUAAGUUGUUGUUUAUGUUAACCUUUGAGCUGGUGUUUUUUUGUUUUCACGAAAGCUUCUUUCUUAAUUUCUUCUUGAUGUUUACGGGAAUGUUCAUAUGUAAUCUGUCUGUCUGCAAUAUUUGAUGGAUGCAGGUUCAAUGAAACAUAAUUAUAUAAGAUCCUGCCAAAAUUAGAUCAACUUCAACUUUAUCCAUGCCUUGCAAAUUGAGCUUCAGAACACGAGUCGGAUUGCAAAUGAUGGCAAAAUGUUUGAAAGUGGAGAAAAUUUCGGAGAUUUUCUAUUGAAAGAUCCAUCAUUUCUUAGUCUUGCGGAGGAGAUUUUUUAUCUUAACAUGAACAGCUCUACAAUCUAUUCAACUCUCAUAGUCUCACUAUCUCCAAAUGGUAAAGGCCAAGAGACUCAGGUGUCCGGCUAAAUGUUACCUGAACAAGUAGAUGAUGAAUAAUCAAGAGACAAAGAGAGGCGCGUAAGAGGAUCUUCGUCCAUUGGGUCGGAUAUCUGAUCUCCUCUAUCACAGACUGCCGGACGUUGUGGCUUCCAAUGAUGAAUAGAUAAAGAAAGACACGUACGAAGAUCUUCGUCCAUUGGGUCAGAUAUCUGAUCUCCUCUGUCGUGACCGCCGAACCCUGUGGCUUCCAAUGAUGAGACUGAGAAAGGCGCGUAAGAAAAUCUUCCUCCAUUGGGUCGGCUAUCUGAUCUCCUCUGUCAUUGACUGCCGAACCCUGUGGCUGGAAGAGUACUGAGAGAUUCUCAGAACGAGUUUGAGGCUGAAUAUGAUGGCCUGCAGGAAAAGUAUUAGAAGACAAGGAAAAAUGUGAACGCGCAAGGCUGAGAGGACCAUGAUCAUGCACUGCUAUAGUACUACCGAUGUACUUACUGAGAUCAUAAUCAUAAGAUGGCUCAGAAUUAUCAGAUGACUUCUCAUAGAACCGAGCUGGAUGUUGGUCAAAAACAUAACUAGCUUGGUCCAAAUCAUGCGUAUUUUCCUUCAUAGGUUUGUUCCACACUAGAUUAACCAUUGUUCUAAUUGAUGGCCUAAAACAAGAAUUUACUGAAAGUUGAACUUCAACUUUAUCCCCACUUUGCAAUUUCAGCUUAUCGUUCGAUAGUUGUCCUUGCCAAAGUAUAGGCGUAUUCCCAUAUAUGCUGCAUAAGUAAGCCUGCAACUUUGUACACUUGGUAUUAUUUAUAACAGUAAUGCCAAAUUUACCUCCAAGUACAUGUUUUAUCAAGAAGCACAGAGUCAACCCUUCAAAAGUACAACCAUCAUUCGGGGGAAUAUCAAAACUGACUGUACUGCUCUGGUUAACAAACUCAAACCAAUCAGGAACAAAAUUCCCAGAGAGUAAAACGCCACCAAAUCCGCACAGAGUCCAUCCCUACAUAUACAAUGCAAGUGUCAUACACACAUACAUACAUACACAUGUAAACGUGCGUUUGUGUGUGCAUGUGCACGAUAGGAAGGCAAUGAGAGAGAGAGAGUGUGAGGUACCUGUAGGAUGUUCUUCACAAAAUCAGUUGUGAGAUUGGUGCAAUCCCUCAUAUCAAUCAAUGUCAUGAAGUUUAAUGACUUAUCCAAGCCUGGAAUCUCAGUGAGUUUGUGCGAAUCUCUUACACUCAACUCUGUCAUCUUUGACAUUUCCGAAAAAUCGGGCAUUGUUUCCAAUGCAUGGCAAUUAUCGGCAUACAGAAAAUUCAAAUUUGUUGGUAAAUCAGGGAUUGUACGAAGGUUAAAGCAGUUAUUUAAACUCAAUGUUUCAAGCUUUGUAAGACCACUUAGGCUGGGUAGGGUAUGAAAAUCAUUCCCUUGAAGAUCCAAAACUUGUAAAGAAAUUAGACUCCCAAGAUCCUGAGGGAUUGCAUCAUGUUCUAAUUCCGCACCAUCUAGGGAUAAAAGAAUGAGAUUCUUCAAUCUAACUGUGGAAGAUGGUAUUUGUGAUAUGGCUGUAUUAUCUGCUUCAAGUAUUCUCAAUGAUAUCAUCUCCCCUAAAUCCUCAUGCACUUCUCUGAAUUCUAAACAGCUAUUAAGAAGAAGAGUCUCAACAGAUUUCAACUUAUAGAAAUCCCUUGGAAGAGAACUAAGCUUAACGCAUUCGCUAAGGUUCACCAAAGAAAGUUUUUGAAGUUGACCAAUGGAGGGGUGAAUCUUGGACAAACUCCUACAAUUUUCCAGUAUCAACUCUUCAAGAUUUGGGACUUGUGAAAGGUCCGGUGAUUUAAUUAAAAAUAGGGAAUGACUGAGAUUCAGGAUUUUCAACCUCUCUAGCAACUGUUACAGAAAACCAAAGGAAAAUUGAAAUUAAUAUCCAAAAGGAAGAUGUCAUAAAAAAAAAAAGGAAAUCCAAAAACAAAUAGAAACAGAACAUCAUCAUGUGUAAUUGAUCGUACCUUAUAACCCUCCCAAACUUGUACCAGUUUGCUAUACUUCAUAUCUAAAAUAACUAGUCUUGGUUGAUCAAAAAAGUCAUAUGCUAUGGACUCUAAAGGGCAUCCUUCCCAACACAACCAUAUUAACUCUUUGGGAAGACGUUUGUAUUCUCCCUCGAGCUGAACAUAUUUGAGAUGAAGGAAUUUCAGUUUCUUCAUAUUGGCAAAUGCUUCUGUACUGAAACUAGGCAUGCUAGAGCUUAGAGUAAAAGGGAAAUUUAGAGCAAGUCCUUCAACUUCUUCAGUUCCCUGUUAACAAAAUGUGUAAGAAACGGAUUAUUUGCAUAUAUUAUUAUUCAUUUGGCAAAAUCACCUACGGUGAAUAUAUUUACACAUAAAUGUUGUUUAGUGUAUAAUAGACAUACGUAGGUUACAUAUAUGUUUUCAAGUAGGAUGCAUUAUGCAAAAUUUUAUUGGGAAUGUACUUACAGAUUUAUUUCUCAAGACUUCGGCGGCCUCUUGACGAUUCCACAACCUACUCCAUUUUUCAGGGUGACCAAGAGAUUUUUCAGAAACGAUUACUCUGGCCAUUUCUCGCAGCAAAUCAUGCAUAUUCAACUUGUUGUCUUCAACAGUUAUAAGGCAUCGUUCACGGAGGACACUGAUUCCUAUUGAUGCAAAAAGUCCACAUCCAUCUAAUACUUUUGUGACAUAAUUCUUGUCCAUUCCAAUAAAGAAACAAGAUAUGUCAAGAAAUAUAGCCUUCUCUGAAGGAUCUAGCCCGUCAAAGCUUAUUCUGAGUCGAUUUACAAUGUUUCCAUCUGGAUAUCUUCCCAAUUUCUCCAAUUGACUUUCCCACUCUUCCAACGAUCUUUUAAUCAAAAGAGAUCCUAAAACUUCAAGCGCUAGUGGUAAACCUCCACAGUAAGAAACAAAUUUUUCUGAAACUUCAAGAUAUCCUUGAUUAGGACAACUAUUUUUAAAGGCAUGCCAACUAAAUAGCUCAAGAGCUUCUUCUUCAUUCAUUUUCUUAGCCUGAAAUGUUUUGUUCACAUUUAGUAGUAGACGUUCAUCUCGUGUCGUUAUGACAAUUCUACUUCCAGGACCAAACCAAUCAUGACUUCCAACUAUUGCAUCCAGUUGUUCCUUUUUAUCAAUGUUGUCCACGAUGACAAGUAUCUUUCUAUGUCGAAAUUGUUGUUUUAUCAGACCUAUACCUUCGGCAACACAGCUUAUUUCAUGCUUCUUUUUCAAGAUGUCAGAAAUAAGUUUUUUUUGCACAUCAACCAGAUCAUGUUUACUUGUAGCAUCGCGAACGUCGGCAAGGAAACUUUUCAAUUCAAACUGAGGAUGAAUUUGGUUAUAAAUGGCUUUGGCAGCUGUUGUUUUACCCAAUCCACCCAUCCCCCAAAUUCCAACCAUAAGAACAUCAUUUGAUCCACCACUUGAAAGAUAACUGAUAAUAUCUUGAACGUGUGAAUUGAUUCCAACUAUGUGCUUGGCCACAUGUAAUUCGUUAGUGUUGGUGAGCCAUUCACAAAUAUUCUCAUCAAUAAUUUUUUUAAUGAACUCUGCUUCGCCCCUAAAAAUUGAAUUCGUAAGCAUUAGUGGGAAUCAAUGAAGGCUCGGUAGGAGAUAUCAGUACAUAAACAAUUUUCUUUCCUUCUUCCCUUCAUAAUAUAUAUAUAUAUAUAUAUAUAUAUAUAUAUAUAUAUAUAUAUAUAUAUAUAUAUAUAUAUAUCAGUACAUAAACAAUUUUCUUUCCUUCUUCCCUUCAUAAUAUAUAUAUAUAUAUAUAUAUAAUGAACUUGAAUAAAAGAAUUCAUUGAUAAAUAAAAGUUAGGCGUAUGAAUUAAACUCCAAUUACGGUUUAGGUUACUUAUGAGAGAUUAAGGUGUAUUCAUUAAGCAUGUGAAUGAAUGUUUAGAUUAUGUAAAAUGUUAAUUAAGCAUGUCAAUUAAUUGAGAGAUUAAGUCGUUCGCUAAAAUUAGCAGCUUCUGUGAAGGAUAAACUUGAGAGAUUAAGGUGUAUUAAUUAAGCAUGUUAAUUAGAGUAAUACAACUCAAAUCUUGAAAAGCAGCUGAAUGAUUACCCAUUGUUAGCGAUUUUAUGAUGGUGGCCAGACAAAUUUGCAGCCUUUGUGAGAGCCUCUCUCCACUGCCUUACCCUUUCUUGUUUAGCUUCACGUUUCUUGUCAUCUUUUUCUUCACGGAUGUCCUUUUCGUGCUUCUGAAAUGCUUCGGCUAAAUCUCCGUCCUGCUUCCUGACAUGCGAAGGAUCAACGUGAUAGAAUAUUGGUAAAACAUGUCGCCCCAGUUCGUCUGUACACUCCAUGAUCUUCACCAGCUCGUCAAGACACCAACUCGAAUCCGCAUAUCUCCUUGAGAAGAUAAUGAUAGAGAUCAUCGACUCUUCGAUUACCUUUAACAGUUCUUUUAUUUCUUCCCCUCUUUGUAGAUCGUCCUCAUCAAUAAAGACCCGGUAACCUCUGGCUUUUAAUGCCUCGUGGAGGUGGCUCGUGAAGCCAUAGCGUGUGUCCUCGCCCCUGAAGCUCAAGAAUACGUCGUACUUCCAGAGUUUGGACUUGGAGGAGGACGAAGAGGAGGCUUCGUGGGCUGUCAUGGAGGUAUCCACCGUUAUGGGCAUAGCAGUGGUUCAGAUCACAGACUGAAAAGAUGGCAACAACUGCGUUUGCGUUGCCGAAGGAUGAUACUUAAACAUAAGUCAAGAUCUUGAGUCAACAAAGGCAAAAGUUUAUAAUAUAAUAAUGUUGGCGUGUGGACCUGAUAUAAUGAUGAAACACGACAUACUGCCGAGCGGGAAGGUGCAGGGAAAGAGAGGAAAAGAGGAAAGAAAGAAACAUGAUAGGACAGAUUAGGGAUUUUUUUUUUUUUCACCAAUCCGAAUUUCGCAUUGAAGCACCUCUCCAACUCCGCCAACAACAGCCUCACCACUCGUGACCUCCUUUUCAAGAGAUUAGUAGUGCAGCGGCAGCAUGGGGAGGAGGAAACUGAACAAGUAUACCUGUUGCUUAAGUUAUGCAAAGACGAUGAUAAUAUCAAUGACGAGGAUAGCAAUAGCUACUCUCUUGUUGGUGUCGAGGAAAUCGUUUUUCCUCACUCUUUGAUUCAGAAGGUCGGACUCCCGGAACAACUGCAUAUUAUAGGCCACUGCAAUGGCAUUGUUUUACUAUAUAGUAAGAGUAGCUUUGUUUUAUGCAAUCCCGGA
rnacentral:lncRNA from 1 species